rnacentral:lncRNA from 1 species
GGACCAAUUGUAACUUUAUAUUGUAUAAAUAUAUUCUGCAGUAUAUGUCUCAAAUUGAUGAGGCUUUUCCCACAUUUAACAAAAGGAAAACUAAAUUAACACCAAAUUGCCCAAAAUUAAACCAUAUAUUAUACUAAAUUAAUUCACAACAGUUCGACAUCAAUCAAAUAUUAUCUCGCACUCGAAUUCACAAAACUCACUUUCCGGGUACAAAGUUUGUAGCAUAUGACCAUGCAUUGUUUGCAACAGGGUCAGCAAGGUGGUCAGCGAGGUUCUCCAAUGGUCCCUUUCCGGUAACAAUGGCUUGAACAAAGAAUCCAAACAUAGAGAACAUGGCUAGUCUACCGUUCUUGAGCUCCUUCACUUUCAGCUCAGCAAAUGCCUCUGGGUCAUCAGCCAGACCCAAUGGGUCGAAGCUACCACCAGGGUAAAGUGGGUCAACUACCUCACCAAGAGGUCCACCAGCAAUUCUGUAACCUUCAACUGCACCCAUCAAGAUCACUUGGGUAGCCCAGAUGGCUAAAAUGCUUUGUGCAUGGAUCAAACUUGGGUUCCCCAAGUAGUCAAGACCACCCUCACUAAAGAUCUGGGAUCCAGCCUUGAACCAUACAGCCUCACCAAACUUGACACCAUUACGCGCCAAGAGUUCGGGGAAGACGCACCCAAGAGCUCCGAGCAUGGCCCAUCUGCUGUGGAUGACCUCAAGCUCACGGUUCUUGGCGAAUGUUUCAGGAUCAGCAGAGAGCCCAGCAGUGUCCCAACCGUAGUCACCGGGGAACUCACCGGUCAGGUAAGAUGGGGCUUCGCCGGAGAAUGGGCCAAGGUACUUAACACGGUCGGGGCCGUACCAUGGACUUCCUGAUGGUGCGACUUUCUUGACUGCUGUCUUCCUCAUGGAAACCCUUCCAUUUCCGGUGAUUUCUGAACCAGAUGGUGCUACUUUCACCGCCUGUCCGACGAAAGAAGAGGAUAGUGCCAUGGUGGAAGCUGCCAUUUUUGUGAGAUUUGUUUUGAAGAUGUUUUGAUGAUAUGAUAGUAUUAUGAGUGAUGAAGAUGUGUGGAUCUGGAACAUAGAUUUAUAGGGUGGUUUUUGGGCCAAGUAGUUGAUAAAUGUUUAUCUUGAUGCAAUUUUUAACUUCAUUUUGAUUGGCUACCAAGAUUUUAGUUCUAUCAGUGGGUCCAUAAUCUGCGUGGUUCCACUAUUCGAGUUCUCUGGCCCACAUGAGAUAUUUGAAGGGGCAGCGAUAUUCAUGGCUCUGUCUUAUUAAGCGAAUAUAAUGGCUAGAAAUCUCAGCCACUAGCUACCAUGCACAAACCGGUUUUUUUUUUGAACCGGACCGCUUCAAAAAUCCGGUUCGGUUCUAGUCAAUUUAGUCAAAACCAGUUUGGUUCCAAACCGGUCCAGCUUCAAAAUAAUUCAAACGUAUGUAAACUCGUUAAAGAAAAAACCGGUUCAAAAAGGGUUCAAAACCAGUUUGACGGAAAAAAGGUUUUUUUCAAUUUUUAUUUUGUUUUUAGGCUAAUAACUGAAAAAUAGGAAUUUUUUUUUAUAAUAUUGCUUUUAUUGUGUUUAAAAAAAAAGUUUCACACUAGGUUUUUUGAAAAUGGAAGUGGAAUGAAUUGGGAAUUCAUAAGCCUUUUUUUUGGUAAUACACACGUACACACGUCCAUAUGCCAAAAGGUUUUUAUUAUUAUUUUUUUUAUUUCUUGUUUAAUCUUUUGAUGUAUUAAAUUUUUUUUUUGUUUCAGAUUUGAUGUUUUAUCUUUUUUUUUUUCAUUUUUUUUGUUUUUUAUAUUGGAAAUACAUAAUACAACUUCAAACAUAAAAACACAAAACAUCCAAAUUGUCAAACUAAUACAUCUUCAAAUAUAAAACAUUGAUGUCGUCGUAGUCUUCAUUCCAAGUCCGUAGUCAUUGUAUUUAUUCGUCAUCCGCCAUGUCGUUGCGUAAUUCUCUCUCAUACUCGAUCUCUUCUAGGGUGAGUGACACCGACAUUCCCAUCGCUACUUCUUCCUCAUGUACUCGUGCUUCGACAUGCAACGAUGUGCCUUCUAGUGCUUCGAUGUCUUGUAUCCUUUCCACGCCAUCAAGGUAGUAUUUCAAGCAAAUGCACACUUCCACCGACAAAUGGGUUAGUUUUGUUCUUCUUGGUGAUAUUACCCUGCCACUAACAGAAAAACCGAUUCCGANUUACCCUGCCACUAACAGAAAAAGCCGAUUCCGAAGCUACCAUAGAAGCUUGGGAGCUUAGUAGAUCACGGGCCAUAGCGGCUAGAAUUGGAAAUUAGGUUUCCUUUCCUUUCCACCAAACCAAAAUAUCAAAAUUUUCAAACUCUUGAAUACUCAUUUCACUACUAGAAAAAUAGCCUUUUACGACGCGCGAACAACGACACGCGCUGUUUUAUGAUACACAAUAGUGUGUGCCCUAAAAAUAAUGUCGGCUCUCCAAAAAUUAGAAGGAUUUAGGGUACGCAUUUUUGCGCGCCCUAAAAUAAGUGUUACAUUAAAAAAAAACACGGAGGGCACAUAACAUAAAACGCGCGUCCACUAAGUAUGUCGCUUUAUAUUUUUUAAAUGAAAUGCGGGUCACAUUUUUUAGGGAAAACGAAAUUCCAAAAAGUUUGAAAGGCCCGCCAUGUUCCUACCUUCUUUCCACCGUUCUUCUCUCCCUUACUCAAAAUACCCAAAAAAAACCCUAAUAUACUCAUCGCUCCUCUUUUCUCCCAUAACAAACUCGCACCAUCACCAAAUCUCUGAUCUCCCACCAGCAAAAGGUCUCCUACCGAUGUCUCCACCUACUCUCUGCCCUCUCACUAUUUCUCUCAAUUAAAAACGCUAGAUCUCUCAAUCAGAGAACCAUGGCUACUUCUCCUUUCUCCCACACCAGUUGGCAAAAAGUGAGGAGUCUCGAGCCUAGCAGUUGAUAUUCACAUGCCCUCUUAAAUUGAAGGAAUCAGAACAUUGUCGACAUCAAUUCGUUAAUCAUCACUAGAGAAAUCAGAUACGCCAUCUGGUUGAUGAGUCAAGAGAAAUCACAUAUGUCAUCGCUUCAGCAAUCAUCCCUCCUUUUAACCGUAAGUUUUCAAUCUUACACUUUACAAAUAUCAUAUAAACAUCUCUCUCUCUCUCUCUCUCUCUCUUUCUCUCUCCUGCUAUACCUUGAUGAAUUAUCGCAUACAUAUGGAGGAACUGCUUUCUAAAAGCCAGCUAUCGGGAGAGUCAACAGGGUCAAUUGGGUGUUCAAAAGGUGCUUCGAUAUCAUCUUCCCGCCAGCAAAUCUCUGUUAAAGUUGUCACAGAGUAAUCCAUUUGAGUUUGGGCAUAUAUUUUUUGUUAUUAAUUUAGGGGGAGACUGUGUUCCAUGAUUUUGGUCAUGCAUUUCUUCAGCACACGCUAACAAGACAAGAUGAAGGGCUUGUUGUUGGUAUUCGUGGCAUAGAGUGGAUGCUGUUGAGUUACCUUUCCAGUUCAUGGAAAAUUGGUGCUACCGUAGGUAGGUAUAUAUAUCUCCAAUUUCAAGAUGUUGUUCAACUGCUGCAGGAACGAGGUGAGGGUGGCUGAUGAGAAUUUGUGACAGGAACUAUCCGAUUGGGGAUUCCAGCUCAAGUGGGGCAGUUGGCGCAUCAGAUCCAGCAGAAUCAGAAGAUAAUGAGGCCUUUAUUGCAAUUCUCUUCUUUUGAAUAUGAAAAGAUGCACUUUUCAGUCCUAAUCUGGGAUGUGAAAAUGAAAGGAACCCCUGUUUAGCCAACAAAACAAAGUAAAAUUCAGUUACAACACUUACCCAAAUAUAGCAUUCUACCUUUAAUUUUUCUCAUCAAGACAAAAUUGAAUCAGUUAUGAAACCGACCACAUAAAAGGCUGUUUUUCUAGAGUUGCAAUGUUAGGAAUAAAAGUCACAAUGGUAUGUGGUCGGUUUCAUAACUGAUUCAAUUUUGAUGAGUAAACAGGUUAGAUUUCAUAUGGUUGUUUGUUCAGAUUGGUAUUCAUCCUGAUUUUCCUUCAAUUAUGCAACAACUAUGCUGGAAUUUGCUAUGUUCCAUACUCGGAUUUUGAAUUUAUCGGAAAAUUGAAUAAUUAAUCUGGAAAAAUACCAUCUUUGAAUGAUUUUUUUGUCAUCUGUAGAUAAGGAAUACCAUCUUUGGGUAAUUAGUUUAUCUAGUCUACAUGAUUAAAUUAAUGGACAUAUAAUUCUCUAUUGAUAGAACAAAAAACAUUGCUUUGUAGUGAAGAUAAGGAAUACCAUAUUUGGGUAAUUAGUUUAUCCAUACUCGGAUUAUGAAUUUAGCCCACCAUCAGCAGGGGAUUGCUGAGUUUUAUGUGACCAUAAUGCCCUUUCGGUUUGUAGUGAAGAUCCAAGCAUGUAAUUAAUAACACCUCUAAUUAAUUAAUUAAUUAAUCCCCUAAAACUAACUAUGGUUAAAUUAAACUGGUGGUAGGUGCCAGUGUACAUAGGGGCACAUAUGGUCAAAUAUGUUUUAAUUAUUAGUCUAAUAUCUUUUGAUACUUAUCAAUAACAACAAAAUAAUGUAAAAUCGUGUGAAUACAAUUCAAGGGUAUAAUGGUCUAGACAGAGAUUAUUUUUAUUAAAGAUAUUUAUUUAUUAAUCAUCAGAGAAGAAGGAAUUAAUAUGAAAGAAUCACUUACUGCAAAAUAAUCUUCAAAUGUAAAAUCAACAUAGCCUAAGCCCUGAUUUUUAUUUCACCACAGGUUGGCGAGCUGGCGGGAAUAGCUUUGGGAGCAACUGUCAUGCUUAAUAUUCUUAUAGUUGUGUACGUUAUGGUCAAAAUAGUUCAGCAAGAACCUCUGUUGAAAUGAUAUAGGCCACUAAUUAUUUAAAACUAUCACUGGCUCCUCAUUAUGGUCAAAAUAGUUGGUCUGUUAAAAAUUGUGACUAUGAGCAAUUUGCCACUUCUAAAUGGGUUCUUUGUAGUUUUCCUUUCUAUAAUUCAGGAAAUAGGAUCAUAUUUUACUCUUGCAGAAAUAGUUAUGGUCUGUGAGCAUUCUUCCAGAUUGUAAGAACGUAAUUUUCAACACAACAAAGGUGAAAUUAUAUCUAUGUUUUCUUGUGUAUUUAACUUCACAGGAGCUGAAACAUGAUCUAAUUUUUUUUAUCUAUUGGUUAUGUUGAAUAUGGAUAAAAGGUUGUGGCUCAGAAAAGUGUUGGUGAUGCUUCUACAUUUGUUGAGAGUGAAUUUUCACUGUCAAAUUCAAGUUGGAUUUGGUAUGUAGAAAAAGUGUGUGUUUAGAGUAAGGACUUUUUCCUUGUUGGACUGUAAUAGUAGACCAAUAUGAUUCGUUUUAUAAAACCCUUAGACAGAUCACAGUUGGUUCUGCAAUUGCAUGGUCAGGUAAACAUUCUAAACACAUUUUCAAUUUAUUUUGUGAUAUUUAAUUUCUCCCAUAUUCUUUUAAAUUAUAUUAUAAUAUGCUUAUAAACACUACUUUCCUUUCAUGUAGCCAAAAAAUUGUCCCAAAGUUGACUGAGGUACUUUGGACAAAAAUACAAUGUUAGCUUACAUCUUUAUUAGUUAAUAUAAUCAAAUUUCUAAUUUUAGGUGCUAACUGAUACGCGUCCGCAAGUUCAGUCUGCAUGGCAGACAACACUCCAGCAGGUUUGACUAUAUUCUUAUGGGUUGUGGCAUUCACAUUCCCAUAGUGAUCUUGAUAAAGUUGCUUCUAUUUCCAUGCUAAGUUGGCUUUUAUUUGUAAUAUAGGAGGUCCAAAAUCUUGCAAAGAAGGCUGCAGAAACUGUGGUGUUGGUAAUUGAUGAUGAAGGGACUGAGUAUUUGAUAUCAGAACUUCUCAAGUUGCUUCUAUUUCCAUGCUAAGUUGGAUUUUAUUUAUCUUACUGUUUAUUAUCAUUUUUUAUAUAAAAUUUCAUCAUUUAUAUUAUAUAUAUAGUACAUUAUAGACUUUGCAUCAUAAUUUGUUGAAUGUUACAAGAUAUAAUUCAAAAUUCAAUUUCCUCAUGUUGUUGCUGAAAUGACAGCAAUUGGUUUUGGCCUACCAAAGAAUGCAUUCACCGCUUUAAUGAAGAAUGUAAGUGUUUAUUUUUCUUUUCUGUUUGGUGAAAAUCAUCAAAUGACAAUCUCAUUAUAUAUCUUAGGAUCUUAUCAGUUAAUAAACUUGAUCGUGGGUAUGAUCAAGCAUAGGUUUACAUUUAUACCCCUGCUUUUAUCUUUUAUCUUUUAUGUUAUAUAAUUAUAUUCCCCCUUUUUUUAUCAGGUUAAUUUGGUGGUUAAUUAUGAUCUUCCUAUAAGACAUGAUCAUCAAUCUCACUACAAGAAAAAUACCCUUUUACGACGCGCAAAACACGACGCUCUUUGAUUUAUGUUACGCAUUAGAGAGCGACAUUAAAAAAGUGUCAUCUCUUAAAAAAUUUUAAGGAUUUAGGUCGCGCAUUACUGAGUGCCCUUAAAUUAGUGUCUCAUGUAAAAAUAUUAAAAACACGGAAGGCACUUGUGCGUCGUCUGUGAAUGUCGUUUUAUAUUUUUUUUUAAGAAACACGCGUCUCGGAGGGAAAAUGAAAUCCCCAAAUUUUUUAAACCCCCACCUUUUUCUCCCUCGUCUCCACCCCUCAUCCACAUCCACUACCUCCGAUCCUCAUUUCCUCUUCUAGCCUCAAACUACGGCGAUGCACCUUCCUUCUCGAAGAAUGCUUCAUUUACCACCAUCGUCCGAUUAUGUGAGCCCAAGGAAUUGACCAAGACGAAGAAGAUAAUGGAUCAAUUGCUUCACAUCAUGUUUAAGGUUAAGGGUUUGAGUUAGUCCGCAACAGGUAAUCGAAUUUUGCCUAAUAUAUAUUUCUACUCUCAAACUGUUUAUUCGUCCGAUUGGAUGCAUAUUUACUAUUAAAUUUGGGGAUUUUCUUUUAAAACCCCCGCGCCUCUUCUUGUUUGUAGCUAAACAACCGUGAAUUUGUUAGAGUGAUUGGAAGAGGAAAAAUAGAAGAUAGAAGAAAAAGAAGAAGAAGAAAAGCGAACAAACGGGAUUUCUUGACCUGAUGUGUUAAUCCGUGAUCAGGUCUUCUGAGCGAAGAGAAGAUCUGAGGCUCAAUUGAAGAAAUAUGAGCGCUUCUAGAUUUAUAAAGUGCAUCACAGUCGGUGAUGGCGCUGUCGGGAAGACUUGUCUCUUGAUUUCCUACACCCGUAACACCUUCCCCACGGUAAUCAUCUCUUCAUCAACCGCCUUCAGUUUCUGCCCAACUAAAGCACGGUUACACACUUAUUUCUCUUCGGACGUUUCUGUGGCUUCCAUGGGAACGGAGGAGGAUGAUAUAAAUGAGGCAACAACUUCAUUCGCUACAUGUUUGAACCUUAAAUUGAAGGGAUUAUAUAUUGAAAUUUGAAUCUACAACUUCGAAUUUCAGUCAUCUCUCUUCUCUUCUACAUCUCACCUGAUUCUCUAUUGAAAUUUCUAGGGUUUUUAAUUGAACCUACAUCUUCAUCUUAAUCUUCUUUUCUGAAGUUAGGGCUUUUUUCUUAAGAACAACUAAUUUUUUGCAGUAAGUAAACCUCUAAUUUUUUCAUUUCUCAUUUCCUUAGACCUCUCCCCUUUCCAUCUCAUAUCGAGGCAAAAUCAAUUUCACUUUGGUGGCUUCGAUUUCCUAGCACAUAUUAUGUUAUUAUAUGGAUUUGUAGGAAAUUAGAAAUCAUGUUAGAAUGUUUGAUGUUCUGUAUGUUCAUAAAAGUACAUCUAAAACAAAAAUCUUAGAUUAAACAAAACUGAAGCAUUUAAUGAGAUGUAAUUACUAACUUUUGUUGGAGAUGCAAAUGCUAAAUAAAGAAAACUGAAGCAUUAAAUGAGAACCUUUAUAAUUCGAUUUCAUUCAGAUCUUCGGUGGAUAUUUAGGGCUAACAAAGAAAACUGAAGCAUUUAAUGAGAUGUAAUUACUAACUUUCGUUCAAGGUAACCCCUGUUAUGAAUACAUGUAAGAAUUUAUUUAUCUUUUUCUCUCACCACUUGCUAUCCAUGUGCUGCUCUCUCAUAGUUGAUAUCUAACAACAAAGACCUGAUCAGUCUAGUUUGCUUGUUUUUUUUCUUUUUCUUAUAAUUCUUGAAUACGUGCAGAUUUUUUAAGACUUCUAGUUUUGUUUUUUGUUCAGUGAUAUUGAUGAUGAGGCAAGUUUAUCAACACUAUGGGAGAGAUAUCAAAGUGUCUCUGAAAAGGUAUUGCGAUAUCAAAGCAUAAAUUAUUUAUGGAUUAAAAUGGGAAAAUGACUUAUAUGGGUAAGAAAGUUUUAAAAACUUUUAAAAAUGACUAUCAAAGUAUUGUUUGUAUAAAAAACACCAACCAAGUUUACCAUUUUGUCAAAUCUAACAGGUUGGUAACCUGCAUCUGCCGGUCAAAAAAAAUUACCUGAUCAUUUUAAAAACUGAAAUUAUAAAUGACAUGGCAUCCUUUUUUAGUCUUACGUGGAUUAAUUGCAAGGGAAGAUCCAUUUUCUCAGCGUUCUUUCUCAAAAUCAGGAGGGAGUCAACACAGAACCCUCUCUAGGGUUAGUUUCUGCCCCUGUAUACAGUUAUUUUUGUUUAAAUUGACUGAUUUUAACAGUUGACGAAUAUGCUCCUGCUUUGGGCUAAUCACACAUAUGUCUUUUUUAUGACCAAAUUGCCCCUGUAUAUAGUUUUUUUUUGUUACAAUUGACUGAUUUUACCAGUCAAUUAAGGUGUUGUUUAGAAACUGUUAGUAUCCAAGACCAUUUACAUGCUCGUGCACAAAGACGAAUUUGCCCUUGAUUGUGACCAAACUGCCCCUGUAUACAUAUUUUUUAUUACUAAAAACACCCCCUGUCCUAGAAAAAUAUGACACUUCUAUACAAAAGCUAAUACCAAUUUCUCACUACAAAUCAACUAAUAAGAAAAGAAGUGGGCAACUCUCUAAAAUGACCAAAAUUUGAAUUGCAGUGUCACAAAUUGACAAUUUUUUAAAGCUAUAAUGAAAUAAUGCUUUGUUUUGUAAAAUAUACAAAAUCCGUUUGUUGUUGUGUGCAACUAAUCCACAAACAUUUACAUAAUUCUCGUUAGUGUACUUUGCAAAGUGGUGCUGAAGUAAUUUGGGCAACAAAAGUACAUAUAACUAUAUUAAUAUUCUCUAAAUAAUCAUAUAUAAUGAAAUAAUGGUUUGUUUUGUAAAAUAUACAACCCAUACUGUAUUUUUGAUAAAAAAAAAUAAUGAUUUUAAGAGAUUUUGUCCGAAAUACCCUUAUAUACUCUUUUUUUUGGUAAAAAAUUAAUGAUGUAAUAGUUUUUGACUAAAAUGCCCGUAUAUACUAUUUAACAGGUUUGACCCCAUCUGAAUUAUGAUUCAGCUUAAAAUUGAAUGCCAUUUUGACAAUUUUAUUGCUUUUAAGACUAUUUACUGCUGAAAAUAUGUCAAAUUUGUUACAUUUUGCUGCUAUAAAUAGUCAAAAAAUAACUAAAAGUCUACAAAGAUUCAAGGUAACAGUAAAUAAUACUGGCAUUUCCAGCAGCAAAUCUUCAAUUGCAGGGACUAAACUUUGUCAUUUUUAGCAGAAAACUUUAUCAACCAACAAAAAGAGGUUAAUAAAGAAUCUAAAUGGCAUUCCAUUGUAACAGCAUCAAAACACGACCUGCACUCAAAACCCUCCAAAAUAGCCCCUACACUCAAUUGUAACAGCCCCUCUGUUGUGAUUCCUUUAACUGUGACCAAAUUGCCCCUCUAUUGUGAUUCCUUUAGAUUCAAGGUAACAUUGUUUUAAGUGAAAAGAUCAUUUCAUAACUUGUUUACAUAAAUUCUUUCUUAGCUUGUUUACAUAAAUUCUUUUUCUGUCAAUUCCUUUCAAGACAAAAAGAAAGAAAGCAGGAACUUAUAGCCAUGCAAGUAAUUUCAUUAUUUUUCUCAUUAACGAUUGUACUUCCUUUGCUCUUUCUUGCAUAAUAAUAAACAGAUUUAAAGAGGAGUGGAGCCAUAUGACCACCUGAUGCCCCCAAAUCAAUUUAUUUGAGCUAGAUUUGAACGAUUUACAAGGAGAAGAAGAAAAUCAAUUGUCAAGAGGAGAGGAGAUGUAUGACCACCCACCUGAUGCCCUAAAUCGAUUUAUAAUAUGUAUUUUUCAUUUAAUGCUGAGUAGAUGUGCAACACACUACCUAAAUAUGCCAACUAAUCAUUACUUUUGCCAACUCAGCCGUUCACCUGGAGAUCCGGUUACCACCGGGUCAUAUUUGAACAAAAGAUAAACUUCGUUGGUAUUUUUUGUACGACGCCUAUAGUUAAAUGGUAUUUUUGAACAACUAAAACUUCAAUGGUUUUUUUUGAAUGUUUUUGAAACUUUCUUACCCUUAUAAGUCAUUUUCUCGAUUAAAAUUGAACUUUUUUCAUACAUUACCUAACAUUGACUUGUCUUAAUUUGCAGGCAGAAAUACAAAAGGCUUUUCAUAUAUUUCUUAAACAAUUUUUUGUAAUAUACAAGAAUUGGGAGCCAUUAGAUUUAGAUAAUUCCAUAGAACCUUUCAUUGAUUCAAGGGAUCCUCUUUCUGAAAAAAAGAUUGCAGUGGCAUCAGAAGGCAGUCAUAUCAGUGAUGGAAGCUGGUGGUCUUAAUUGGUUAGUAGGUAAGGUAUGCAUCUUCAGAUUUAAUUUCUAUUGAGAACUAAACACAUUUGAAUAUCUGAGAACUAAACACACUUGAAUAUUUAUAAAUGAUGCACACAUCCAAAGGGAUAAUAGCAAUGUUUCUAAUGGCGUCAAAUAGACCUGAUUGUGACCACUAAUGGUUCAUCAGGUUUGUUGAUUUUUAUUUUAUUUUAUUUGAAGUGCAUUAUCUGGUUUAAUAUGAAAUGAUUCAUGUUGAAAUUGGUUUCUUUUGUUACUCCAUAAUACUUGAUAUCUUAUUUUUUGCAUGCAGGUGCUAACAAAUAUGGUGUCAUUAUCAUUGUUGUUGUUGUUGUUGGAUACGGAUAUGUUUGGUGGAAGGUAAAUAUAAGCUCAUAUAUUAAUAUUAUUACUUUUUACAGUUAACUUGUACAUAGUUUUUCUUCAACUAACAGAAAUGGUAUCAUUAACAGGGUUGGAAACUUCCUGAUAUGAUGUUUGCUACAAAAUGAAGUUUAUCUGAUGCCACAUAUGCUUUAGCUAAAUAGAUUGACACUGUUUACUCAUCACUUGCAGUAAGUUAUUUAAAAACUUUGUUAUUUUUUUGUUAUUAAUUUGGGUUGUUUAUUAUGUUGUUUAGGCUACCAAGAGACAUUUAUCUACAAGGAUUGACCGUGUUGAUAGUAGUUUAGAUGAGGUUGCAGAAAUUACUGCUGCUAAAAAAGAGGAGGUAUGACAAGAUAAAGGUUGUUCUAGAUGUUUAAUCUAUACAUAAUGCGGUUUACACCCUGGUGUGGUUCUUUUCCAUUUUGUCUUGUGACUUUGAUAUUGUUUUCUGAGUUGGAUAUGUGGUAUGAUAAAUUAUUUUUACAUGAGAGUAGGCUGAGUAGGGUUGAAUUGAAAUAGGUACUGAAUAUUACCGUUUGACAUGCGAUUUUUUCUAGCUUAAUGAGAUAUUUAUAACAAAUAAUUUUGAAUUUUUGUUGUCUUUUGUAGGGAAAUCCAUCAAGUUCAUCAAGGCCAGCUCUUGAAUUACCAUAGAGAGUAAACUUCUAAUCUUAUACAAAUACAAUGAUUUGCUAAAUUCAAGAAAUAACAAUGCACUUUUAUUUAUUACUUUUAUUAAAACAUCCUAGUUUAAUUUCUAGCUUAAUGAGACAUUUAUUACUUUUAGCAGAGAUCGAUAUAUAUAUGAGCUUUUUGCUUUCAAACAUUGUUGGGGAAGAAUGUUGAAACUUGCUCUUUGUGAAGGUAAUUUUUUUUCUUAAUGCAUUAUCCUCUAUAUUCUUGAUAUUUUUCCCACUUUUUAAAUCUUUUAUCAAAUUCUCACUUUUGGAUACAGUGCUUGAUGAGAGAAUGUGUGACCUAAAUCUUUUAUCAAAUUCUCACUUUUGGAGUUGGCCAUAAGAAAAUGUAGGCAAAGGGUAAUUUGUUAUAGUUCAGGUUGACAAGGUGCUGUAUUUUUCACAUAAUUGACAAGGAGCUGUUGUAUCUAUUCAGACUAGACUUAGAGCAAUGGUUGCAAGAGAUGAGUUCAGCAGAAAAAGAAACAAGGCUGCAACUAUAGUUAAGGUACUAUGGAUGAAUUAUGUUUGUAAAGUAUUUAAGAAAAUGAUUAUAAACAAGGGUGAAUUUGUACAAAUUAGUUAGCUACUUGCANUGAGUAUUUGAUAUCAAAACUUCUCAAGUUGCUUCUAUUUCCAUGCUAAGUUGGCUUUUAUUUAUCUUACUGUUUAUUAUCAUUUUUUAUAUAAAACUUCAUCAUUUAUAUUAUAUAUAAUACAUUAUAGACUUUGCAUCAUAAUUUGUUCAAUGUUACAGGAUACAAUUCAAAAUUCAAUUUCCUCAUGUUGUUGCUGAAAUGACAGCAAUUGGUUUUGGCCUACCAAAGAAUGCAUUCACCGCUCUAAUGAAGAAUGUAAGUGUUUAUUUUUCUUUUCUGUUUGGUGAAAAUCAUCAAAUGAAAAUCUCAUUAUAUAUCUUAGGAUCUUAUCAGUUAAUGAACUUGAUCGUGGGUAUGAUCAAGCAUAGAUUUACAUUUCUACCCCUGUUUUUAUCUUUUAUCUUUUGUGUCAUAUAAUUAUAUUUCCCUUUUUUUAUCAGGUUAAUUUGGUGGUUAAUUAUGAUCUUCCUAUAAGACAUGAUCAUCAAUCUCAACCUGACCAUGAAGUGUAGUUGCACUGAAUCGGAAGAGCAGGGUGAUUAUGGGAGAUGUUAAGUAGUUAUAGGGCUUUAGAUGCUUUCCCUUUGGGUAGGAAAUGUUUUUAAGACAUGAUCAUCAUUCUCUACCCCUGCUUUCCCUCUGGUGUUUAUCUCCCAUAAAACCCUAAAAUGUGGAUGUGCUAAAACUGAAGAAAUUAGAAGACACAUACUGGAUUUUAGCAAGUCGGGUAAGUUUAAAAAUAUCUUAAUACGAUAUUGAUUAGAUUACACAACAUGUAAUGUAGAAAAUAUCAUGAAUAUUUAUGAUCAAUAUUCAACUUUUGAAAAUGUAUCCAGUUUGAUGUUUAUCUAUUUGACAUUUUUUUGAUAGAAAAUGAGAAUACCGGAGAAGAUGAACCACAAAUUUACAUUGAAAUGAUCAAUGGAAUUAUCAAAUCCCUUCAGGUAUCAUCUCAUAUCACUUGCUUAUGAAAUUUAUUCAUCUAUACUUGAAAAGAUAUAUUUAUUUUUGUGUUGUUUCCAGGCUAUCCUUGAUGCAGUUCUCAGCACAACAAUUAUGAUUUUAUGAUGUUAGGCUAAACUAUAAAGCAAUCAUUCUUUGUUUUAGGAAACGUUUCAGAGCUUCUUUAGGCAGCUUAAUGAUGAGUUAUUGAAACAAAAUGGUGCCCCUUUAUAGCAAUGUAGUAUUAGGUUAUAUAGAUAGGAAAAACCUCUUAAUAACAACGUACAAUUAGAUCCCCUUAAUAUCAAUGUAUUACAAUUUUAUGACAUGAUGUUAUUGAAUGAAAUUGAUUGUGUAAUGGAUUGUAUUUUUUGUAUAUGGUAUUUUAUUUUCUAUUAUGAGACAUGAAAUGCAAAUUUAAUUUGAAAAUUAGUAAAUCUAUAAAUAAUUUUUAAAAAAAAUAAAAUAAAAAUUAUGAUACGCAAAAAUGUGUGUCAUCUUCAUUUAUGACAUGGCCUUUCUUGACAGUGGCUUUAAUGAUACGCAUUGCGUGUCAUAAAUACGUGUCGUCUAUAGACGACGCGCAAAAGCGCGUCGUCUCUCGUUAUGACAGGGCCUUCCUUGACGCGCAUGCGCGUCGUCUGACCGUUUUACGACUCGCAAUGAGCGUCGUAAAAGGCAUUUUUUCUAGUAGUGUUUGAGACAAGAAAUCAGAACCAAUGUACCUUCCGAGCUCGCUACUUGGCGCGUUAGACCGAGCUCGUUUGGAAUUUUCAUUCCUCAAAGUAUUAUAAAGCCUAAUUGUUUCGUUAUUUUAGUGAAAAGUGGAUCCGGGUGCCCCCAUAUUUUGCAUCACGUCAUGAAUGUUUGUUGAACCAUAUUUUGUUAAAUAAACUUCAAAUAAAUUUUGAAAAACUUUGUUAAAUUUUGAAACUUCCUUUGAUGCAUAAUCAAUGUCAUCAUCCAAUAAACCCAAAUCGUAACAAAUAUUUUCAAUUAAAGUCUCAACCCCCCCAACAUUUAGAGUUGGAUUCAAAGUGGCGGAACAAGUAAUAAUGGGAGCCAUUUCUUGAAAAUAUUUUUUUAACUUUGCUUUCAUCGGUUUCAUCAUAUUAGCAAACAUUGUGCUCCUCAUUUCAAACUCAUUUAUUUUCGCACACAUUAAAAAAAUUUGGUUUAAAACUAAACAACUUGUAGGAUAAUAAACCCCCGAUAAAAAAGUGGUUGUUUUUUUUUUAAAAAAACAUCAAGCAUGUCUGUAACAAGUUUGAUAGUAUCCCAACUUGAUUCCGGAUAAGCCGUAACCUUAUUACGGUCCGAAGGUUGUCAUGUAACAUUUUUAAAGUAUGUUUUUGACGUAAGGCACAUUCAAAAAUUUUGCAAGUGGAGUCCCAUCGGGUAUUAUUUUCCCAAUUCAGACCUAAAAAGAGGGCAUUCGCAUCGACACAAAAUUGCAUAUAAUUAUGAUAUCGAGCGUUACUAGAACUAAAAAUAUCUUUUAGCAUGUCUUUGAAACCAUCUUUUAUAGUUUCAAUGUGAGUUAGUCCAUCUUGCACAACCAAAUUAAUCAUAUGUGCAACACAUCGACUAUGAAAAAUAAACACCAUCACAAAUUGGUUUAUAUUUUAGUUUUAGUUGUCCAACCGCGACGGUGUUGUUUGAAGCAUUAUCAAAAGAUAUAGAAAAAAUCUUUCCUUCAAGUUUAUAAGUUUUGAUCACACAAUCUAAAAUUUUAAAUAAAUUUCUAUCGGUGUGCGGGUACUCAAACAAUUCAAACGUAAUCGUAUGCUUUAUCAUUACCCAAUUAGUUGGAUUAAUCCAAUGAGCGGUAACACAAAGGUACGCAUCCGGUGAACCGUCAGGAGCCGUCCAAACAUCACAAGUUAAAUUCACACCGGUUUCUAAAGAUUGAAAUCCUAAAAUCAAUUCAUUUUUUGCAAGUUUCCACAUUUCAAUACAAUCGCGUCUAAUAGAAGUACGACUCACAUGGCAAUAUCGUGGUUGGAGAGUAUCUUGGAUGAGUGAAGUCAAUCGUUUGUUGUCGAAGUGGUCAAAAGGCAAGCAUUCUUGAAUCACGAACUUCGUCAUCCUAUCCCGAACUUUAGCCAUAUCGUAACUCCACAAUGUUGCAUCAUUCGUCAUUCUUGUUUGAAUAUGUCCCGACCCAAAUUUCACCGUGGGGCAUCUUUUGGUCAUAUGAUUUUUCAAUGUCGAAUUCUCAUCUUCAUUAAAAAAAGCACCACAUUUCUUGCAUUGCGCUUUUUUAUACCGUUCGACAUUACACACAAAUCGUAGUUGCACAAAAUAGCCGGAUUUCUAUUUGUUUCUUUGAUGCUAACAACGGUAAGAGUGUUUGAUGAAUCUCGAACACCAACGGAAGCCGAAUCCAUUGUUUGAAUUAAGAGUGGUUUUUGAACUAAGAGAGGUUUGCGGUUUUUGAACUAAGAGAGGUUUUUUGAGGUUUGGUUAAGGUAAAGUUGAGACCUAAAAAUGUAAUACAUAUAUAUAUACUAUAAGGAAUAGUUAAUAUGGUAAAAAAGAAGCAAAAAUCGAGUCUUGAACAGCCUCAAACGACUAUAUAGCCGUUAGGAAAAGACAAAAAAACGGUAACAUUACAAAAACCGGUUCACCAACGGCACUUUCGAAAUCUGGUUCAAAACUGGUUCAUCACACCUGUUCAGAAUAAACCAGUUCCAAACCGGUCUCCAGGGUAAAACAUGCGAACUGGUAACAUCCGAUGGUUCGGUUCACUAUGGGUUCGGUUCUUAUGUGAACCGGUUCAAGGCUAAACCGGUUUCCGGUUCACCAACCGGUUCGGUUCCUAAACCAGUUUUUUUGCCCACGCCUACCACUAGCUAGUCUAGGUGGGCUUUUAGUACGGGGGUUUUCAUGAGGAAUAGGUUGAAAGGAGUGUUGGCAUCUCACUGCCGUCAUCUGUUACCAUUUCAUAAGGAGUGGUAGCAUUCCUAGCACAUUAGAUUUUUUUUUUUUGAUUUUUUUUUUUGAACUUAAAUAAAUUAUAUUUUUAUAAAACACAAACAAUUCAAUAUUAAUCAAGAAACUAACUACAUUUUAUAGAUAAAUUUACCUUAUUUAAACAAGGAUUAAUAGAAAGGUCAAAUAAAAUUUAAAUGGUUAACGACAUGCUUAAAAUUUUACAAAUAUAUUGAUUUUGUAACGACACAAUUUUCUACUCUAUCAAGGUAAAGAAACAUUUAUGUUAAUAAUAAAGUGACACUUUAAUAUAUAUCUUCAAAUAAUUAUUAAAAAUAAAUAAUACUAUAAAAAAUUACCAAUACUAUCUAGAAACAAAAACCACUCACAGCACGGAAUUUACAAAACAACCAUCCAACUUCCUUAUUUUUUUGAAAGAGCUUUUACGAUCUCCAUUUCCAUUUCCUUUUUUUCUUAAAAUUACAUCUUACAUCUUCCAAUUUGCUAUUAUCAUUUCUUAAGUUUGUGAAAGUAGACUAUUCCACAAAACUACUCCUCCAAUUGUGUGAAACACGAAGCAAAAGCGAGACCUUUGAGCUUUUUCUUAAAAAAUAAUCCUUGUUUGAGAUGGAGACCACACCAUUGAUGGGAGAAAUGAAGGUUCUAGAGAACGAUUGUAAGAGGAAGAUUAUUGUAUCCACAGGCCAAUAUCCAACAAAUCUCUUUCUCUUUCUUCUCGCUAUGGUGUUGACGAGCCAUGGCUGGCGACUUCCUUGGCGCAAGCCAGGGGGCGGCCUUCAGCGCCCUUGGCGACCGGUGGCGACCUCCAUAGCGAGGCCCACUCCCUAAAGCCUUAUAACACACCAUUUAUUGACCAAGUUUACCCAACAAUGCAUCCCAAUUCAUUAGAUUUGUCUUAUCAUUAUACUUUUUAUACAAUUUCAUCAUUUUUCUAUAAUAUAUUAAAACUCUAUGAAAAUUCAAAAGAAUAUACUUUUGAAUUUUCAUAGAAUUUUAUUAUAUUAUAGAAAUAUGGUGAGAAUCCUAGAUGCUUUUAUCUCUCUUUCAGACUUAAAAGCCAGUAUGCGUUCAAUAAGUACGUGGCCAACUCCGGACCUAGCUUUUGCGAACGUGGGACGUUCACUUCGGAUAGCCUCGAAAUGAGUACCUCUUACUUUAAAAAUUUAUAACUUUGGCAUACGAGCUCCGUUUUCGACAUUCACUUUCAUUUAGACUCUGUUUGCUAAUUUUGAUUUUUAUUUUUAAAUUUAUAUUUUUUAACAGGCCGGGACUGGAAAAGCCCGUUAAAAAUUCAUAACUUCUUCAUCCGACGUUCGUUUUCGUAUGACUUUUUACCAUUAAACUACUAUCGACGAGAUUUUUGAUUCUCAUUUACAUUGUGUUGGAUAAAAAUCGCUCGAUCUAUACUUCGAACUACGGGCUGCACAAUGUUAUGCCAAAUCUUAGAAAAUUCAUAACUUCCUCAUACGAAGCUAGAUUUGGAUUUCUUUUUUAUGCACGCUCUUGGUUUAACGUAUACUACGAUUUUCAUUUAGAUUGCUAAGGCUAAAAAACACUUUAUCGUAAACUCACUUUUCACGUCACACAAUGUCAUGUCAGUUUUGUCGCGAAACUUCGAUAUGUCAUAAAUUCUUCGUGAUCAGGGCCGAUCUUGAAAAAUGAAAUAUUCUUGGAGCCCCAGGACGAGCAAGAAAAAAAUGGCCCUUAUCUUUAUUAUAAUUUUGUAAUUUUAAAUAAAAAUAUAUAAUGAAAAAAAUUAGGCCAUGUGCAGCUGCCCACUUUGCCUCCUUCUAAGCCCCCAUUGUUCAUGAUAACUCGGAUUUCAGCGUUCUUUAUAUUUCUGGAGUCCUUGUCACGACCACUACAACUUUCUUCAUAGAUAUCGGGUUUAUAUAACAUUUUAUUUUUGACGCUUAUUUUUAUUCUUAAUUAAUUAUAUCAUUAUAAACAAGUAUAUAAUCACAUAAAAUCACGUAAUUCACAUAAUACUCAAGUAAUUCAUCUUUAUUACAUUAAAAUAGGUUACAAUGGUUGACCUUGACUAUUACAUCAUCAUACUAAUGUGAAACAACCUAAAAUACGACCCAAUUUUUUUUUUGUUAAAAUAAUACUAAAGAUAUCAACCAUCAUAAUAUAUCAUGAAAUCGUACGUCAUAAAUCCCCAAAAAGUUAUAAUAGAUAUGUCAUGACAAAAGAGUUGUAUCAACAUACCAUAGUAUCUAAAAUAAACUCCCAGGACAAAAGUUGAAACUGUGGUGUGUGCAAUGUCAUCAUCCUGAGCUCUUUCCUUUGCUUGCGGAAAUACCUGAAACCAAAACUGAAACUGUAAGCACAAAGCUUAAUGAGCUCCCCCAAACUACCACAUACCAUACAAUAGCAUAUACAACACAUACUAGGCCUUGCCCACUGCAUCGGACCGAAGUCCGGAAAUUGCAUCGGACCGAAGUCCAGAACUAACCAAGGCCUUGCCCUCUGCAUCGGACCGAAGUCCGGAACUACAUCAGACCGAAGUCCGGAAACUAACCAGGGCCUUGCCCUCUGCAUCGGACCGAAGUCCGGAACUAACUGCAUCGGACUGAAGUCCGGAACUGACUGCAUCGGACCGAAGUCCGAAAUUGUCUGAACAUAACAUAUCAUAAACAUCUCAACCAGUAUGAACACAUAAACUGCAUAUCGCAUCAGACCGAAGUACGAAACACAUAACACAAAUACAUGCUUGAAUCACAAAGACAUCAAGCAUUCUAAGUACUGCAACGGACGGAGGUCCGAAACUUCUGCUAACUAAACCGACCGGCAUUGUAGCCGUAGACCCGUUCCUACUGGAAGGAAAACUCACCUCGUAAUGCUGGCUGCUGAGAUGCUAACUCUAAAAGUGACUGACCGCUGCUUCGGAACUGUCCGACUACAAAUCCCAGAAACACUAGAUUAGUUACUUGCAUAUACCCUCAGGGUAAGAUGACUAUUUUGCCCCUGGUCAAAGUCAACUUCUAGUUGACCGGACUCGCCGACUAUGGGCGCAGAACCGCCGAGUCCCUCCUUUACUAACUCUGACUUUAACUCACCGAGUCCCUUUCCCACUCACUGACUCUCUCUGAACUCGUAGGUCGAAGAAAAAAGGGGACUCACGACUCGACUCGUCGAGUCUGAAGAACAACUCGCCGAGUCCUGCCGUGCAUAUUCCAAACAAACGAAUUCAAAACUAUUCCAGAGCAUCUGACUUGAAGAUCUGAGCCCUUGGAACUAUCUAAACACGUGAAGUUUCUAACUUUACGUGCAACUAAGAAGGAAUGAAGCUAUUUCACUCAAACACUACUUUUCUUGGGAAAACUCAUCCGACUCGCCGAGUUGUAUGAACAACUCGUCGAGUCUAAGGUGAUCUUCAUCGGACUCGCAGAGUUGCUCAUCAAACUCGUCGAGUCUACGACUAUCUUCAUAUGACUCGCCAAGUCACACAUGCGACUCGCCAAGUCCAUUCAGUCCCUUUUUCCAUACAGACCUGAUUUGGGCCAUGCAGUGGCUCCAAAUCACAGAUCCAAGAUUCUAGGGCAUGCUUAUCACGUAAAUUUGCAAACUUUACGUGCAUGCAUGGCUUUAAAGGCUUCAAAUGCCAACCCUAAGCUCUUAAUGGGGUUCCAAGCUCAAGAGGGACCUCAAUCACGACCAUAACCGAAACUUUACUCUUCUAGAAUGCAAUGAGAGUCUAGAUCUGAUGUUUCCAUAAAAGGGGAAGUCCAUCUCUCAAGUUUGAACCAUAAGAGGCUCCAAAGAGGGCAUAACAAGCAUAUAUGAGGUUAUAAUGGGGGAAUGCACAAGGUCAUAACUUCAUUACCUGAAUGAAAAACAGAUGUAAGCUAACUCCUAGAUUUUCCUUCCCUUCUAUGGACCUUCCUUCCUUCCCAAAGCUUCCAAGCUAUCACAAAUACCCUCAAACUCAACAAUGGGGCUAGGGUUUACAAGGGAAAUGUUAUGAGAGUGAUAGAGGCGAGGUUGGGGGCGCAUAAGUGUGUUUAAAUAGGGUGAAAACCCUUAAAAUUAGGGCUUCAUCCAGACAGGCGGACUCGCCGAGUCCAACGUAUGGACUAGUCGAGUAGCCAUCUCAAAACGCGUGAUCGUCCCGUCUCUACUUGACGAGUCAGGCUACAGACUCGUCGAGUACCCCUUCAGAAAUGAAAAUACUUUAUUUGAAUUACAUACCAGAAAUGGGGCGUUACAACUCUCCCCCACUUAUCUUAGACUUUGUCCUCGUAGUCUGCUGCUGCUGCUGAAAAUAACUCUGGGUAAUGCUCCCUCAUCUCCUACUCGGACUCCCACGUCCACUCUGAACCCUUUCGGUGCUGCCACAACACCUUCACUAGCUGAACCACCUUGUUCCUCAAGGUCUUCGUCUUCCAAUCUAUGAUCGCAACUGGUCUCUCGAUAUAAUUCAGGCUGCUAUCAACCUGAAUAUCCUCCAAGGGUACAACUGCUGACUUGUCCACCAAACACUUUCGCAACUGGGAAACAUAGAAAGUGUUGUGGAUCUGGCUAAGCUCUACCGGAAGAUCCAACCGAUAAGCAACCCGACCCACCCGGACCAAAACCCUAAAAGGGCCAAUGAACCUGGGACCCAGCUUGCCUCUCUUCCGAAACUUGAUAACACCCUUCCAAGGUGAUACCUUCAGGAGGACCAUAUCGCCCACCUGAAACUCCAAGUCCGAACGCCUCUUGUCGGUGUAACUCUUCUGCCUACUCUGUGCAGUCUGCAGUCUACUACGAACCUGCUGGAUCAACUCUGUGGUCUUGAGCACCAUUUCAGUGCUCCCAAUGACUCACUGACCAACCUCGCCCCAACAAAUCGGAGUCCUGCACUUCCUUCCGUAUAGCAUCUCGAAAGGAGGACGUUUAAUACUAGUGUGGUAACUAUUGUUAUACGGAAAUUCCGCUAGUGGGAGAUACGUAUCCCAACUACCACCGAAGUCUAGAACACAUGCCCGGAGUAUGUCCUCGAGAGUCUGAAUUGUCCUCUCACUCUGCCCGUCCGUCUGGGGGUGGAAGGCGGUGCUAAAAUGAAGACGAGUCCCCAUCUCGUCAUGAAACUGCUUCCAAAAUCUGGAAGUAAAACGGACGUCUCGGUCUGACACUACCGAAACAGGCACUCCGUGCUGUGCUACUACCUCGCGUACAUAGAUGUGGGCUAGCUUCUUAGCCGAUAUGCUCUCCUAGAUCGGUAUAAAAUGUGCGCUCUUGGUCAGCCGAUCCAUUAUGACCCAAAUCGAAUCCACUCCCCGUGCGGUCCUGGGAAGCUUGGUGACAAAAUCCAUGGUAAUGUCCUCCCAUUUCCAUAUGGGAAUAUCUAACGGCAGCAUCUUGCCGUGGGGUCUCUGGUGCUCUGCCUUGACCUUCCUGCAGGUCAGGCAUCUCCCCACAUUCCAGGCGACAUCCUGCUUCAUGCAGGGCCACCAAUAGUCGGGUCGAAGAUCUCUGUAGAUCUUCGUUGCCCCUGGGUGGAUGGAAAAUCAAGAAUUAUGAGCCUCGUCCAUCAAUACCUGCCAUACUCCGCCCCAGUACAGUACCCAAACCCUCCCAUGGAGGGUCAACAAUCGUUAACUGUCAUAAUCAAAGGAAGCUACUCGGUCCACGAUUCUCUCACACUUCUGCCUCUCCUCCUUGAGGCCCUCGACGUGUGCCUCCCUGAUCUGCUCCAACAAGGGAGUAAUCACUGUCAUCCUCAAGCAUACAUCCCUGAUCGGGGCCGCUGCCGUCUUGUGGCUCAGGGCGUCGGCCACUACGUUGGCCUUCCCCGGGUGAUAAAGGAUCUCACAGUCGUAAUCCUUCACCACAUCUAACCACCGACGCUGCCGCAUGUUAAGAUUCGGCUGGUCCAUGAGGUACUUCAGACUCUUGUGAUCCGUGUAGAUGGUGCAACGGACCCCAUAGAGGUAGUGUCUCCAAAUCUUGAGGGCGAACACCACUGCCCCCAACUCCAAAUCAUGCAUCGGAUAGUUAGCCUCGUGAGACUUCAACUGUCUGGAGGCAUAAGCUAUCACAUGCCCCCGUUGCAUCAACACUGCCCCCAUAUCUGCGAUCGAGGCAUCACAGUAGACUACAAAAUCAUCCACUCUCUCCGGCAAGGUCAGAAUCGGUGCCUCGCACAAUCGCUGUCUGAGAGUCUCGAAAGUCGCCUGCUGCUCAGGCCCCUAACGAAACACCACCGACUUCUUGGUUAGUCGGGUGAGUGGAACUGCUAUCUUGGAGAAAUACUGAAUGAAUCUCCUGUAGUACCCUGCCAAACCUAGGAAGCUCUGAAUCUAUGAUGGAGACUUUGGGACCUCCCACUGCAUCAUGGCCUCUAUCUUGGCCGGAUCUACCAGUAUACCCUUCUGGUUGAUGAGGUGCCUAAGGAAUUGCACCUCGCGCAACUAGAACUCGCACUUGGAGAACUUUGCUAAAAGUUUCUCCCUCCUCAAGACCUCUAGCACCUCCCUUAGGUGCUCCUCGUGCUGCUCCUGAGUCUUGGAAUAAACCAAGAUGUCAUCGAUGAAUACAAUCACAGACCGGUCCAACAUCGGCAUGCACACGCGGUUCAUGAGUUCCAUGAACGCGGAUGGAGCGUUGGUGAGCCCAAACGACAUCACCACAAACUCAUAAUGACCAUAACGGGUCCUAAAAGUUGUCUUCUGAACAUCCUCACCCCUGACCCGCAUCUGAUGAUAACCGGAGCGCAAAUCAAUCUUGGAAAACCAAGACGCUCCUUGAAGCUAAUCGAACAAGGCAUCUAUCCUCGGAAGUGGGUAACGGUUAUUCACCGUUACCUUGUUCAACUCCCAGUAGUCUAUGCACAUACGGUGCGACCCAUCCUUCUUCUUCACAAACAAGAUUGGGGCUCCCCAUGGAGAACUAAUUAGUCUAAUGAAACCCUUGUCUAGCAGCUCCUGCAGCUGCGUAUACAACUCCUGCAUUUCUGGAGGAGCCAACCGAUACGGCGCCUUGGCUAUCGGAGCCGCACCAGGAACCAAGUCAAUCUUGAACUCAACCUGUCUCUCUGAAGGUAUCCCAGGUAAUUCCUCUGGGAAUGAGUCCGGGUACUCUCGCACCACUGCUACAUCAUCUACUGUCAUCGUACUCUUAUCCCGGGUAUCCAUCACAUAUGUGACAUAACCUGCUUAACCCUGUUGGAAGUAGCGCCUCACUCUCACUGCUGAACAAAGAAUCGGUCCGCGUUGUGGGCUCUCGCCCUGAAUCACUAACUCUCCCCCGUUGGGAGUGCGAACCCUCACUAGCUGCAAUUCGCAAUCAAUCAUCGCCCCAUUGGGGCUCAACCAAUCCAUGCUUACUAUGGCCUUGUUCCCUCGCAAAGGAAUAGGGACCAUGUCCACCGAAAACUGCUCAUCGAAUAACUGCAGUGAGCAUGCCUUAUGCACCCUCGUGACCCUGACGGUCCUAUCAUCGGCUAUCUCCACCUCGAGUGGACAAUCCAGCUCCCUAGGAUCUCUGCUAAACCUCUUGCUAAGUGCAAGAGAGACAAACGAUCGGGUAGCCCCUGAAUCAAAUGACACUGUAGCUGAAAUGUCGUUCACUAAGAACGACCCUAUACAUAAACAUAUAACAUUAGAAACAAUCAAUAAUCAAUGCAUAGAUAAAAGGAAAAUACAUACCCGUCACCACGUCAGGAGUCGCUCGCGCCUCCUCUGCUGUUAUCUGAAAAGCUCUACUCUUCGCCACUGGCACCUCGGCCCGCCCCUGACGACCGUUCGUAAUCCUCAAUGUAGCAGGGGCAGGUGCCGACACCUUCCCUGCUGCUGCUAAGCUUGGGCACUGGGACUUUUUAUGUCCCCUCUGAUUGCAAUGGAAGCAAAUCAGAUCUGAUGCUGCGGUAGCUGUGGUAGAAACUGUACAAUCUCUGCUCAUAUGCCUAGUCCAACCGUACUUGUAGCAGCCGGAACUCCCUGCCUUGCACGCCCCAUCGUGUAAUCUCCCACACUUGCCACACCGACUGUGGCUCUGCUGACCUCUGGACCUAUGAUCCGAAACCUUGGGCUUCUUGCCCAAACUCCCUGUACCCGAAGCCGCCUCCGCCUUCCUCUUAUUCUCCAUCUCAAGAUCAAUCUCUCUCUCUCUCUCUCUCUCUCUCGCCCUUGCAAUCAUAUCAUCCAGCAUCUUACAGCUGGAUCGGCUCACAAACUGGCGGAUAUCACUCCGCAGCGUCUCAUGAUAACGGGCCUUCUUCAUUUCCUCGUCAGCUGCGUACUGAGGAACAAGAAGAGCCCUCUCCCUGAACUUGGCGGUAAUCUCCGCCACUGUCUCUAUAGUCUGAGUAAGGUCUUGAAACUCUCUAGCUAACUGUUGCACCUCAAUAGUCGGUGCGAACUCGGCUCUGAACCUGGUGGUAAAAUCAGCCUAAGUCAUAGUAUCAAGUGCUAUGUCAUCCCUGAUACCAUGCCCAACCUCCUCCCACCAGUCACAUGCCCUAUCCUUCAGGAGACAGGAUGCUAAUCUGACCUUGUCCCCUUCGGGACAUCUGCUAGUGCGGAACACGUUGGCAACAUCUGCCAACCACCUAGUGCUCGCAAUGAGGUCCCGCACCCCAUGAUAGCCUGGAGCUCCACAAGCCCGAAACUCCCUGAAGGUGAGUGUGCGCGACCCCAUCAUGGCCGCCAUCUCAGCACGAAAUGUGCUCAACUUCUCAUCCAUCAACUCCAAGAUACCCUCCUUGAUCGAACCGAAGAUCACAGGACUCUGCUCAAGUAUGAUACGGGUAACCUCUGAAGUGAAAAACUCCCUAGUUUGCUCAUCCAACUGCUCGGCCCCCCAGCCUGAUCCUGAUCCUUCCUCGGCACCUGAGCUGCCGACUGCUGGCCUAGGGCGUAAAACCACCAUUCUGAAAACACAUCAUGAUAAACGUCAAAAACACUGAUAUAUCUCUAGGGAUCGCUACUACUAUAGGUUUCCUGGUCUCGCCUCUGCCUUCCUUGAUUCAAGUACAAAUCCUCAACAAAAACCAGUCCUCAACUGCUGAAGGCCUCCUUGUAAUGCCAAUUAGUCAUCACCUGAAUAUCAUCACAUGUGACGAGACUCAGAUAAUCCUUCGAGUAAAAGACUCAUUCCUACAACGGAUGGACUCAAACAAGAGCUGCGCAGUAGAGCCAAAUCCAGCACUCUGAGAUUAUUCAACCCUGAUCUCAGGCGAUGUGUCGUAUUCACCUAAUGGUUAACUCUCAUUACCCGGAGUCUCAUAAAGCACAAAGCAAGCAGCAUUCGGACACAGGAAACUAAUCAAGCCACUCUAUUCUCAUAACAAGAAAUUGUACUAGCAUACAAUGUUAAGCUCGUACUGUCAGGCAUAACCUAAACAGGCUAUCCUACUGCUGUCUACUCAAUACUAGCAUGCAGUUCUCAUAAAGCUGAAGCACAUAUAGCAUGCACAUAAGGCAUCCUGCUAGAUCCUUAGUCCUAUUCUAGCAUGCUGUUCUACUGAAACUAAAACUGAUAAUCAUAACAUAAACUUGUAUGGGUAAUUUAGGGGUACUUACUUGAGCUCGACUGAUCGCAUGCACCACACCCUUUUCUCGUUUUCAAAACUCUUUUCUUUUUAAGUCUCUUUCUCAAAAGUUCUUUUGAACACAUUUUUCUUUCGAAAAUCUUUUUUCUAUUUCCUCAGUUUGAGUUCAGUUACACCCGUAAGUGUGUCUGAAUCCCUCAAACCAAGGCUCAGAUACCAACUUGAAAUAACCCAAAAUACAACCCAAUUUUUUUUUGUUAAAAAAAUACUAAAGAUAUCAACCAUCAUAAUAUAUCAUGAAAUCGUACGUCAUAAAUCCCCAAAAAGUUAUAAUAGAUGUGUCAUGACAAAAGAGUUGUAUCAACAUAACAUAGUAUCUAAAAUAAACUCCCAUGACAAAAGCUGAAACUGUGGUGUGUGCAAUGCCGUCAUCCCGAGCUCUUCCCUUUGCUUGCGGAAGUACCUGAAACCAAAACUGAAACUGUAAGCACAAAGCUUAGUGAGCUCCCCCAAACUACCACAUACCAUACAAUCAUAUAAAACACAUAUUGGGCCUUGCCCACUGCAUCGGACCGAAGUCUAGAAAAUGCAUCGGACCGAAGUCCGGAACUAACCAGGGCCUUGCCCUCUGCAUCGGACCAAAGUCCAGAACUGCAUCGGACCGAAGUCUGGAAACUAACCAGGGCCUCGCCCUCUGCAUCGGACCGAAGUUCGGAACUAACUGCAUCCAACCGAAGUCCGGAAUUGUCUGAACAUAACAUAUCAUAAACAUCUCAACUAGCAUGAACACAUAAACUGCAUACCGCAUCGGACCGAAGUCCGAAACACAUAACACAAAUACAUGCUUGAAUCACAAAGACAUCAAGCAUUCUAACUACUGCAACGGACAGAGGUCCGGAACUUCUGCUAACUAAACGGGCCGGCAUUGUGGCCGUAGACCCGUUCCUACUGGAAGGAAAACUCACCUCGUAAUGUUGGCUGCUGAGAUGCAAACUCUAAAAGUGGCUGACCGCUGCUCCGGAACUGUCCGACUACAAAUCCCAGAAACACUAGAUUAGUUACUUGCAUAUACCCUCAGGGUAAGAUGACUAUUUUGCCCCCGGUCAAAGUCAACUUCUAGUUGACCGGACUCACCGAGUCAGGGCGCAGACUCGCCGAGUCCCUCCUUUACUAACUCUGACUUUAAUUCACAGAGUCCCUUUCCCACUCACUGACUCUCUCUGAACUCGUAGGUCGAAGAAAAAAGGGGACUCACGACUCGACUCGUCGAGUCUGAAGAACAACUCGCCGAGUCCUGCCGUGCAUAUUCCAAACAAACGAAUUCAAAACUAUUCCAGAGCAUCUGACUUGAAGAUCUGAGCCCUUGGAACUAUCUAAACACGUGAAGUUUCUAACUUUACGUGCAACUAAGAAGGAAUGAAGCUAUUUCACUCAAACACUACUUUUCUUGGGAAAACUCAUCCGACUCGCCGAGUUGUAUGAACAACUCGUCGAGUCUAAGGCGAUCUUCAUCAGACUCGCCGAGUUGCUCAUCCAACUCGUCAAGUCUACGGCUAUCUUCAUAUGACUCUCUGAGUCACGCAUGCGACUCGCCGAGUCCAUUUAGUCCCUUUUUCCAUACAGACCUGAUUUGGGCCAUGCAUUGGCUCCAAAUCACAGAUCUAAGCUUCUAGGGCAUUCUUAUCACGUAAAUUUGCAAACUUUACGUGCAUGCAUGGCUUUAAAGGCUUCAAAUGCUAACCCUAAGCUCUUAAUGGGGCUCCAAGCUCAAGAGAGACCUCAAUCAUGACCAUAACAGAAACUUUACUCUUCUAGAAUGCAAUAAGAGUCCAGAUCUAAUGUUUCCAUAAAAAGGGGAAGUCCAUCUCUCAAGUUUGAACCAUAAGAGGCUCCAAAGAGGGCAUAACAAGCAUAAAGGAGGUUAUAAUGGGGGAAUGCACAAGUUCAUAACUUCAUUACCUGAAUGAAAAAUAGAUGUAAGCUAACUCCUGGAUCUUCCUUCCCUUUUAUGGACCUUCCUUCCUUCCCAAUGCUUCCAUGCUAUCACAAAUACCCUCAAACUCAACAAUGGGGCUAGGGUUUACAGGGGAAAUGUUCUGAGAGUGAUAGAGGCGAGGUUGGGGGCGCAUAAGUGUGUUUAAAUAGGGUGCAAACCCUUAAAAUUAGGGCUUCAUCCAGACAGGCGGACUUGCCGAGUCCAGCGUAUGGACUCGUCGAGUAGCCAGCUCAAAACGUGUGAUUGUCUCGUCUCUACUCGACGAUUCGGGCUACAGACUCAUCGAGUACCCCUUAAUAAAUGAAAAUACUUUAUUUGAAUUACAUACCAAAAAUGGGGCAUUACAUAAUGCUUAGCCCAGAAACACGGACGUUACACUUCUCUCCUCCUUAGGAUGAUGCCAUCCCCAGAAUCAUACAUCAACAAACUAAUGCGGAUAGCGACUCAUCAUGUCACUCUCCAUUUCCUAGGUGAGAUUUGACUCAUUCGUAUGUUUCCGUCGCACAAGUAGUAAGUCAACCAUCUUGUGACGCAACUUCUUCGUCUUAUGGUCAACAAUCGCCUCCGGUUCUUCAACUAGCCUCUUAUUUUCAUCCAUCCUUAGCUCAUAAAUUAGAAUUAUGUCAGGAACUUCUCCCAUGAAUUUCCUCAAAUAACUCACAUGGAAAGUGUUAUGAAUAAUGUCUAGUUCUUCUGGUAGUUCUAGCUUGUAGGCUUGGUUCCCAAUCCUCUGAAGAACUUUGAACGGUCCAAUGAAUCUUGGACUUAACUUCCCUUUUUCCCGAAUCUUAUAAGUUCCUUGUAGCACCUGGUUCCUGGUAUGUAAUUUAUUUAAAUAUUUUGCAUUUUUGGCCUUGGACUCGGCAAGUUGAAGGACCAACUUGCCGAGUAGAAGCGGGAUGGGACGUGGGAUUUAAGUGAUGGACACGUCGAGUCGGGUCCCGGACUCGACGAGUAGGCUCUGACUGAAAAACCCUAAUCCGAGGGUUUGCACCCUAUUUAAUCAUCUCAUUUUCCCCUAAUGCUCCCAGAAACCCUCCCUAGUAAACCCUAAGUGUUUUGGUGCAAGAUCUAAGGCUUUUGAGUGAUUUUUGUGGGUUUUGACCUCAAGGAAUAAGGAAGAGCAUAGAAGGAUCAAGAGGAGACUGAAGGAUUAGAGUUUGGUGCAUCAUUUUCAGUCCUUGAAAGGUAUAAAUUAUGUACCUUGCUUGUUCAUUUGUUAGAUCCUUUUUUGGGGAAGAUUUAGGGCUUCUUAAGUCAUAUGAGGUGGCCAAACAUGGUUGGGGGUCAAGACUUCGGAUCUAAGUCUUGGAAGGAGUCCCAAAGCAGAUUUGGGUUGCUUUUGCACCCAAGGAAGGUCCCAUGCAACAUAAGAGCCAUUUUAGAGCCUUUUUGGGUCAAAAGUCCCAUGCAUGCACGUAAAGUUCGAAACUUUACGUUCUAGAUCGAGCUUAGGGCUUGGAUCUAUCUUUUUGUCAAAGGUUGUACAUCAGAAAUCGAGGAUUUAGGGUGUGGAUGUUAUCGAAUCGGCGAGUCAGUUCUUGGGACACGACGAGUCCAAAGCAUAGGGUCUGUUAUCUGUUGAGGGUCAAAAGAACCCAGUUGGGUGUUAGAAGGGUUGUAGAAGGUCCGAGAGAGUGACCCAACGUGUUGGACUUAGCCUUAGACUUGGAAUUCAUGGGACUCGUCGAGUGCUAGAACAGACUCGGCGAGUCCAAGGCAAUCUCCUUAUCGAUGAAGAUGAACUCGACGAGUUGUUCAUACAACUCGGCGAGUCGGGGUCAGGACUUGUUCAUCAGAUGAAGGUGAACUCGACAAGUGUUCAUCCGACUCGGCGAGUCGGAUGAAGGUUCAUUGAUGUUCGUAAAGAAAGGGAACUCGUCGACUUGUUGCCAAACUCGACGAGACGAGUCGUGGAUAAGGACGAGUAAAGGAAAGGGACUCGACGAGUUNAACUCGGGGAGUCGGGUCAACUGGAAGUUGACUUUGACUUGGACUUGGUUGGGGGUAAAAUAGUCAUUUUACCCCAAGAGUAGAUAUUAGUUUUCUGACUGAGUAUUUUGUGGGGAUUAUAGCCGGAGGAUUUCCGAAGCAACAGCAGGCAGAGGUUUCCUGCACAUAUUAUCAGCAGCUACUUGUUCGAGGUGGGUUGCCUACCAGUAGCGGUGGGUCUACGACCACAAUGUCGGCCCACCAAUAGGAGUUGUAUAAUUAUAUGAUUGUCUUUGUGAUAUCAUCUAGGUUGCUUCUACCUGAUAUGUUAUAUGCUGGCAUGAUAUGUUAUAUGUGAUAGUAGUAGAGUUCGGUUGUUAGGACCGAAGGGUAGGUCAAACACCCCAGAUAUGUAUGACAGUAUGUGAUGAUAUGUUUAUAUGCCGACAUGACAUGUUAUAUGGGAUAGUGGUAGUAGGAGGGGAACAGUCCCCAAGUUCGGUUGUUAGAACCGAAGGGUAGUUCAGACACCCCAGAUAUGUCUGAUAGUAUGUUUAUGUUAUGAUAUAUGUGAUAGUAGUGGUACGUGUGGAAUAGUCCCCGAGGGUCGGUCUUUAGGACUGACGGGUAGGUCAGCACCCCAAAAAGACUUGACAGGGGUAGGACGACACCCCAGAAUGGCCGCACGGGUAGGUCGGCACCCCAGAAUGGCCGUACCGGGUAGGCCGGGCACCCUAGAAUUGCCUGGCAGUAUGUAUGCUAUGUGAUUGUAUGGUAUGUGGUACGAUGGGGGAACUUACUAAGCUUCCUGCUUACAGUUUACAGUUUUGGUUUCAGGUACCUCUUCAACAAAGGGGAAGGAGCUGGCGCGGUAGCGGCACAUCAUACACACAUGUUGGUUUCCGCACUAGUGUUUCUUGGGUCGUUACAAGUUGGUAUCAAAGCCCUGAUCUGAGGGAUUCGGACACACCUUGGGGGUGUCUGGACUCAAAUCGAGGGAUUAAAAGACUUUUACAAGAAAAAUGGUUUCUUAAAAGCUAAGAUAAAAGAGUUUUGGGAAAGAACAAAGUGUGUGAUGUGCGCGACCGGCCGAGCUCAAGUAAGUAUUCCCCAAAGUACCCAUACAAGUUUAUGUUAUGUUUAUCAGUUUCAGUAGAAUAGCAUGCUAGAAUAGGACUGAAGAUCUAGGAAUGAUGGCUUAUGUGUCUGCUUUAUGUGCUCCAGCUUAUGAGAAUUGCAUGCUAGUAUUAAGUAGAAAAUAAUAGGAUAGUCUGUUUAGGUUAUGCCUGGUAUUAUGAGCUCAGCAUUGUAUGAUGGUACAACUUCUCGUUAGGAGAAUAGAGUUGUUUGAGUAGUUUCCUGUGUCCGAAUGAUGCUUGCUCAGUGCUUGUAGGACUCUGAAUGAUGGCCGUUAGCCAUUAGGUGAGUACGUCGCGUCGCAUGUCAUUAGGAUUGAAUAAUCUCAGAGUGCUGGAUUUGGCCCUAUUGCGCGGCUCUCGUUUGAGUCUAACCGUUGUAGGGACGAGUCUUUUACUUGAAGGAUUAUCUGAGCCUUGUUACAUGUGAUGGUAUUUAGGUGAUGGCUAAUUGAUAUCACAAGGAGGCCUUCAACAGCCGAGGACCGGUUUGGGUAGAGUCAGAGAUUUUCCCUAGGGUAAGCCUACGAUGAGAGUAGCAGAGAUCAGCAGUGGAAAAAGGGACUUGGUGGAGUCGAGGCCGUCCUUGAGGAAAGUACGGAUAGAUAUGGAAGGUAGUAUGGGCCCGUACUACAGAAAGCAGAGGAUCCGUACUCGAAUUAAGGAAGGCUAAGGCAAGACCAAGGAACUUGUGAUGGGUGUGAUCCCUAUAGAUGUACUAGUAUCACUGACGGAUGUCAUGAUGUAUUGCGGAAUGGUGGUACUAAGGCCAAGGCCAGCAGUGGGUAGCUCAGGAGAGGGAUCGGGUUCGGGUUCAGGCUCCGAACCAGUGGACGAGAGGCUACGCGAGUUCAUCGCGUCUAAGAUCACUAUAGGCAUCCUUGAUGCGACCCCGAUCAUCUUUGGGUCGAUCAAGGAAGGGAUUGUUGAGCUGAUGGAGGAUCGCCUUAGGGCGCUCAGGAGUGACAUGGCGACCAGCCAGUCAGGAUCCCGCAUACUAUCCUUUAAGGACUUCAGGGGCAGUGGCGCGCCGGACUUCCACGGGGAAAAGGACCCCAUUUCUGCUAGACGAUGGAUUGCGGACAUGGAGUCUGCACAGCUGACAAGCUUCUGCCCCGAGGGGCCGAAGGUGAGAUAUGCAGCAGGGUGUUUGAGAGACAGAGCUAGAGAUUAGUGGGAGUCUGUUGUUGACUCCUUGGGAGCCUCGGCUGUUGAGGCUAUGACCUGGUUAGACUUUGUGACCAGAUUCAGGGCGGAGUUUGCGCCAGCUGUAGAGCUUCAGCAGCUGGCCAGAGAGUUUUUGGAUAUGAGACAGACUACGGAGACUGUGGCGGAGAUCACCGCCAACUUCUGGGAGAGGGCAUUGCUUGUGCCCCAGUAUGCGGGAGAUGAGGACAUGAGGAUGACCCGCUAUCAUGACAUGCAGCGAGCCGAAAUUCGGGAGCAUGUUAGUUUUUCAGCUUGCCCUACCCUAGAUUCCAUGAUUUCCAGAUCAAGGGAGAGGGAGAUCGAUCUAGAACAUGUCCAGAAGAGGAAGGUAGAGGAGGGGCAGACGAUUGGGGCUUCGGAGAAGAAGCCUAAGGGAUCAGAUGGUAGGCCGAAAGGCCAGUCAGGACCAGGCCACUGCAGGAAAUGCGGCAGGCCACAUGAGGGGGCGUGUAGAUUGGGAUUGUCGGGCUGCUACAAGUUCGACAAGACGGGGCAAUUCAGCAGAGAUUGUACCGCCCCUACACCAGUUAUUCAGACGUCUGAGUUGCUGUGUUUUCAAUGCAACCAGAGGGGCCACAAGAAAGACAACUGCCCCCAGUUAACAGCAGCAACAGUGCCAGUGAAGGCGCCAGGUCUAGCGACCCUGCGAAUUACUGAUGACUGGAAGGCCAAGGCUGAGGCUCCAGUGGUGAGGAGUCGGGCCUUCCAGUUGACUACCGAGGAGGCACGCGCUGCACCCGAUGUGGUAACAGGUAUGACUUCUUGUUUAUGCUUUUAUGAUAUGCUGCUGUGAUUUUGAUAUGUUAUGUAUGUGCUCUGUUUAGGAUCGUUCCAUGUGAACGGUAUCCCAGUUCAAGUAUUGUUUGAUUCGGGUGCUACCCGAUCAUUUGUCUCUCUUGCGCUUAGCAAGAAGUUUCCUGAGUCUUCGGGCAUGUUGGAUUGCCCUUUAGAGGUUGAGAUUGUAGACGACAGGUCGGUACGAGCAUUAGAGGUCUUCCGAGAUUGUGUUUUGAGGUUGUUCGAGGAGCGUUACAUGGUAGACUUGAUUCCCAUACCCUUGCGGGGGAACAAGGUUAUUAUCGACAUGGAUUGGUGGAGCCCCAAUAGGGCGGUGAUAGAUUGCGCACAAUAGUUGGUGCGAGUCAGGACCCCAGGAGGGGGAGAUUUAGUGAUUUAGGGUGAGAGCCACAGCGAGGGCCAACCUUAUGUUCGGCAACGAGGACAAGGCGUUACCUUCAGCAGGGUUGCGCCGGAUAUGUCGCUUAUGUCAUGGACACCCGGGAGGAGGGAAAGGCGACAGUGGGCAAUGUGCCUGUGGUACGAGAGUUUGCGGACGUAUUCCCCGAGGAGUUGCCUGGGAUACCUCUGGAACGAUAGGUGGAGUUUAGGAUCGACCUAGUCCUUGGUGCGGCUCCGAUAGCCAAGGCACCGUAUCGGUUGGCUCCUCUUGAGAUGCAGGAGUUGUCUACACAGCCGCAGAAAGUAUUAGACAAGUGAUUCAUUAGACCUAGUAGUUCUCCCUGGGGAGCCCCGAUUCUGUUUGUGAAGAAGAAGGACGGGUCGCAUCGGAUGUGUAUAGAUUAUCGGGAGCUGAAUAAGUUAACGGUGAAGAACCGUUACCCACUCCCGAGGAUUGAUGACCUCUUUGACCAGCUACAGGGAGCAUCUUGGUUCUCCAAGAUUGAUCUGCGUUCAGGGUAUCAUAAGAUGAGGGUCAGAGAGGGGGAUGUACAGAAGAUAGCGUUCCGGACGCGCUAUGGCCAAUAUGAGUUCGUGGUGAUGCCUUUCGGGCUCACCAAUGCUCUUGCCGCAUUCAUGGAUCUCAUGAACCACGUGUGCAGACCAAUGUUGGAUCGGUCCGUGAUAGUUUUCAUCGAUGAUAUCUUGGUUUACUCCAAGACACAGGAGGAGCACGAGGAGUAUCUGCAAGAGGUUCUAGAGACUUUGAGAAGGGAGAACUUGUAUGUUAAGUUCUCCAAGUGUGAGUUCUGGUUGCGCGAGGUGCAAUUUCUCAGACACCUUGUCAACCAGAACGGGAUAUCGGUGGACUCGGCCAAAGUGGAGGCCGUGAUGAGAUGGGAGGUUCCAAGGUCUCCAUCCGAGAUUCAGAGUUUCCUAGGAUUAGUCGGCUACUAUCGGAGAUUCAUCCAUGAUUUCUCCAAGAUAGUCAUACCCCUGACCAGGCUAACGAGGAAAGUCGUGGUUUUUCGUUGGGGGCCUGAGCAGCAGGCCGCAUUCGAGACAUUGAGACAGAGAUUGUGUGAGGCACCAAUCUUAGCCCUAUCGGAGGGCAUAGAGAAUUUUGUUGUGUACUAUGACACGCCCAUUUCAGGUUUGGGCGCGGUACUGAUGCAGAGAGGGCAUGUCAUUGCCUACGCUUCGAGGCAGCUGAAGCUUCACGAGGCGAACUACCCGACGCAUGAUUUGGAGCUGGGGGCUGUUGUGUUCGCCCUUAAGAUUUGGCGUCAUUACCUCAAUAGGGUUCGCUAUACUAUCUACAUAAACCACAAGAGUUUGAUGUACCUCAUGGAUCAGCCGAAUCUAAACAUGAGGCAGCGUCGGUGGUUAGACGUGGUGAAGGAUUACGAUUACGAAAUCCUUUACCACCCGGGGAAGGCCAAUGUGGUGGCCGACGCACUUAGCCGCAAGGCAGCGCCGAUCAGGGAUAUUUGUCUGAGGAUGAUAGUGGUGACCCCGCUGUUGGAGCGGAUUCGGGAGGCCCAACGGGAGGCCAUGAAGGAGGAACAUCGGAAGAGCGAGCGGAUUGUGGGGCAAGUUUCCUCCUUCGAUUAUGAUAGCCGAGAGCUGUUGACACUACACCGUAGGGUGUGGGUGCCGUACCACGGGGGUGUACGCCAGGUUCUGAUGAAGGAGGCGCACAAAUCUCGAUUCUCCAUUCAUCCCGGGGCGACGAAGAUGUACAAGGACCUUCUUUUGGACUAUUGGUGGCCCUGCAUGAAGCUGGAUGUAGCAUGGUAUGUGGAGUGGUGCUUGACCUGUAGGAAGGUCAAGGCCAAGCACCAGAGGCCACAUGGAAAGAUGCAGCCGUUGGAUAUCCUGCUGUGGAAAUGGGAAGACAUUACGAUGGAUUUUAUCAUAAAGCUUCCUAGGAUCGCUCGGGGAGUGGAUUCGAUAUGGGUCAUCGUCGAUCGAUUAACCAAAGAGCGCCCAUUUUAUUCCGAUCCAGGAGGGAAUUUUGGCCGAAAAGUUGGCCAACAUCUAUAUCAGGGAGGUGGUGGUGCGGCACAGGGUGCCGGUAUCGGUGAUUUCAGACAGGGACGUGCGGUUCACUUCCAGGUUUUGGAGGAAGUUUCAUGACGAGCUGGGUACUCGUCUGUAUUUUAGCACCGCCUUUCACCCACAGACGGAUGGUCAGAGCGAUCGGACCAUCUAGACAUUAGAGGAUAUGCUGCGAGCAUGUGUUUUAGACUUCGGAGGUAGCUGGGAUACCUACCUUCUGUUGGCGGAAUUCUCGUAUAAUAAUAGCUAUCAUACGAGUAUUAACCGUCCUCCCUUCAAGAUGUUAUACGGGAGGAAGUGCAGAACCCCAAUAUGUUCGGGUGAGGUUGGCCAGAGGGUCAUGAGGAGCAUCGAGGUGGUGCUCAAGAUGACAGAGAGGAUUCAGCAGGUCCGGAGCAGACUUCAGACUGCUCAGAGUCGGCAUAAAAGUAAUCUUGAUAAGCGCCGAUCAGACCUGGAGUUCCAGCUCAAGGAUAUGGUUCUCCUAAAGCUGUCGCCAUGGAAGGGCGUCAUCCGAUUUAGGAAACAGGACAAGUUGGGCGCCACGUACAUUGGACCGUUCAGAUUCUUAGCCCGGGUGGGCAAGGUAGCAUACAGGUUGGAUCUGCCAGCCGAACUCAGCCAGAUCCACAACACUUUCCACGUCUCCCAGCUGCAGAAGUUUCUGGUGGACGACUCAGCAGCGGUACCCUUAAAAGAUAUUCAGGUCGAUGACAGCUUGAAUUACAUUGAGCGGCCAGUAGCGAUCCUCAACCGGAAGUCGAAGGAACUGAGGAACAAGAGGGUUGAACUAGUGAAGGUGCAAUGGCAACAUCGGAAGGGCUCAGAAUGGACUUGGGAGCCAGGGGAGGAGAUGAUCGAGCAUUACCCAGAGUUGUUCCAGGAACGAACAGCAGACUUCGAGGACGAAGUCUAAAAUAAGUGGGGGAGAUUUGUAGCACCUGGUUCCUGGUAUGUAAUUUAUUUAAAUAUUUUGCAUUUUUGGCCUUGGACUCGGCGAGUUCAAGGACCAACUCACCAAGUAGAAGCGGGAUGGGACGCGAGAUUUAAGUUAUGGACUCAUCGAGUCAGGUCCUGGACUCGACGAGUAGGCUCUGACUGGACAAAAACCCUAAUCUGAGGGUUUGCACCCUAUUUAAUCAUCUCAUUCAGCCACCACUCUACCCUAAUGCUCCCAGAAACCCUCCCUAGUAAACCCUAAGUGUUUUGGUGCAAGAUCUAAGGCUUUUUGAGUGAUUUUUGUGGGUUUUGACCUCAAGGAAGAAGGAAGAGCAUAGAAGGAUCAAGAGGAGACUGAACAAUUCGAGUUUGGUGCAUCAUUUUCUGUCCUUGAAAGGUAUAAAGUCUGUACCUUGCUUGUUCAUUUGUUAGAUCCCUUUUUGGGGAAGAUUUAGGGUUUUUUAAGUCAUAUGAGGUGGCCAACCAUGAUUGCAAACAUGGUUGGGGGUCAAGACUUCGGAUCUAAGUCUUGGAAGGAGUCCCAAAGCAUAUUUGGGUUGCUUUUGCACCCAAGGAAGGUCCCAUGCAACAUAAGAGCCAUUUAGAGCCUUUUUGGGUCAAAAGUCCCAUGCAUGCACAUAAAGUUCGAAACUUUAUGUGCUAGAUCGAGCUUAGGGCUUGGAUCUAUCUUUUUGUCAAUGGUUGUACAUCAGAAAUCAAGGAUUUAGGGUGUGGACGUUAUCGACUCGGCGAUUCCGUUCUUGGGACUCGACAAUUCCAAGGCAUAGAGUCCGUUAUCUGUUGAGGGUCAAAAGAACCCAGUUGGGUGUUAGAAGGGUUGUAGAAGGUCCGAGGGAGUAACCCAACGUGUUGGACUUAGCCUUAGACUCGGAAUUCAUGGGACUCGUCGAGUGCUAGAAUAGACUCGGCGAGUCCAAUGCAAUCUCCUUAUGGAUGAAGAUGAACUCGACGAGUUGUUUAUACAACUCGACGAGUCGGGGUCAGGACUUGUUCAUCAGAUGAAGGUGAACUCGACAAGUGUUCAUCCAACUUGGCAAGUCGGAUGAAAGUUCAUUGAUGUUCGUAAAGAAGGGGAACUCGUCGACUCGUUGCCAAACUCGACGAGUCGAGUCGUGGAUAAGGACGAGUAAAGGAAAGGGACUCGACAAGUAGAUGACCCAACUCGGUGAGUUGGGUCAACUGGAAGUUGACUUUGACUUGGACUUGGUUGGGGGUAAAAUAGUCAUUUUACCUCAAGAGUAGAUAUCAGUUUCUGACUGAGUGUUUUGUGGGGAUUAUAGCCGGAGGAUUUCCGGUGCAGCAGCAGGCAGAGGUUUUCCAAACAGAUUAUUAGCAACUACUUGUUCGAGGUGAGUUACCUACCAAUAGCGGUGGGUCUACGGCCACAAUGUCGGCCCACCAAUAGGCACUACUAGAAAAAAGGCGUUUUACGAUGCUCAUUGCGCGUCGUAAAACGCUCAGACAACGCGAAAAUGCGUGUCAAGGAAGGCCCUGUCAUAACGAGAGACGACACGCAUUUACGACACGCAUUUACGACGCUCAUUUACGACACGCAAUGCGUAUCAAGGAAGGCCAUGUCAUAAAGGAUGACGACACGCAUUUGAGUGUCGUAACCUUACGACACGCGUUUAGGACAUGCAUUGUGUAUCAUUAAAGCCCCUGUCAUAAAUGAAGAUGACACGCAUUUGCGUGUCAUAAUCUUCAGCAACCAUUUACGAUAUGCAUUUACGACACGUCUUUACGAUACACAUUUACGCAAAAUACAAAAAUAUGGAAAUAAAUAUAUAACAAAACAAUCAAUUUCAUUCAUUAACAUCAUGUCAAAAAAUUGUAAUACAUAGCGGAAGUAUUUGUUGAGAGCCCAAAAAGUUACAUAAAUCAAUGAAAGUAAAAUUCAUAACUUUUCUAGUUUUCAUAAUCCUAACAAUAGCUGCAUCAACCUGCGAUAUAUUUAUAAAAAAAAUGUGAUUAUAAAUUUAUAAUUACAAAAAAAAAUAAAGCAAAAAAAAAUUGGACCUGAUAUUGACGAUCUUGGGAAACUCUCUCUGUGGUGCUUGCGUUUUCUUCCACAGUUUCCUUCAGCUGGAUAUCAUUCACAUGUACAUGGAAUGGAAUGGAAUAAUGAAAUAAGCAAAGGAAUGGAAUGAGUCAUUCCAUUCCAAUUUCAUAUGAACUUCACAUUAUAAAAAAUUAAUUGAUCUCACCUUUAUACGAUAAAGAGGAGCAGUAAAUACAUCAUUAAACAUGAAGGAAUCAUUGUCAUCCACAUCAGUUUGAACCUAUUCUUUUGUCUCCUUUUCUUCUUUCUCUUUCCCUUGUUCUUUUUUGUCUUGUAUCUUUUCAAGUGGUUGGUACAACAAUAGAGGUAACGGGACAUGUGCCAGUAUUGGGUCCUGAAGAUCUUGUUGCUUUUGUGCUAAGUGUUUUGUGAUUGAGAAGCAAAUGGUCACAAAUUGCAUAUGGGUUCUGGACAUGCAAAUAAACUUAACUAUCGAUCACAUAACAAAAGCAAAUGAAAGUAUGAUGUUAUAAUAAACAAUUCAAAUGCUAAUACCUUUGACAUGUUUGUAUCUACAACAUUUUGGGAGCUUUCGAUGCUUCGAAGAAUUAAAAGUAUUGAAAUAACCUCUUCCUUCUUUAGACUAUUAUGAGGCUUCCCAUCUUCACAAUCACCACCAAUUGCCAACAUAGAAAGAAAUAAAUACAAUUUUCCGGAAAAUAAUAAAAAUUCAUAUAUAUUUUUUUCAUUCAAAGAAUCAAAAUCAACAGGUAUAGUAUGCAUUCAAUUUAUAUUUCAGGAAAAAAAAACUAAUAGUAUACCUACCUGUAUGUGGGUUCAUAGCAAGUUUUCUCUCUUGGAUAAAACAUUAUUUUUUUAUUUUAUUUAUACUAAAUGUUUUUUUUUAUAUUUUGAUAUAAUACAAAUUAAUUUAUGUUUUAGAUAAGCUCUCUUUUACUUNCCUGUCUUUUACUUAUUUACAUUGAAAAUUGACAAAUAGUUCUUUUUCCACAAAAACAGACAAACUAUCUACAAUGAGUUUUUUGCCCUUUGCCACUAUUUAAUCACCUUACCUUAGUUUUACACACAAAAUCCAAUAAUGGAAUAAUGCAUUGAACAUUACACAUUUGCAAAUAAGAUACACAUUAGCAAAAAAUGGUCUUAGCACUAACUUUCACCACCCACCCACCCGAUAACAAAAGAAAAUAUAAUCCGCCCACUCAGUUUCACUUUAUUUGCAAGUAAGUAUAAACAAUAAUAUUGCAGGGUUUUUUUUUCAGUAUGAAUGAGUAUUCAGUCACUAUUCAUCCAUACCUCUUUAAGUAGUUGAUACCAAAUGCUACCAUUAUUCAAUCUCCAUCUAGGGGUAGGGCUAGGUGUUGGUGUUGUUGGAGCAGAAGAAGCAUCAAUGAUAUUGAUAACAAUGAAAGGGGAACUCAAAUCAUCAAGUUCAUCAUCACUUGUGUUUGACUUUCUCAACACUGAUGAUCCAGUGCGACCCAAGUGUUUUAUACAUACAGCCACUCCCUCUCCUCCAACCAAAAUGGUUUUUAUUAUUGAUGAUGCUGAUGGCGGAUCAUAAACAACCGAACCAGCUACACAUGGGACACUGCUCACACAGUCUUCGCCACCCUCUGUAGAAUAUAAAGCCAAAAGAAACCUGUGUUUGUUUACUACUCAAAAUGAAGACAUAAAAGAAGAAAGGAAUAUGCAUUGUAUUGGAAAAAUGAAGACUAAAAACCUCUUAUAUUAUCCAUAUCAAUAAAGCUAUAUUUAUAGCUUCUUAGACACCCACGAUGAAGUAUGAAAACAAUCCAUGCUCUUGACUCCACCUAAUUAGCUUAAGAAUUAACUAUUAUAUAAAACAUAAAACACAAAACAAUAAUAAUUAUCAAAUCUAAAGUUUCAGCCAUGCACGUGAGCUAUGACUAACAAACCGAUUAACCCAACACCUUCCACCCCCAAAUCCUUAGCAUAUAUAAACAAACACCCUCUAAAUGCAUGUUAUUAGACAUACCAAAAUAUCUUUAAUUGGUUGGCUUGUGUGUCCUUCACAUCAACAUAAUUACUUAAUUAAUUAAUUAUACUGAACUCACCUCUGAGUCUAAGGCUUCAAGCACAACUUCAGGAAUAGCAUCUGGACAAAACUCAUCUGGAACAAAACUAUCUAGUAUCCCUUUUAUUAAUGCUACACCAAAACUCAAACAUACCUUCAAAAAAUUUUAAAUAACUUUAGCUUUGUGGAUAACUACACUACUAUAAAAGAAAAAGAGCCCAAUUUUAGAGACCUCUUUUCUGAUUGUGCUAUCUAACAACAUAUCCUUAGGAAGCAUCAUCAGGUCACUUAAUGCAUUCAGGAGAUGAAAAGAUUUGAAUGAUGAAUCAUCAGCAUCUAUAUCAAAUAAAUCAGUCAGCCACCUCGACCAAUUUUCAAUUUGCACAUUGCCAAAUGAACNNNNNNNNNNUAUAUAUAUAUAUAUAUAUAUAUAUAAAGGAUCACUUGCCAUGGGAAUUGGUCGCCUAUGAUUCAGAUCAGAGGCCUGGAAUCGUCAAGGUAGAAAACACAAGUCAAGAAAAAAAAUAAAAUAAGAGACUUUUAGGCAUAAAUGGUAUAUACCCUGUAAUAGGGAUAACAAACUCCUUGAGUGCUUUUUCACUUGUUACUCCAAUUAAUUCGCCAAGACCUUGAGCAUCCUGUUCUCUCAAUUCUGCAGACCUGCUUAUUAGGCCCUGAAGAUAUAUGGGAAGCAAUGGUUGAAGAGCCUUUGGGAGACAUAACCUGGGUAUAACAAUUGGUCCACCCUAUAUGUCCAUCAACAAAUAUUUAAAUAAGAUAAACCUUAAUCACUACUAAAUGCUGAUUAAAAUACACAUAGUUGCCCCUCGAGUUCCAAAACAUUAAAACAACUCUAUUUUGUGCUUAGAUUCCAAAAUAGGACCAAAACAAAAUUCAUACGCAAGUGCUCAAUGGAUGAAAAAACUCAUAUGUACAAAUUCUAAGCCAAAAUACAAGAAUACAUUAGUUCUACAUAAACCCUAUCAACUCGAAAAUAAAAUUUUCUCGUAUAAUAAUUACAUAACCAAAUUAUGUAGUGAAAUCACACAUUAAAGCAAAUGUCUUUGUUAUUGUGAAUUUUGAUACAUCAUAUAUUAUUAUAUUUUUACCUUUAUUAUAGAUUGGUUACCCAACUUUACAUGCAUUUGUUGAGUUUAUUUCUGGAUUUGACAUGCCUUCUGACAUUCACUCAAAGAAGAAAGACAACAUUCUUCUAGAAACUGGGAAACCUUUUCGAUGGCUCUCUUCCAUGAUGAGUUAUCGUUGCCACUAGCUCAUAUCUUCGACCGUAUUUAUUAUAAUUUUUUUUAUAAAUUAAUAAAAAGAUGAAAAUGAUAUAUANNNNNNNNNNNNNNNNNNNNNNNNNUAUAUAUAUAUUAUAUAAAUACAUACCUCUGGUGAUGAUAAAAAAAGGAAAUCACGAUUCAGAGUAAGGUGAAGAGGAAUGUGGAUUGGUUUGAGUAAUUUUGUGCUUCCUUGACUUACAUAGCUAAACCUCAUUAAGUGUAGUAUUAUUAUCUCUGGAAGCUCUAAUAUUUCACUGAUUUACUUGCACAUACUAAUUCACAUAAUAAUAAAAAGAAGUAUACAUUUCCUGCUGAUGAAGCACGAUACCCUUCAAGUGUCUCUGGAGCUGAAAAAAGAUGAAGUGCAUCUUCUAUUGUAUGCAUAGGAUCUGGACAUAUAUUCAAAUGGAGCAAAAGAAAUGGCUGAAUAGUUGCAGAUGCUUUGUUACCUAUUUUUGUUUUACAUUAAAAAUAUAUAAAUGAUGAAUUAAUGAUAUCAUGUUAUUGAGAUGAGUGAAAAAUGUUAAAAGAUUAAAAAAAAAUACCUCUUGCUUUCAUUACACUUUUUAUUUGGCCUUCGAAGAUCUGACUUAAUUUUGAAGGAAUAAAACUUUGUGUUCUUGUGAUUGUAGUUUUGUUCUUUGGUCCAACUGUUUCCCAAAUAUCAUCAUCAUCUUCAUCACUUAAAGAUGAAACCAGUGAAACUUUUCCACCAUUAAAAUUACAAACUUCUCCUUCAAGUUUAAGAAGUUCAUCAUGCAUUUGGUGCAUUACAAAGCUUAAAAACACCUGAGCAUCUUCUUGCCUUUUUAAAAAACAAACUUCAACUCAGCAUCCGAAAUUCCAAACAUAACAUAUAUAAAAUUUGUUGAUUAAUUUUAUAACAUUAACACAAACCUUGGUCUUCCAGAGAAGCUAUUUGGCAUAUCUGGAGAGAAAUUGUUGAGAACAGAUUCAAACAUGAUAGGUCGAAAAGGUUUCCCAGUUUCUAGAAGAAUGUUGUAUUUCUUCUUUGAGUGAAUGUCAGAAGGCAUGUCAAAUCCAGAAAUAAACUCAACAAAUGCAUGUAAAGUUGGGUAACCAAUUUGUAAUAUAGGUAAAAAUAUAAUAAUGUAUGAUGUAUCACAAUUCACGAUAACAAAGACAAUUGAGUCCAACUCCAUCGGCGUUUGCUUUUGAAUGAAUUCCUUGGGAUAAACCUUCCAUAUACGCUCUGCUCCCUUUCCUUUUGGAACAAAACACCAUAGCAAGACUCCAAAUAUGUAAUAAUAAUCGAUCGAUAAAGUUUCUACAUAAGUUGCAGGUGAUCAAAAAUGGCGGAAAUCAGGAAAUGUAAAUUGUACCUUUAGCGAGAUUAGGGUAAAGCCAUCACAAGUUAGAGCCAUCAUCACCUGUGGGAGACCUAGGGGAAGUUGAUCGCCUCUAUCCACCUGCCAAAAAAGUGAAUCGUCUUCCCAUAAGUUUUCGUCACUUUCUCUCGAUCUUGCCGCUCAACCGGACCAAGGACGCCGGGAAGGAAAAGGACGUCCCUCUUCACCUCAUACUCGUGGAUGUGCCACAUUGGCUUUUCUGAAUCCGGCAAGGUGAAGAACAAUUUUUAUGUUACGAUGUUUUCAACUCCGAUUAAAAAAGCCCUAGAAAUUAUCCCAGUGAUUUUGUGAUAUAUGAGUUGUUGAGGUAUACAGCAGAGGUGGUAUCGUGAUUAGGGUUUGCAGAGAAAAGGGGGAAGAAGAGAAUGAAGGGGAUCAAGCGGGGUAUUAAAAAAUUUAAGAUUUUUGAGAGGAUUUCAUUUCCCCCUUUCAAGAAGGCGCGUUUUAGUAAAAAUUAUAAAGCGACAAUCACAGAGGACGCAUAUUUUAGAUAAAGUGCCCUCCGUGUUUUUAUUUUUUUUACAUUCGACACUAAUUUAAGGGCAUGCAAUAAUGCGUGACCUAAAUCCUCAAAUUUUUUGAAGAGACGACACUUUUUUAUUGUCACUCUCGUUUGCGUAACAUAAAUCAAUAAGUGUCGUGAUUUGCACAUCGUAAAAGGGUCUUUUUCUUGUAGUGAGGAGUUGUAUGAUUAGAUGAUUGUCUUUGUGAUAUCAUCUAGGUUGCUGCUACCUGAUAUGUUAUAUGCUGGUAUGAUAUGUUAUUUGUGAUAGUAGUAGAGUUCGGUUGUUUGGACCGAAGGGUAGGUCAGACACCCCAGAUAUGUCUGACAGUAUGUGAUGAUAUGUUUAUAUGCUGGCAUGAUACGUUAUAUGGGAUAGUGGUAGUAGGAGGGGAACAAUCUCCAAGUUCGGUUGUUAGAGCCGAAGGGUAGUUCGGACACCCUAGAUAUGUCUGAUAGUAUGUUUAUGUUAUGAUAUAUGUGAUAGUAGUGGUAGGGGUGGAAUAGUCCAAGAGGGUCGGUUUUUAGGACUGACGGGUAGGUCAGCACCCCAGAAAGGCUUGACACGGGUAGGACGAUACCCCAGAAUGGCCGCAUGGGUAGGUCGGCACCCUAGAAUGGCCGCACGGGUACCUAGAAUGGCCGCACGGGUAGGUCGGCACCCCAGAAUGGCCGUACCGGGUAGGUCAGGCACCCCAGAAUUGCCUGGCAGUAUGUAUGCUAUGUGAUUGUAUGUUAUGUGGCACGAUGGGGGAACUCACUAAGCUUCGUGCUUGCAGUUUACAGUUUUUGUUUCAGGUACCUCUUCAGCAAAGGGGAUGGAGCUGGCGCGGUAGUGGCACAUCAUGAAUGGUUUUCCGCACUAGUGUUUCUUGGUAUUGUACUAUGACAUUAUUCUUAUUUUUGUGAAUGGUUUUCAGACAUGAGAUGUGGUUUUAUGAAAAGUUAUGAUUAGAUGGUGUUUUCUUAUAAAUGUUUUUACAAGUCAAUUUUAAAAAUGAAAUUUUUGGACUUGUAAAUUGGGUCGUUACAUUCCUUCCAUGGUAAGACUUUAAGCAAAACCAAAUCUCCAACUUCGAAUGCCAUCAGUCGUCUUUUCUUGUCAGCAUAGCUCUUUUUACAAUCCUGAGCUGCUAACAUCCUUUCCCUAAUCACUCUUAACUUUUCAACAGUCUGAUGGACUAUCUCGGGGCCCAUAAACUGCCUUUGUUCAACUUCAAGCCAACAUGACGGCGUACGACACUUUUUUCCGUACAAAGCUUAAUAAGGUGCCAUCUUGAUGCUUAAGUGGAAACUAUUAUUGUAGGAAAACUCUACCAGAGGUAAGUGUUCAUCCCAGUUACCUUGGAAUUCUAGGGUACACACUCUUAGCAUUACUAUAGUGUUUGAAUCGUCCUUUUUCUCUAACCAUCGGUCUGUAGAUGGUAGGCUAUACUUAAACACAGCUUCGUACCCAAUUCUUCUUGUAGACUCCUCCAAAACCUUGACGUGAAACGGCUAUCAUGGUGUAACGCCCAUGUUUCUAGGCUAGGCAUUAAUGAUAAUGUAAUAGUCUAGGUUAACCUUUGUAACCCGUCUUGAAAUAAUAAAAAUGUAUUAUUUGAGUAUUAUGUGUUUUGUGCUUAAUUGUGUGACUUAAAUGAAUUAAGGAUAAAAAUAAGCAUCAAAAUGAAAUGUUAGAUAAACUCGAUAUCUAUGAAGGAUGUGGUAGUGGUCGUGGCAAGGUUUCCAAAUAUAUAAAGAAUGCCAAAAUCUGAGUUAUAACGAAAAAGUUAUGAUCUGUCGAAGUUUCGUUACAGAACCGGCACGGCACUGCGUGACGUAAAUAGUGAAUUUACGAUAGAGCGAUAUUUAGUCUUAGUGAUCUAAACAGAAGUUGUAGAAUAAGUUUAACCGAGAGCGUGCAUAAGAAGAACGUCUAAAUUUGACUUCGUAUGAGGAAGUUAUGAUUUUUCGAAGUUUCGAUUUAGCAGUAUGCAACCCAAAUCUCGAAUUACAGAUCGAGUGAUACUUGGCCGAAACAAUCUAAACGGGAAUCGAAGAUCUCGUCGAUAGUAGUCCAAAAGUGAAAAGACAUACGAAAACGGACGUCGGAUGAAGAAGUUAUGAAUUUCUAACGGAGUUUUCCUGUCCGACCUGCUAAAAAUAAUAUAAUAAAAAUAAGUUCAAAAUUAGCCGACGCAGUCUAAACGAAAGUUGUAGAGCAUAGUCUCACCUAUGUGUGGAUAUAAAGAACAUAAAAAAUGGAGCUCGUAUGAGGAAGAUAUGAUAUUAUGAAGUUUUUAAAUAAUUAAAAUAUAUAAAUUUUAUUAUAUAUUCGGAUAAUAUCCGAAUCCAUGACUCAGCCGAUCUGAUCCGAAGAUUACGCCCAACGUACUGCUUGUAGAGGCAUUACGCCCAGCAUAAUCAGGAUUUACGCCCAACGUAAAUCGAGGUUUCAUCCCCUAUAAAUAGAAGUCGUGGGCAGCCGAGUUUUGUUGCUCAUUUCUUCCUCUCUCUCCCGUUUUACCUCGUUUUACGUGCAAGCUUUACCCCCGAAGCCGCGGUAUCAUUCCCGAGACCCGAAGCCCCGGGGAUCCCGAGAAGUAAAGUUUCUGAGCCGAAACUCUGCCCGUGUAAAGCCCGGUUUUGGAGAAAACGUCCUGGUUUUAUCGGAAAAUAUUAUUUUAAUAUAUGAGGUGAUGUCCGAUCAUCUUCUUAUCAAGUGAGUGUAUAUUCCCUUUCUUCUAACACAUAGAUAUGAAGUAUCUACUUUAGAAUAUGUGUUACAUGUGUAUAAAUAUACGUGUAUAUAUAUGUUAUCUGUUUAUUUGGAAUGAGUAUCUUAUUAGUUUUUAAGUUACAUAUGAAUGCAUAUGUAUGUUGUUAUCUACAAAAUGUUGGGUAGAACUUGUGUAGAUAGUUGAUGUGUGAUAAACUGAUGAGAUGCCUCGAUGUGAUUGUGAUCUAGUCAUUCAACAGAAUAUGGGUGACGACCACGGACUCUUUCUAGACUGUCCCGUGGAAUGCUGGCAGGCUCAUAACCUGUAGGUGUUGGUGAACUUGGGUGUUCAUUUGUUGUAUUCUAUCCCCCUCAUGGUUGCCUUAGGACAUUCAUUGUUGAGAAAACCCCUCUGCAGUAGUGUCCGUCCUGAUGAAAAUCCUAGAUUAGGUCCCUUGUAAUAGUUAUUGUCAUAGUGACGUAAAGUGAGGAUAACAGGAAUGGGUAAUCAGGUUAUUGUUGGUUGGUGAAAUUAAAUAUAAUUAGUUAUUGUGGGUUGAAAACCCUAUAUGCUCACCAGGCUCCCAAGCUUGACCCACUCAGUUUUUUUGUAUUACAGGUAGUGGUGCGAGGGCAUAAGUUGGAGAACUUAUGAAGAUGUUUUUGUUUAUAGACCAGUAGUUGUAUAUAACAGUGUAAGGUCUAUGUUUUACUGUUUAUGCUUUUGUGUCUGUAUCGGAACAUGACAUCCUGAGUUUUGAUAUAUAAUGAAAAUACAUUUCUUUAAGAAAUGUUUUGAUAAACUUUAUUUUAUCAUGUUUUGUUUUAGGGACAAAUUCUGCAACUCUUUUAAAUCAAUGGAUUUACUCUGAAAUUAUUUUAAAAACAUAAAUGAAACCGGCCUUUUCUGGCCGUGAUUUUGGGGAUUUCACACAUGGUCUGAUACUAUCUUUAAAGGAACACCAUGAAGUCUUACUACCUCCUUCACGUAAGCAUUUGCAAGCUUAUCUGUAGACCAUCUUGUUGGAUUAGUGUCUAAGUCCAUAACUAUUUUGGUAUGUACUUGACCCGAUGGUGCAUGGUCCUUUUGGGUUGCCUUCACCAAAGCAACUUGAUUGGAGAAAUAAAUAAAGAGAGAGAGGUUAUUAUGAUUUAUUAAUAUGUUAUAAGAAUAAUAUAUUAAAGGAGAAAUCAUAUUUGUUUAAUUAAUAUUGGUCAAUAAUUAAUUAAGAAUUAAUUUUGUGAUCAAGUGUAAUUAAUUAAACUAGAGGGGCUGAAUUGUAAUUAUGUGAUAGUUACAAAAUAAGGUAAGGAUUAUCUUAAAUAUAGGGUGAACGAAUUUAAGGAGAUAAUGCCUUAGAAUUCGACUAGGAUAAGGGUUUCUAAGACUUAUCUUAUGGUUGCUUGGUGGGCAAGCAACUAGAUAAGGAUAAGGACUAAAACCCUAAUCUUUACACCUAUAUAAACCCCCUAAGGCUCAUGAAUUCGUCUAAGCCUUCCCAAGAAGUCCUAAGGACGAAUUCCUACCUCUAUCCUCUCUCUUUAUACCUUCUCCAUUUGCUCUUGGUGUUUGUGAGCCAUUAGAGGAGUGACACUUGUGACUCUAAGCCUUCCAAAGUCAAUUCAUGGAGAAUUGGGAUUGUUAUUACUACAUAACAAUCAAGGUAACAUCUUAAACCUAAUUAUAUGUUAAUAUUGAUUUCCAUAUGCUAGAAUUAGGGUUUAUAGUCUUGGAUUCAUUGCAUGUACAAUAGAGAAACCUAGAUCCAAGCAUUAGGGUUUGUAUGAGCACAUAGGAUGUCUUAUGACCAAAACCCAUCAGUGGUAUCAGAGCCUAGCUUGGUUUCAAUUGUAUUGAUGCAUUGUAUAACUGGAAAAUUCGUUUUUUGGGUUUCUGGAGGCUGGACUCGCCGAGUCCAUAGAUGAACUCGCCGAGUCCAUGCUGACUCGACGAGUCCAUGCCUGACUCGGCGAGUCGGCUCGUCAGAAGGAGGGAAAACCGGGAUUUCUUGCUGUUUUUGCUUAAGGAUAGUUGCCUUAUCAUAUUAGAUCAAUAUAAAUCCGAUUUUAUGAUAUAUUUGACUAUAUUCUUGAUCUAAUUGAAGAUAUUUAUCAAUUAAUAAAAUAUUUGUUUCCUUAUGUGAUAAUUGAUUAAUUAUUUUGAUUAAAUUGAUAAAUUGUUUUGCAAGAAAUCAUUAAAUAAAUCAAAUAUGGAUAAUUAUGUGAUUAAAUGUUAAUUUAGAUUAUUUGUUAUUUGAUCCUUGUUGUUAUGAAAAGUUUCAUAUUUUCCCCUUUAGGUUUUAUAGUUUAAAUUUGAACCCAAAAGUUUUGUUGUUUUGAAAUUUAAAUAGUUGAAACCCUAAUGUUUUGAAAAAGGUUUCAAAACUUGCCCUCAAGUUUUGGAAUUUAAAUUUUGAUUAAAUAGUUUAAUUUUGAUGUAUAUUUAAAUUCUAAACCCUAAUGUGUUGAAAUGUUUCAAAACUUGCCCUCAAGUUUUGGAAUUUAAAAGUUGAUUAAAAGUUUAAUUAGGAAUGUUAAAUUCUAAAACUCUAGUAUUGUUUUGAAAAAGUUCAAAUCACACCCUUAUGGUUUUAUUAAUUAAUUAAGGUGUAUAAUUAAAAGAGGUUUAAUAAAUCCAUAAAAGUUUUGGUUUACAAUUUAAUUGAAUUAAAAGUAUAAUUGUUAAAUUUGACCACCUAGUAUUUUAAAAGUGUAAAAUACACCCUAUACUAUAUAUAACAUUAAAAGUCUAACAUUAUAUAUAUGUAUGAGUAAAAGUCAGUCUUACCGUUAGUAGGCCUCAUUCACGAAGCUGGUCUAUAAGGGGUGUUUAAGGAAAUUGCCUAUAAAAUGGCGAUUGAAUGGGUAUCCACUCUUACCCACCGCACUCUUGACUAGUGGAGGGUCGUUAGCCGAACGGGUAGGAUAGGACGAAACCUUCCAUUAUAAGUAUAAUGAAGUAUAAAAGUAACUAAAUGUUUUCAUAAAAUUCCCAAUCUUAGUUACUUAGGCAAAAGUGAAUUGAUGCAAUUCCAUGAAAUUACACUUUGUGCCCUUGCGAAGACGUUAGUGGAGCGUGUGUGGUUUACCGGCACACUAAAUGGUUCUAAGCAAAGGUAGCAAAGGGUGACUCAAUGUUUGUCAUAGUUCGGUGGAGCGUGUGUGGUUUACCGGCACAUCGAAUAGGUGACUGUAACAUGUGAGGGCACCAUGUAAGUUUGCAUGGUUAUUCACACCCGCUUUGUGAUCCUCGGCAUCCCAGUCACAAACAAGAGGGGCAUAUCGAGAUUUAAACAUGCCAUUGAAAUGUUCAAUGAAUCUCAAAGGAUCUAGGAGUUUUCAUAGAUUUAAAACUUAAAUUUCUUUUUCGUUUUUCAUGGUGGAAAUUAGUGAAUCGUCAUUCACUUACCUUCAAAUGUUCUGCAAUUUGGGUUACGGCAUCCCUCUCCCGAGUUGUAGAAUAUUGUGUUGGGUCCUAGCCUUAGUAUCUCAUUUGGGUGAUUUACUAAGGACUCAAUCAAUCAACUAACUUGAAUUCUUUUUCUCCCGUUUUGUAGAUGUCAAAGUUCGACAACUAUGGUCUUCCCAAAUCCCGUGGAACAAGCAUUCCACAUGAAGAUGAUAUUCCACGAUUCGAUCGAGGAACAAGAAAUCAUGCUUCACUUCCUCCACCUCCUCCAAUUAUUCUCCCUAACCCACAAGUUCAAAGGCUUGAAAAGUUCAAGAUCACUCAAGCCCUUUUGGCAAGUAAACAUAAAGAAGGAAAGUCGGUGUGUGCACACGUCCUAGGGAUGAAGUCACACAUUGAUAGGUUAAGAAUGUUGGGAUCCGUUGUCUGUGAGGAAAUGGCUGUUGAUUGGGUUCUUCAGUCACUUCCUAACUCAUAUAGUGAGUUCGUAAGAGAGUACUAUAUGAUGAACCGCGACGUGACCCUUAUAGAUCUCACCUAUAUGCUUAUUGCUGCUGAAUCAGCAAUGGUUUGGCGCAAUAGAAAAGCAAAGUUGAUUGGUGAAUCUGCCUUCAAGACCUCUAUGGAUAUAGACAAUGGCAACGAAAGACAUGCUAUGAUCGAAAAGUUUGAUCAUAAGAGAAAGGCAAUGUCUGAAGUAGUUCCAUGUCAUGUUCCAAAAGAGUCAAUUUGCUUUUAUUGCCAAGAGAAAGGGCAUUGGAGACGAAGCUGCCCCAUUUACCUAAGAGAUCUAAGAGAUGGGAGAGUCGAAACGUAUGGCUCUAAUAUAGGUAAAAUCCAUUAACUAACUCUUUUAAGCUUCUAUUCUAGAUUCUUAAUACAUAAUGUGAUAAGAUUACAAUUGAUGUUUUGUAGGAUCGAAGAAAAGAAAGGAAGCUUAAGGGAAGAAGUGAGCAGAAUCUAACCGUGAAGGAAUGGAUUUCGAUCGCAUUUCUCGAAGAUUAGAUUCUUGAGCUACUACUUAGAGUUAGAAUUAGAUUGCUAAGAAAGAUGUAUUAGCAUAGUUUUUCAAUGAAUUGCAUUGUAAGGACAAAUUUUUCCGCAAUAAAAUAAAUUUUGAUUUUAAAUUUUAUUUAUUUAUCCUUACAAUGGCGUGUAUGAAAAAUUGAUGUUAAAAUGUUUCUAUUAUUAGCAAUAAUGGAUUUGGUUCUUAUUAUGUUAUUUAUGGAAAGUCGAGAAUUUACCAAAUAGGGAGAGUUUCUCAUCGCCCAAGUUUCAAUUGGACAGAAACUUGGAAUCAUGCAACUUGGUUGCACGAUGAAUGAGAAAUUUCAUAUUUGGAAAUUAGACUAAUUCAUUGACAAAGUGUCAAGUGAAGGACUAGGAGAUCGAGUACACAAAGUUGCGUGUUGAUCAAGUCCACCAUAAGAGUAACAAAGAUAUUCGUCAUGAUUUACUAAAGGUUUAGUAAAUAUGAUUAUACUUAUAAGAUUAAGUGUAAUUCUGAAUUGAUUGAAAAGGUUUAAAUCAAUAGCAGAACGAAUAAGAAGAAUCAAGUAGGCAGAAAGAUAAAAGUUUCUCCAUUCUAAGAAGAAGGGAGAGUACCUUUUAUGCUUUAUGAUAGGUCUUAAUGAUUAAGAACCAUAUCUCAAUUGAUCCUCUAAGUGAGUCUUAGUACAAUUGUAUGUCUAAGAAGAGGAAUCAAGAAUUGAAGAAAUGGUUAAAUCAAGAAGUCAAUCAUACUUCGUUCCAAAACAAGUCUUAGAGUUAAGAUUGUGACAUUGAGUGAUAAGUAUAAAGAAGGUUUAUAACAUUCAUUAAAUGUGGAAAGUUGUGAUGUCUUGGAUAAGACAAAGACCAACUAGGACCAAUUUAUGAAGUGUUUUGAUAAAAGCUACACUAACUCUUGAAUAUUUGUUUGUCAAGAAAUGGUUAUUGACAAGAGAAUCUUAUAUGUCAAGGAGUCAGUGGGAGUCUUAAUGGUCUUGAAAGGUUUCAAGAACAAAUCAAAUAAACCUUAUCGAUCAUCACUAGCACACGAGUUGAGGUUUACAACCUAUCGUGUUGACAUUAUUUUGAUUCUGUGCCAAUCCAAUCGAGUUAAUUAUGCAUGUGAGUUCUAUGAGUUCUCAUUUUGAACGCAUAAAAGGCAAAGCACCUUAAUCAAUGAAAGGUACAUUGAUAGGAAAGGGUGAGCUGCUUAACUACUUGGAAGACAUGGUGGGCAGCUGUGCUACCAUAAAGGCAAGAAAUCGAGAUCAAGAAAGUUCGAUCCAUAAGAGUUUGAAUUUGUCGUAAACUUUGGUUUUGACAAAUUCACAUGGAUAGGAACAAAUACACCGUUUAAAUCUAAGUGUCAUAAGAUUUCCUCCUUCAUGAAAAUGAUUGUGAGGAAAUGCUUUCACUAAGACAGAUUUUAAGAAGAUAGUGAUUGUAAAAUUGCAUUCUCGAAUUCAAUUAUGGUUACGGCAUCCCUUUCCAUAAUUUGAAUUGUGAGGUUUGGCAAUUAGUCUUAAUUGUUUAGACACACAUAUGAACUAUCGAAGGCAAAGGUGUAUAAGUUCAAGAAGCCUUGAUAAAAGAUUAUCAAAGCACUAAGUAUUAGAAACAUGAACUUAAGAAAUUCAAUAAGCAUUUUUUUUCUGAAAGUUAAGAUGUUUAUGAAUACAUGUCGAAGCUAGUGGGAGCAUAAGUGUUAUGUUUUAUAAUAAUCAUCAAGAUAGUGGGAGCAUAAAAGUUAUGAUUGUAUGAUUAUUAAGGAAAGUAUUGCAAGGUUAGCAAUAUUAAUUAUAGAAAACAAGAGUCAUACUUUGCAAAGUCGCAAUAGUUGAAGAGUUGUUUUGCUAUAAUUAAGGGAGAGAAUAUUAUGCUUCAUUUCAAAUCUAAAGGUUUAGGUUGAGAAAUGUUAAUAAAAUUUAGUCAAAGGUACAAAGUGUGUUCUUAAAAUUUCGAUUAUGAUUACGGCAUCCCUCUUCACAAUUCGAAUUUUGAGAACAUAGCAAAUAAAACAUUAUGCGUCGUGUCCCAUACGCUUCGGGUAUAGGAUCGAUUGCAAAUGCUUUAAUGUUUGACCAUUCUAAAAUUUUCCAAAUGUCGAGCGCAUUUAGAGGGAAAAGGGACUAGAAUUGGUUUUGACUAAAAUAAUUAAACAACUAUCAAAGGACAAUCCAAAGUUCGACGAGGAUUGGUCGCUUGUGAGUAGUUGGAAGUAUAGUAUUGGAAAAUAUGGAAAUGUUUCCAUAUUGGAUGGACCAUAUCGACAUCAUUACGAAUAGAUAAGAUUCUAUUAAGAAUGAGUUGUCAUAUGGAACAUAUGGAAGUGUGUCCAUAUUGGGAAUUGAAUAUUGAGAAAUCUAUGACUAGAUUAGAAACUUCUAUGCAAAAGGAUGUUCAAAGAAUGUACUUUGAGUGAGAGACAUCACAUCUAUGGAAUUGUCUUGUAACAAUCUCCGAUAGAGGACUUUGUAAUAUCAUUGGCAAUAGUCUUUGUGACUUUGGUGCAGUGACAUUACGAAAGGAUCGUUGCAUAAAAUGUUAGAAUCUAGCAUAUUCUAUAAGUAGCAAGAAUUUGAUAUUCUUUCACUUAUGAAAAGGAUUUGGAGUUGUGAAAUGAGAAUGAUUGGAAAUGUGUUCAAUUUGAUCUAUUUCACAAAGUAAGAACCAUAGGUAAACAUUGUGUGCAUGCUAGGAGCAUGGGACAAGUGUAAUAAUUCAAGUAAGAAGUUGAUUACCCGAAACGACAAAUAAUGAGUAAUCGAUAUGGUGAUAAAUAAAAGGUGUUUUAUUUAUACUCAAAGGUUUGAGGCCAUAUGGGAUUAGUAUUAUUCUUGUGUUUCACAUUUGCAUGUUUUGACUUCCAGAAUAAUUGAGUUUAUUAAGAAUAAUCGAAUUAUUCGAACGGGCCACAGUCGUUCAUAUGUUGGAAGUAGAUAUGAAUGAAGACUGUCGUGAAUUGGUGUGUGGAUUGUCUAAAAGAGUAUUAGACAUAAGCAAAUGUUUGCUGCAACGUUCAUGAGUGCUUAUGAAUAUGAUUUGAGCAUUGGAUUAAACCCACGCUCACUUGGAUCACUCCAUGAAUUGUAUCACGAGUGAUUGGUGAGACGAUAACAUCUUAUAUUCUUGAAACCGAGAUGUGUGAGUUGUAUCUUGCGAAUCGGUUGCACAUUGAUAAUAUGUAAACGCACUAGUAACUUGGUGUUAUAAAACAUAUUGUUGUGUGUGAUUUGGUUAGUAAGUGCAAGCAAGCAUUGUAUCAAAGUUUAUCCGUUCCUUUUAUCCAAAGUAGGAUAAAAGCGAUAUCUUUGGGCCCCUCGAUGAUUUAGUGAUGACAAACGUAAAUGCUCGGCCGGGCUAGGGCUAAUUUGAUUUGUUCAAUUAGUCAGUCGUCAUAAAUCGGGAAUCGAGAUAUAGUACAAAGAGAAUGAUUUGAAAUCAUAUCUCAUAUGAUAUCUAGAAUGGAGGAAUAUAUGAUCCCUUAUCUAAGGACACGCGUAUCUGAUAUGAUCAGAGUUGACAGCGGCUUUGGAAAGCUACGAUUGCAGAUCAGGAUCUGAAGUCAUACGCAGAAUAGUUGUUAGACUUAUCCAAGUGGGAGACUGUUGGAUUAGUGUCUAAGUCCAUAACUAUUUUGGUAUGUACUUGACCCGAUGGUGCAUGGUCCUUUUGGGUUGCCUUCACCAAAGCAACUUGAUUGGAGAAAUAAAGAGAGAGAGAGGUUAUUAUGAUUUAUUAAUAUGUUAUAAGAAUAAUAUAUUAAAGGAGAAAUCAUAUUUGUUUAAUUAAUAUUGGUCAAUAAUUAAUUAAGAAUUAAUUUGUGAUCAAGUGUAAUUAAUUAAACUAGAGGGGUUGAAUUGUAAUUAUGUGAUAGUUACAAAAUAAGGUAAGGAUUAUCUUAAAUAUAGGGUGAACGAAUUUAAGGAGAUAAUGCCUUAGAAUUCGACUAGGAUAAGGGUUUCUAAGACUUAUCUUAUGGUUGCUUGGUGGGCAAGCAACUAGAUAAGGAUAAGGACUAAAACCCUAAUCUUUACACCUAUAUAAACCCCCUAAGGCUCAUGAAUUCGUCUAAGCCUUACCAAGAAGUCCUAAGGACGAAUUCCUACCUCUAUCCUCUCUCUUUAUACCUUCUCCAUUUGCUCUUGGUGUUUGUGAGCCAUUAGAGGAGUGACACUUGUGACUCUAAGCCUUCCAAAGUCAAUUCAUGGAGAAUUGGGAUUGUUAUUACUACAUAACAAUCAAGGUAACAUCUUAAACCUAAUUAUAUGUUAAUAUCGAUUUCCAUAUGCUAGAAUUAGGGUUUAUAGUCUUGGAUUCAAAGCAUGUACAAUAGAGAAACCUAGAUCCAAGCAUUAGGGUUUGUAUGAGCACAUAGGAUGUCUUAUGACCAAAACCCAUCACAUCUUUCAUUGGCUACUAUGAAGUGUGCACUCUUAGUAAACCGAUCAACGACCACCCAAAUCAUGUCGUGACCGUCCUUCGUUCUGGGCAGUUUAGUGACAAAAUCCAUGGUAAUGUCUUACCACUUAUCCAUGGUUACACAUAAAGGUUCUAAAAUCCUAUAUGGUUUCUGAUGUUGUGCCUUAACUCUCACAUAGGUCACACACUUGGCCACAUACUUUGCAAUGUUGAGCUUCAUCUUCGGCCACUAGUAGUAGGGUUUCAGAUCCCUAUACAUUUUUGUGCUGCCGAGAUGAAUCGAGUACAUGGUCUUGUGAGCUUCUUCCAUCAGAAGAUCUCUUACUUCGCCCAUCUUGGAAUACCUUUAAUCCUUGAUUAUUUGUACCGAAAACCAAGUUUUUGCUUAAACAUUCUUCCUUUUGGUCAUUCUCCUCUAAAACUUCCUCCCAAGCUUUGUUGAUGCUUUCCACAAUCAUUGUGACAACCUCUAUUGAUUGUUUUGAUUAUAUUUCUCUUCAAUCUUCUGUCCUAACUCAGAUGCUACAUGAAACUUGGUUCUCUGAACCAUGUAACAUACUCAUCUUAGUUGGACUCGAUAUGAUACGACCACUAGGGUCAGAAUCAGAAUCAUCUUCUUAGUCAUUACCAAAACGAUGGUAAUGAAGAACUUGAACAAAACAGAAUCAAUUACUAGCUUCUUAGUAACCUUGCGACUUUCACUGAUCCAAGUGCAAGUCCUGUGCUUCCGGUAGUAUAGGCCUCUACUACCAUUCACACCUACUCAUACUCGUUCAAGGUGCUAUCUCACAGUUUUCCAAGUCAUCAUUCAAGAGUUUCACAUAAUCAUUUAACACAUCAGAUAACAAAAUCAAGGUUUUAUAUUAUUUCUUGAAAUGAUUACAUAAAUGUUCAACUUCGUCCUAUACUAUGCCUCUAAUAAGUUGCGCUACAUGAUGCUAUCCACAUGGCCACUUCAUAACUUGAUCUUCGGAUAUCAGUCCUCACUCCUGCUUCCUUGCAUUGUCAGCUGCUUCGUUAAGGAUCAUUUGGAAUGCCCUUGGCUGGGGCGGUGCGUUUGGCCUUGCCGCUUUAUUCUUCCUUGGGCGGUUCUUCAAAAUAUGCCAUCCUUCAUUGCAUUCAUAGCACACCCUCUUGCGGGAUGUACACUCAUUGGCGUAGUGCCCAGGAUUUUCACACUUAAAACAAGUGACCUCCCGUCACAUUUCCCAUGGUGCUUCUUUUUGUACUUUUCACACCAUUUCGCUUCAACUCCUCCUCCUCUCGAACCAGACUUCGAGAAAUUACUUUUCUUGUUGGAUUUCGAAGAUCCAUCAAACUUCCUUUUCUUACCAACCUCUGCCCUCUCCAGACCCUUCUCCCUUAUCCGUGUCUCAACAAUCUUCAUAGCUCUAACGACUGCCUUCAACGUGCUUGCCAUUUUGACUAUUGGGCCAAAGUCUGAUGGCAAUCCGUUAGCAAAUUUCUCUAUCUUGGCGAGUUCAGUCGACACCAAGUAUGGAAAUAACUUCAUCUUCUCAGUGAAUGCAGUAGCAUAAUAAUCAAUGCUUAUUCUCCGUUCUUCAAUUUCUGGAACUCAUUGUUUAGAUCUAUCAUAUCUAUUUCGGAGCAGUACUGCAUUUUCAACUGCAUUAUGAACUCUUCCUUAGACAUUUUCAGAGCUUUUCCUCGUGGCAUCGUAUCCGUUAAUAACUUCGACCAGCUUAAAACUUUGGUCUUUACUUGUUUGACCGCAAAGACAAUUUUUUGUUUGUCGCUAUAGUUGCAGCUUUCAAAUACCAUCUCUAUUUCGACAUGAUCUUCAUUGUGAUUUGACGAAACAUAUUUGGACGGUUAUGCUUUUCAUGGCCAAUUUUCGAAGAAGUACUUCUUUUAAAUUGACGAGUGUGACAUCCACCAUUUUCACGGUCAGAAAAGACUGAUUUUGUUUAUGCUUUAUAAUAAAAUCAGAGUAACCUUUUUAAAGAAAAGUGUUGUGGAAUUUGUUCCUAAAAUAAAAUAUGAUAAAGAUUUAUCAAAACAUUUCCAAAGAAAUGUAUUUCAUUGUAUUAAAACCUUGGGAUGUCAUUAUUAAUACAAAUCAGAAACAUAAGCAGUACAACAUAGGCGUUACAACAUUUAUUUAAAUCUACUAGCCUAUAAACCAUAAUCCUCUCGUCAAGUCAUCCAACUAUGCUCUUGCCACUACCUAUAAUACAAGAAACUGAGCCGGUCAGGCUUGGGAGCCUGGUGAGCACAUAGGGUUUUCAACCCACAAUAAAUAAUUUUGUUAAUUUCAACAAAUGAAAUAAACCAGAUUACCCGUUUCUAUUUAUCCUCACAUUACGUCCCUAAAACAUCUAAUAUAAGGGACAUAGCCUAAGGAUUAUUGUAGCACCUGGUUCCUAGUACGUAAUCCUUGUAAUUAAUAUUUCUUAAUUUUGCAUUUUUGCCUUGGACUUGGCGAGUUGAAGAACCGACUCGUCGAGUAGAAGCGGGAUGAGAAGCGGGGUCUGAGCUUUGGACUCGGCGAGUAGACCCUGUUUGGGCAAAAACCCUAACCAAAGUGUUUGCACCCUAUUUAAACGCUCUAACUUGGCCUCCUUUGUCCCGAACACUCCCAGAGAGCUGAAGAGCGAAACCCUAGCCCCCAUUUUGUUCUUGAGAGUGAUUUUUGGCUUUGUGAAGAAGGUUUGGAGCUUAGAAGAAGAAGAAAUAGGUUGUAGUGUGCAAAGAGGGGAAGUAGAUCCGGAAUCUACACUACAAGAGGCUUCCAUUCAGCCGGAGGAUUACCGAUUCAGCAGUCAGGCGCUUAGCAAGCAGAUUUUCAGCAGCUACUUUUCGAGGUGAGUUACCUUCCAGUAGCGGUGGGUCUAAGGCCACAAUGUCGGCCCACCAGUAGGAGACGUAUGAUAGAUGAGUGUCUUUGUGAUAUCAUCUAGGUUUGUUACUACCUGAUAUGUUAUAUGCUAGCUUGAUGUGUUAUAGUAGUAGAGUUCGGUUGUUAGGACCGAAGGGUAGUCAGAUACCCCAGAUACGUCUGACAGUAUGUGAUGAUAUGUUUGCAUGUUGGCUUGUUAUGUUAUAUGCGAUAGAGGUAGUAGGGGGUGAAAUAGUCCCCGAGGUUCGGUUGUUAGGACCGACGGGUAGUCAGCACCCCAGAAUGGCUUGACAUAGGGAGGGCGGCACCCCAGAAUGGCCGUACAGGUAGGUCGGCACCCCAGAAAUGCCUAGCAGUAUGUAUGUGAUAUGAUUGUAUGGUAUGUGGUACGAUGGGGGGGACUCACUAAGCUUUGUGCUUACAGUUUUCAGUUCUGGUGUCAGGUACCUCUUCAGCGAAGGGGAAGGAGCUGGCGCGGUAGCGGUACAUCAUACACACACAUUGGAUUUCCGCAUUAUGAGAUGUCCUGGGAUUGUACUCUGACAUUAUUAUUAUUUUCAUGUUUUGGGUUUUCAGACACGAGAUUUGUUUUAUGACAUGAUAUGAUCGGAUGAUGUUUUACUGCAAAUGUUUUACAAACCACUUAUUUUAAGUGAAAUUUUUGGGCGUGAAAAUUGGGUCGUUGCAAUUAUCAUCGGGGUAACAACAUUGCUUAGGGGAUACUGUGACAUCCCCAAAAUCUUGGCCAGAAAAGACCGAUUUUCAUUUAUGCUUUUAAAAUAUUUUCAGAGUAAAUCCUUUUGAUUUGAAAGAGUUGCGGAAUUUGUUCCCAAAAACAAAACAUGAUAAAACAAUGUUUACCAAAGCAUUUCAUAAAAGAAAUGUAUUUUCAUUAUAAUCAAAACUCGGGGUGUCAUGUUCCGAUACAGACCAAUAAGCAUAAACGAAUACAUUACAAGUCAUAUAACAAAUAUAAACAUAUGCAGACUUGUAAACAAAACAACUUGAUGGUUCAUCCAUCUCAUGCCCUUCCGCCACUACCUGUAAUACAAUUUAAAACUGAGUGGGUCAGGCUUGGGAGCCUGGUGAGCAUAUAGGGUUUUCAACCCACAAUAAAUAUCAUAUUUAAUUUUCACCAACCAACAAUAACCCAAUUACCCAUUCCCGUUAUUCUCACUUUAAUGUCCCUAAAACAACUAACAUAAGGGACCUAGUCUAAGAAUAUUUCAUCGGGGCGACAACACAUGCUUCGGGGGUACCUCAGCAAUAUAAGUCAAAUAAGGCAACCAUGAGGGGGAUGGAGUACAGCGAAUGAACACCCAAGUUCAUUAACACCUACAGGUGGCGAACCUGCUAAUGUUUCCACAAGACUAUCUAGAAAAGUCCGUGGUCGUCAUCUAAACUCCGCUAGAUGACUAAAUCAAACAACAACGAGGCCUCUCAUCUGUUUAUUACACACCAACUAUCUACCCAUGUUCUACCCAACAUAUUAGUAGAUAAAAAUAUACAUUUUUAUACAUAGUUUAAAAACCUGUAUAGCAUGCUUUAAUCAACACAUAUUUCACAUAACAGAUGAGGCACACACACACAUAACACGUAUCUCAUAGAGAAUAAAUCAUAUCUAUGAGAUAGAAGAAAGUGAAUACACAUUCACACACAUAACCACAAAAUUAUACACAUAAUACGUAUUCCGUAUAAAAUACUUCAUAAUUAUGCGUUAGAAGAAAGUAACUACACACUCACUUGAUCAGAAGAUGAUCGGACAGCACUACGACUUGCAGAAGUAGUAAUCCUCAGCAGAUCUGGAAGAUCUUCACAAAAAUCGAACUUCUCGCGGGCAGAGCUUCGGCUCGGGAACCGCACUUCUCGGGAUCUUCGGGAUCUCGGGACUUGCCUCGGGGCUCGAGUAUGAUACCGGGGCUUCGGGGUAUUUCUGGCACGCAAAACGAUGCAAAACGGGAGAGAGAAGAGAGAAAAUGAACAAAAGAAUCGGCUGCCUUCGGAUCCUAUUUAUAGGAGGCUGAAGCCUCGGAGUACGCGAGGUGUACUGGUCCGAAAAACGUCACUGCUUACGUAUCCGAAGACUCGAGUGCGAAUGUCGACAUCCCUCGGUGUACGCGGGGCGUACUUCGGAUCGGAUUGCUGACUCCCCUUCGGAUAAUACCGGAUUUUCUAAUAAAAAUUAAAUACAAAUUAUUUAAUAAACUUCGGAAAUUCAUCUCUUCUUCAUACGAACUCCGUUUUCGACGUUCUUUAUAUCCACGCGAAGGUGAGACUACGCUCUACAACUUUCGUUUAGACUCCGUCGGCUAAUUUUAACUUUAUUUUUAUUAUUUAUUUUUAAUAGGCCGGGACAGAAAAACUUCGUUAUAAAUUCAUAACUUCUUCGUUUGACGUCCGUUCUCGCCUAACUUUUUAUCGCUUCGAGACCAACAACGAGACCUUCGAUCCUCGUUUAGGUUGCUUCGGCUCAAAACCGCUCGAUCUCAAAUCGAGUAUUUCGGGCUGCACACCGCUAAACCGAAACUUCGAUAAAUCAUAACUUCCUCAUACGAAGUCAGAUUUGGGCGUUCUAUAUAUACAUUCGUAAACCUCGUUUCAACUACUACAUCAUCAACCAAAGAUAUCAAGUUUAUUUUACACUUUAAUUUUGACGCUUAUUUUUAUUCUUAAUUAAUCAAACCACAUAAUUAAGCAAUUAAGCACAAAACACAUAAUACUCAAAUAAUACAAUCAUAUUAUUUCAAAACGGGUUACAAAGGUUAACUUAGACUAUUACAUUGCUAAAAAUGGCAAGCCCGGAAACACAGGCGUUACAGAUACCUCAACAUUUUAUGUCAAAUAAGGCAACCAUGAGGGGGAUGGAGUACACCUGGUGAACACUGAGUCCAAAUAAACACCUACAGGUUGCGAGCCUGCUAGCGUCCCAUUGGACUGUCUAGAAAAGUCUAUGGUCGUCAUCUAUACUCCGCUAGAUGACUAGAUCAUCGUCAAUAUCGAGGCCUCUCAUCAUUUUAUUUCAUCACACGCCAACUAUUUCAUCUACCCACGUUUUACCCAACAUAUUUGUAGACAUAAAUUACAUAUACAAUUCAGAUCUAAAAAACAAAAUNUAUAUAUAUAGUUUAGAUCUGAAAAGAAAAGUCUAGAUCUGAAAUGAGAAAGUUUGGAUUUGAAGGAAACAGUUCAGAUCUGAAAGAAAGAGUUUAGAUUUGAAAGAAAAGUUCAUAUCUAAAAAGAAAAAGGUUUAGAUCUUUCUUCCAACAUAGAUCUCAGGUAAACAGAUAAUAUAUAUACACAUAACACGUAAUUUAUAUAAAAUAGUUUAGAUCUGAAAAGAAAAGUCUAGAUCUGAAAUGAGAAAGUUUGGAUUUGAAGGAAACAGUUCAGAUCUGAAAGAAAGAGUUUAGAUUUGAAAGAAAAGUUCAUAUCUAAAAAGAAAAAGGUUUAGAUCUUUCUUCCAACAUAGAUCUCAGGUAAACAGAUAAUAUAUAUACACAUAACACGUAAUUUAUAUAAAAUAUUUCAUAUUUAUGUGUAAGAAGAAAGUAAAUACACACUCACAUGAUAAGGUGGCGAUUCGGACAACGUUUUGCUUCUUAAAAUAAUCUCCAUUGAUGAAACCGGGAAGUUUGGUUGAAAACCGGGCUCUGCGGGGGGGCAAAGUUUCUAAACCGAAAAACUCUUUUUCUCGGAGACUUCGGGCGCUCCGGGGCUUUCUUCUAGUGCUAAGGAGGUCCCCUAGGCUUCGGGGGUGUUUAGGGUGGAUAGAGAGAGAAAGAGAGAGAGAGAGAGAGAGAGAGAGAGAGUAGAGUAGAGAGUGAAAGAAGUGUGAAAUAUGUGAGAAAACAUGGCUAGCCUCGCAUCCUAUUUAUAGUCAGGAGGUCUCGCAUUACGUUGGGCGUUCCUCGGUCUACAUGGGGUGUUCCUCGGUACGCAGGGCGUACCCUCGUACGCGGUACGGUUUGCGAGGUUCGGAUUUGUCACCCUUCAGAUGGAGCUAUGUGGCCAAUUCCGGACCUAGCCUUUGCGAACGCGGGGUGUUCUCUUCGGAUAGCCUCGAAAUAUGUACCUCUUACUUCAAAAAUUCAUAUAUUUUGCAUACGAGCUCCGUUUUCGACGUUAUUUAUAUCCACGCGUAGGCAGGACCGUACUCUACAACUUUUGUUUAGACUCAGUUGGCUAAAUUUGACUUUAUUUUUAAAGUUAUAUUUUUAACAGGCCGGGACAGGAAAAGUCUAUUAAAAAUUCAUAACUUCUUCAUCCGACGUCCGUUUUCGUUUUUCUUUUAACCGUUGAACUACUAUUGACGAGAUCUUCGAUUCUUGUUUAGGUUGUGUCGGAUAAAAAUCCCUCGAUUAUAAUUCGAGCUACGGGCUGCACACUGCUAUGCUAAAUCUUAGAAAAUUCAUAACUUCCUCGUACCAAGUCAGAUUUGGACCUUCUUUUUAUGCACGCUCUUGAUUUAACGUAUACUAGGAUUUUCAUUUAGAUCGCUAAGGCUAAAAUGCACUUUAUCGUAAACUCACUUUUUACGUCACGCAAUAUCGUGCUAGUUUUGUCGUGAAACUUUAACAGGUCAUAACUUUUUUGUGAUAACUUGGAUUUCGGCAUUCUUUAUAUGUCCGAAAUCCUUGUCACGACCACUACAACUUUCUUCAUAGAUAUCAGAUUUAUAUAACAUUUUAUUUUUGAUGCUUAUUUUCAUUCUUAAUUUAUUAUAUCAUUAUAAAUAAGUAUAUAAUCACAUAAAAUCACGUAAUUCACAUAAUAUUCAAGUAAUUCAUCUUUAUUACUUUAAAAUAGGUUACAAUAGUUGACCUUGACUAUUACAUCAUCAUACUAAUGUUUAGCCCAGAAACAAGGGCAUUAGAACGAGUAUGUUACUAGGGAGAAGAGAAAGAAAAAGAGAAACGGAAAACAUGAAGGUUUCACGAGAACUUCUCACUGAUAUCACUAUUCCCGUCGGUAACGUCAUGGACAUUGCCGGUGAUAAGGUUACCUCGUUACCAGAGGCAUUUUCGGUGAAAAACGACAUGAGUGAAGCUUUUCAUCGGAGUUGAUAGAGAGAAAAAGAGUAACACGGAAGAGGGAAGAAUGAAGUCGCUAAGGGUAUUAUUCGUGUCACACUUUAGCAACGAUACCAUUUAGUGGUGUCGAAAGACAUUUGUGGCAACUCGAAACGUAAUAGUCGCGACACACUUUUGAGGGAAUAAUUGGCAGAGGGUUCGAGUAUUAGCGGUGACACCGUUGCUGGUAUUAGUUAGUGGUGUGUAUGGGGCGGUUUGGUUCGGUUAUUGGUUAAAACCGAACCAUAACGAUUAUGAUUGGUUAAUGCAUUUUGGUAGCCAUUGGGUAUGGUUAAUAUUGGUUAUGGUUAGUAGUUUUUAUCGGUUAACGGUUUUGGUUAAUGGUUAAUAUUGGUUAACCAUAAUGUUCAAAAUAAUAUAAACGACGAAAGUAUUUUGGCAUGAAAAAUGAAAAUAAAAUACCAAAAAGUCCUCGACGCCGAUGUUUGUAACCUAACUUAUAGUAAUAUAAUAAAAUGUGUAUCUGUAAUACUUAGAGUGAGAUAACACAUAGUCACAUUUAAAAUCAAAAAUAUUUAAUAAAAAUAUAAAACAUUAAAAAAAUUGACAUUAAUAAUUUCAUAUAUUGAUAAUUGAUAUUAAUAUUAAAAUAAAGUCAAACAUUCAUACACGUUCAAUACGAUUAAAUUAAAACUAUUAAAUAAAAAAGCCAAACAUUCAUAUUCUGUGUUAUUAGAUAUAAAAAAAAAAAAAAGUCAAUCACUCAUCUACAUUCAAUGUGAUUAAGUCAAAAACACUAAAAAAAUUCAAAAAAUUAAAAAAAAAUACAUUCUUAAUAUAUCACAUAGUUAAAAAGAACCAAAAACUUAACUUACCUAGAAGUCUUGAGUAUAAAGUCAAAAAAAUCCUUCGAAUAGGACUAUAAAGUCCAAACAAUCUUUGAUUAUGAUUAACGGUGUGAGAAGCCUUCGAUUAGGAUUAUGAGUGUGAAGAUUAAACUAAUUGUGAAUAAUGUUUACAAAUUGUAGAAUUAGCCGAUUAUGAAUUACAACAUUAAUUAAUAAUCUAACUCAAUGUAUGAUUGGAAGAUUAUGUGUGUCUGAGUGAUCAGUCUUUGAUGAUUUGAUUGCUCGUUCGUCUCCUGGUAAGUGAAGAUUAAUAGAUUAUAUUUUCAAAAUUUUAAUGGAUCUUAAAUAAGUUUGACUAUAUNUCUCUUUCUCUCUCUCUCUCUCUAUAUAUAUAUAUAUAUAUAUAUAUAUAUAUUAAAAUAUAAAGUUAGCGGUUCGGUUAAUAAUGGUUCGGUUAACCUAUAAAACCAUAACCGAACCGUUAGUUAUUGGUUAACAAAAAUUAGAAACCGAACCAACGGUUUUUAAAAUGGUUCGGUUAUAACGGUUAAUUUGGUUUUGGUUCGGCUUUUCGGUUAUUAUGCUCACCCCUAGUAUUAGUUUCGCCGUUAUUGUUAUGUACGAAAUCAUUUUUCAAGUGUUGGAUUAUGACAAAAUCGACGAAUAGGGUUUAACCUCAGAUUUUGACGCGGAUCGGGGUUGAUGAGUUUCGCCUUUAGCGGUGACAACCACCAUUACAACGAGACCUAAUCUAAAUGUUGGGUAUCGCUUGUAAUGGUGGUUGUCGCAACUAAAGGAUUCGCCACUGAAGUCCUAUAUUGUUGUAGUGAUAAAUGUUAAACCUAAACACCAAUUUAAACACACCAACCACUAGAAAUUGGUGGCGACAAGUUCAUGGCAUUAAGAGCGAUAACAAAUGGUGUAUAAAUCCAUUAUGAUCUUCGUUGCGAUUUAACAGAACAUAUUUGGACGGUUAAUGAUUUUGAAGCUCAAUUUUGGAACAAUUUUUUUUUUGAUCCAUCAUGUUAUUAAGUUUUAAGUUUUUAAUUUUUUGAGUUGUUAUGGUUUAGUUUCUUGUUGUGUAAUUUUUAUUUUGAUUUAAUAUAAAAUUUAGUUUUUAAAAAAUUAAUUGCUAAAAAAAGUACUGAUGUUAAAAAAAUGAUGUUAAUCCGCCUAACCUAAAUGUAAAUGGUAUGUUGAAGACGGUGUGUAGCAAAAUCAAAUAUAAGCUGCUGGUUGAUGCAUCGGGUAUUGUAUUACGUGAGGUUGAUAGUUUGAUUUGUUGAAAUUAUCUUUUGUGUGUUUGAGAAUUCUUUUAUGGAAGUCCCUAUAAAAAGGAGUUCAAACUCAAAUGUUGGUUGAAAUAUUGCGAGUACACUUCACUUAAUUUGAUUGCGGUUAGGAAGCAAUUUAAUUUCUCAAAAGAUUAAAUGCCACUAAUAAAUUAAAAAAAUAAACUAAAAAUCAACACCAAAUUAAUGCCAAAGCUUUAAACCAUAUAUUACUAAAUUAAUUCACAUACGCCAUCAAAAAAAAAUUCAUGUCACAAACCCAUACUCAUAAAACUCACUUUCCAGGUACAAAGUUUGUAGCAUAUGACCAUGCAUUGUUUGCAACAGGGUCAGCAAGGUGGUCAGCGAGGUUCUCCAAUGGUCCCUUUCCGGUAACAAUGGCUUGAACAAAGAAUCCAAACAUAGAGAACAUGGCUAGUCUACCGUUCUUGAGCUCCUUCACUUUCAGCUCAGCAAAUGCCUCUGGGUCAUCAGCCAGACCCAAUGGGUCGAAGCUACCACCAGGGUAAAGUGGGUCAACUACCUCACCAAGAGGUCCACCAGCAAUUCUGUAACCUUCAACUGCACCCAUCAAGAUCACUUGGGUAGCCCAGAUGGCUAAAAUGCUUUGUGCAUGGAUCAAACUUGGGUUCCCCAAGUAGUCAAGACCACCCUCACUAAAGAUCUGGGAUCCAGCCUUGAACCAUACAGCCUCACCAAACUUGACACCAUUACGCGCCAAGAGUUCGGGGAAGACGCACCCAAGAGCUCCGAGCAUGGCCCAUCUGCUGUGGAUGACCUCAAGCUCACGGUUCUUGGCGAAUGUUUCAGGAUCAGCAGAGAGCCCAGCAGUGUCCCAACCGUAGUCACCGGGGAACUCACCGGUCAGGUAAGAUGGGGCUUCGCCGGAGAAUGGGCCAAGGUACUUAACACGGUCGGGGCCGUACCAUGGACUUCCUGAUGGUGCGACUUUCUUGACUGCUGUCUUCCUCAUGGAAACCCUUCCAUUUCCGGUGAUUUCUGAACCAGAUGGUGUUAUUUUCACUGCUUGUCCGAUGAAUGAAGAAGAUACAGACAUAGUGGAAGCUGCCAUUCUGUUAAAUUUGGUUGAAAGAUGUUGUGGAGAUAGGAGAGUUUGAGUUAUGAAGAUGGGGAGAUCUGCAAGUUUAUUUAUAAGGUGGUUUUUUGGUCAGAUAGAUAUGAUCGAUGCUUAUCUAGAUACAAUCUUCACCUUCAUUUUGAUUGGCAAACAACAUUCUAGUUUUAUCUAAGGGUCAGUAAUCUGCGUGCUGUGAGUUCUCUGGUCCACCAGAGAUUUUUGAAGGGGCUGCGGUAUAUUCAUGGCUCUGGUUUAUUGAGGGAAUGUAAUGGCUCCCAUUCUCAGCCACAAGCUGUUCUUGGUGGGGUUUUUCAUCUUUAACCAUUUUACAUUUUCACAAAGUUACAUAAAUAGUCAUCAUGCUUUACAAAGUCACCGGUUCAGCAACAAACUUUUUUUCCAUGAUUAAAAAUUCAAAACGGUCCGUAUGGUUUUAAUAUUAUUAGUAAUCAUCUUAACAUUUCUAAUUUUUAAAGACAAAUAUUCAUAUAAAUGGUUAUGUGAUUUUCCAGAAUAUCAAGUGGAGCACAUCAUUUUUUCGGUCUUAUGGAAUGACUAUUUGGUUUCAAUUCCUAUCAUAAUUGAUCUUAGAGCAUCCACAAUAGGGGAGUUUAAUGGAAGAGUUGAAUGAGGUGUCAUGCCUACUUGUCAUUCAAUGGAUACAACUCCACCAUUGUGAAAUGCCACCUUGGCAUUCAAUGAAUUUGGAGUUCAAUGGUCAUUGAACUCUUCAAUGGGAAAAAGGAAAAUCUUUAAAUCUUUAAAUAAAUAUUUUUUAAUAUAUUCCAUUGAACUUGUAGAGUUUAAUGCAUUGUGGGAUAAAAAUGAAAAGAGUUGUAUGGAAUAAUGAAUGAUGACGUGACACUCCAUUGAACUCUAUAGAGUUCAAUGCAUUGUAGAUGCCCUUAGUCCCACAUAAAUAAACUUUUAUACCCUUCUAUAUUAUAAUUAGUUUAUUUAAUAUAUAAAUAGCUAUGUUUUAUAGUUAACAAUAAAUUUUGUUCAUNNNNNNNNNNNNNNNNNNNNNNNNNNNNNNNNNNNNNNNNNNNNNNNNNNNNNNNNNNNNNNNNNNNNNNCUCUCUCUCUCUCUCUCUCUCUCUCCCAUCACACCCUCCUAAUCUUUAUUUCUUUCACUCGAUCGGUCAACCUCUUUUCUUUCUACAUAAAAAUUAAUCCAAAAUGCAGCCUUUUCCCAUACUCUGUGCUUGCACCGCCACUUUACCUUCUUGAAACCAAAUUACUAACCAUACACAAGUCUACAAAUCUACUAAUGUGUCUUCCAUUUCUCAAAAUCGAAAAAUAGAGAAGGUGUAGAACAUUGAGCUCACUUCUGUGCAUCUCCCACCUCUUUUACACAAAUAUGAAAUUAAAAUUGAAGAACAACUUUGUGAAGAACCUAGAUUGUGGAGAUGAUGAUGAAUAAAGUCGAUAGUUGGUGGUGCUCGGUGAUGUUUGAUGUUAGCGGCAGUACACUAGUGUUGUGGUGAUCGCCUGUUCAGUUGGUUAUAUUCUGGUAGGGUGGACGAUGGUGACCGUAGAACAGUUCAUAUAUAUAUNNNNNNNNNNNNNNNNNNNNNNNNNNNNNNNNNNNNNNNNNNNNNNNNNNNNNNNNNNNNNNNNNNNNNNNNNNNNNNNNNNNNNNNNNNNNNNNNNUAUAUAUAUAUAUAUAUAUAUAUGUGUGUGUGUGUGUGUGUGUGUGUGUGUGUGUGUGUGCGCGCGCACACUACAAGAAAUUUAGGUGUUUAUCCACACACGUUAUAUGUGGCUAAAAGACCUUUAUGUGUAGUUAUCUUUAGCUACACACAGAUUAAGUGUCAUAAUGUAUUGACUCAUGCCUAUAGAUAUAUAUCAUUAACUAUACAUUCAUUAUGUGGAAGUAUAGUGCAAUUAGUACACACAUACAUGUGUGGUUAAAACUAGUAAGUAUGUGCAUAUAGAAAGGGAGCUGAUCCGUUCACAACAAUUUUUCUCCAUACACAAUAAUUGAUGCUUUAAAAUGUUGUAUUAUACAACUAUAUAAUGCAUGAAUUGUUGUGUAUGGCAAAAAACUGUUGUGUACGAAUCACUUCCCAUAUAGAAGUACUAAAAAUUGUUUGAGUUGUCAACGAUGUGGCUGAUGACAUGUCAAAUUAUGUGGCAAGCCCACACAAAGUGUUGGUGAUAUGUGUUAUUCGAUAUGUGUGGGUAAUAAUUGUUAUAUGUGUAGGUUAAGAUAAGAUAUAUGAAAUAUAUAAAACACAAUAAAUGAAAUAUAAAAUUUAACAACACAAAUUGUUAUUACUUUUAAUAAGGAGUUAACGAUAUAUAAAACUUCUUUUGGAAUGGAAGUAUGUAGCACCCAAAGUCAGAAAGGCCAAGAAAGGAAAGGAAACCCUAAGUUUAAGGGACGACUCAGCAAGUCCAAGGAGGUACUCGGCGAGUCCGAGCGGGAUCCGGGUCGAGGAGUAAAUGACCGACUCGGCGAGUCGGCCAAGGAGACUCGGUGAGUCUGGUCUGUACGAGGAAAUCCCUAAAUUCGGGACUUGGAGCCUAUUUAAGCGCCUCAUUCUCUUCUCUAGGGUUCCUCUACUGCCUCUCUAACCNCUCAACCCCACCCCCGCCCCGCCAUAUCCAUUGUUGAGCCAAUUAUUGCUUUGAAGAGUGCAUUAAAGCUUGGAGAAGGAAGAAGGACCUUGGAGGUGCAAGAAGGAGCUAUAGAUCUGGGCUUGGGAAGAUAUUUCUGAACAUUUGGAGGUAAUAAACUAGUUCUUGGACUCCUUUGCACCUAGAUCUAUGUGUGAGUUUUGGGGCUUUUGGCCAUGAUUGGUACCCAUUUAAGUUAGAAGCCAGAUCUAAAGUUGCUACUUCGGAUAUAAGCAUAUUAUGGGCUUGUGAAGCAUAAAGUAUCAGCCCUUGAGUUGAUUAUGGAGCCUCUUUGCAUUAAACCCUAUUUUAUGGUGUGUCUAGCCUAGAUCUCCUUCUCUACACGUAAAGUUUGCAACUUUACGUGAGGAAUAGGCUUGGGAAGGGUAGAUCUACAGUUUGGGGUCCAUGCAUGACUCAAAAGUCCUCUACAUGUAUGUAGAUCUGAAUGGACUCGGCGAGUCCUUUGAGUGGACUCGGGGAGUAGCAUGAAGAUUAGGAGGAACUCAACGAGUGGGAUGAACAGCUCAUCGAGUCGGAUGAAGUUGGGCAGGAACUCGGCGAGUUGGAAGAACAACUCGGAGAGUCGGUUGAAGAUUGCCUUGGACUAGGUGAGUCUGUUCUUGGACUCGGCGAGUCAGGUCGCGAAACCCUAAACCCUUCGACUUGAGACUCGAAUCAGUGAGUCGAGUGGAGACUCGGUAAGUUGGACAGGUCAGGACUCGGAAAUCGGUAGACUCGGCGAGUCAUGGACUGACUCGGUGAGUCGAGUCGCGAUUGGAAGGACUUAGAGCAUAUGAACUCGGCGAGUCAAUAGGUAGACUCGGCGAGUAGGGUUGACCUGGAAGAUUGACUUUGAACAGGACUUUGACUUUGACCAGAGUUGACUUAGUUGACUGUUGGGGGUCAGUUAGUCUAAGUGUUUCAUUGAUAUUGGUAGCUCGGGGAGCUAGUGGAGCAGGAGUUCAGAGAGUUUCCGGGCAGCAUCCAGAAGGUUAUCAGCAUGUUCAGCAAGUGCAUGUGAGUUUCCCUUUGUGCCAAUGGGUCUACGGUCACAAUGUCGGCCCAUGUAGUUAUGAGUAGAAGACCCGGGGGUUAGCCCUAGGCACAGUAUGCUAGUAUGAUAUUCAGGACGAGGUCCAAUGAUAGCGGGCGGGUGCCCAAGGAAUGGUUUAUGUGAUAGUUUAUACUUGUUGUAUGUGUGAUACUUGUAUGUGUCUGGUAGGGAGGUGAGUGUGGGCGAGGUCCCGUAUCUCACCAAUAGCAGAGUGUGGAUGGUGUUCCACAUCUCAGUAGCAGCAGAGCAGGGGCGAGGCCCAAGUUAGGGAAGGAGUGAGGGUGGGCUGGGCCCGUACCUCACUAUCAGCAGGAGUAUGGACGGGGUUCCAUGACUCAUCAGUAGCAGGACAAGGGCGGGGCCCAGAGAUAGGCGAGGCCUUAGGACAAGAUCCGUUAGUAUGUGUUUAGCUUAUGUGAUGUGAUGUGAUAUGUUUAUGUGCUAUUAUAUGUUAGUGGGCGAGGCCCUGUGACAGGCGAGGCCUAAGUGAAACAGAUCUGUAUCCGAGCGGGGCUCGAAGCCAGGCGGGGCCUGGAGCGGCGGGGCCGUUGUAGCGGGCGAGGCCCGAGGUAGGGGGGGAGGCCCAGGAUAGCGGGCGUGGCCCAGCGUGUGCAGUAUGUGGUUAUGCAUGGUAUGUGGUAGGGUGGGGAACUCACUAAGCUUCGUGCUUACGGUUUUCAGUUUUGGUUUCAGGUACUUCCGGUAGCGGAGGGAAGAGCUCGGGGGUGAUCGCAUGGCACACACCAUAGAUUAGACAGUCUGGGAAUGUUUUACUCUGACAAUGAACAUGUGUUUUGGAAAAUUAAUACUCUGAUUAUGUUUUGAAUUGGUGACCUUGCUUAAAGAAAUCUUUUAUUAAAAGAAAUUUUUAGUCAUGAAUUUUGGGACGUUACAAGUUGGUAUCAGAGCCUUGGUUUGAGGGAUUCGGGCAUACUCUCGGGUGUGCCUGAACUCAAACUAAGGGGUCGGAUAAAAAGUUUUCAAAAUGAAAAGACAGUUUUCUAAAAAGAGAGUUUUGGGAAAGAAAACAGUUUUAGAAAAGCAAAAAGAAUUCAGAAAGAAAAGAACUUUGAAAAGAAAAAAAUGGUGUGGUGCAUGCAAUCAGCUGGUCUUAAGUAAGUACCCCAAAUUACCCAUACAAGUUUAUGUUAUGAUUAUCAGUUAGUAGAACAGCAUGCUAGAUUAGGACUAAGGAUCUAGGGAGGAUGCCUUAUGUGCCUAUUAUAUGUGCUUUGAGUUGCAUGAUAGUGUUGAUUAGACAGUGGUAGGAUAGCCUGUUUAGGUUAUGCCUGAGUAUAUGAGUUUGUGUUGCAUGCUAGUUCAGAUUCUUGCUAUGUGGAUAUGAUUGCUUAUGUAUGUUAUGGUUAGAUUUUCCCCUUGUCUGAAUGCUGCCUGCUUUGUGCAAUAUGGGAUUCCGAGUGAUGGGAGUAACCAUUAGGUGGAUACGUCACGUCACAUGUGAUCAGGGUUGAAUAAUCUCAGAGUGCUAAAUUUGGCCCUAUUUCGCAGCUCUCGUUUGAGUCCAACCAUUGUAGGGAUGAGUCUUUUACUCGAAGAAUUAUCUGAGCCUUGUCACAUGUGAUGGUGUCCAGUUGAUGGCCAAUUGGCAUCACAAGGAGUCCUUCAGCAGCUGAGGCCUGGUUUGGUGUGAGUCAGAGGUUUCCUUAGGGUAAGCCUAGGAUGAGAUAGUGUUGGGAGCAGUAGUAGUGGAUAAGGGACCUGGUGGAGUCGAAGCAAUUCCNGAGGAAAGUACAGAUAGAUAUGGAUGGUAGUAUGGGCCCGUACUACUGAAAGCAGAGGAUCCGUACUCGAUUCGGGAAAGGCUGAGACAAGACCGAGAACCUAGUAGGGUGAGUGUGUGUCUGGUCUCACAGCAGUGAUAAGUAUUCUGAUAGAGGAUGUAUUAUAUAUUCAGCAUGGUGACAUUGCGAGAGAGACCAGUGGGUGGACCAGGCGCCGGAGAGGGAUCGCUCGGGGUCNAGCAGCUCGAGGAGCGGAUGAGGGAGUUGAUAUCAGCUGAGGUUACGCGCAGUAUUCUAGAUCAGACUCCUGUGAUCUUUGGCACGGUCAAGGAGGGUAUAUUGGAGAUUUUGGAUGAGAGGCUGGGAGCCUUCCGUACCGAGAUGAUGGCAUUGAUGGGAGCACGUACCUUGACAUUUCGAGAGUUCAGGGCUUGCGGGGCACCAGAUUAUCAUGGGGCUAGGGACCCCAUCGCUAGCAGCAGAUGGUUGGUUGAUGUUGCCAAUGCAUUCCGUACGAGCCGGUGUCCUGAGGGGGACAAGGUUAGGCUCGCUUCUUGUCUUCUGAAGAACAGAGCAAGGGAUUGGUGGGAGGAGAUUAGUCAUGCCUUGGGGGAUGAUGUCGCGUUGGAUGCGAUGACUUUGAGCGAUUUCUCGUCCAGGUUCAGGGCGGAGUUUUCGCCGAUUAUUGAGGUGCAGCAGUUGCCACAGGAGUUUCAGGAUUUGACGCAGACCACUGAGACUGUGGCGGAGAUCACCGCCAAGGUCAGGGAGAGGGCUCUUCUUGUACCGCAGUGUGUCGCGGAUGAGGAGAUGAAGAAGGCCCGAUACCAUGAGAUGUUGAGGGAUGAUAUCAGGGUGUUCGUGAUCAGGUCCAGCUGUAAGACGCUAGAAGAUAUGAUUUCUCGAGCUAGAGAGAGGGAAAUUGAUUUGGAGCAGAUCCGGAAGAGGAAGCCGGAUGAGGUUUAGGUAGCCACAGGUUCGGGCAAAAGGCCUAAGGGAUCAGAUUCGAGAUCGAGGGAUUAUCAGGACCGCAGUCGGUGCGGGAAGUGUGGCAGGGCGCACAGGGGUGCGUGUAGGAGUGGUAGCGGUGGUGAUUCUGGCUGCUUCAAGUGCGGUCGGACUGGUCAUUUCAGUAGAGAUUAUACUGUUACCACCACACAGGGAUCAGACUUGAUAUGUUUUCACUGCAAUCAGCGGGGCCACAAGAAGGCCCAGUGCCCCAGUUUGUUUUCAAUAGGACGGGUGAUGACACUUGCCCCUGCAACUUUGAGGAUCACAGACGGCCGUCAGGGCCGUGCAGAGGCGCCUGCGGUAGGAGGCAGGUCUUUUCAGAUGACUACCUUGGAGGCGCGAGCAGCACCGGACGUUGUAGGUAUGCGAUUUUGUUUUCAGUUCUUUUAUUUGUGCAUGAUUAUAUUGUUAUGGUUCUGGAUCAUCAUUGGUUUGAGUAUUUUAUUUUUUGAGCGGUUGAUUGUGAUCGAGUUAUAUGCCAUCUUAAUACCUUGGAUAUUUGAAUGGUAGUUAGGAGAUGUGCUCUAUUAGAGAAGGUUUCAUAGGAUGCAGUAAUUGUAGCAUGCCUGGGAGGGACUUGGUAUGUCUCGCUAGAUCGGAGUUGUAUAAUGUUAGAGAUGGAUUGGUUAGAUCCCUAGCUAUGGUGAGCUUGGGUUCCUCAGCAGCUUGAUUAUGGAAUGGUAGCAAGGAUUGGGAUUCUUUUGAGUAUUGAGCAGCAAGGGGUAAGCAGGAUCGAAGUGGGGGAGAAUCCUCCGAGUGUGCAAAGGUAGGAUCACGCAGACCCAAAAUGAGUGCGCGACCUCCGAGAAGGAAAAGAAGUAGUUCAGCGUUUGAUGGAUUGAGGAUUUCAGGGUUGGGAUUUUGAGAAACUCCCCAUCAGCUAGUGCGUGUGAUGGUGAUGGUUAGUAUGUGGUUGGGAAUUCAGGUUGUGGAUCGCCCGUAGGACUCGAGGGAGUCGGAAUGAGGAUCUUGAGAGCUAAUGGCACAUGGGUGCCUUCGUAUUAGCAGUCAGUGGUAGAAAGUGAUGUAAGACUACGGGGCAGCCGUAGCAUUCACUAACAGUUAGUGGUAGAAAGUGAUGUAAGACUACGGGGCAACUAUAACACUCACUAGUAGUCAGUGGUGGAAGUGUUGUAAGACUACGGGGCAACCAUAGCAUUCACUAGCAGUCAGUGAUGGAUGGUGAUGUAAGACUACUAGUAAGCCGUAGCAUUCCUUAGUAGCUUCGUUAGCGGAGUUGGGGCGAGGCCCUUAUCUCCUAGCGAUCAGAUAGGGAUCAGGAAUGGGUAGUGGAUGAAAGUGAUAGGAAGUUUGCUUGUAUAGCCCUAGAGAGGUGAGACCUUGGGAGAGGCCGCUCCAGGAUAUAGUUGGGUGAGGCCUGUGGGCGAGGCCCGUAUGAGAGUAGCGGUAUAGGUGAGACCUGAGAGUAGGGUUGCUCAGUAGUAUGGCCGGGUGAGACCCGUAGGCGAGGCCCGAGAGAGAGUGGUUAGACAAGUAGGACUAGAAGGAUAGAGGCGGGGGGGACCCGUGGGCGAGGCCCGUGUGUUUUAGCGGCAUAGGGGGGACCUGGUAAGGACCUUAGUGUCAAGAUAAGGGAUCGGGGAUCCAUGGAUUGUAGUGACUGAAUGGCAGAAUAGAUUGCGCAGUUAUAGGUGGUCAAAGUUCCUUCGAAAGUCGCUGGGAGCGACUAGGAGUAGUGUUGGGACUAGCGACCGGUGGGAUCCGGUAAUCCAGAUAUUGGUAGGACGGUAGGGAUUAGGGUGGUCUCAGUUCAUCCGGAAGGCAGAUAAGGAAUAGCAGAAUUUUCAGUCAGUAGUAGUGCGGGUAAGCAGUGUAUGGUGGAAUUCAGUUAGUUGUAUCGAGGGGUGCUCGACACCAAGUUUUGACAGAGAGGAGUGUCAGUGGUUACUGGCGGUGAUGACCUGUACUGGAAGUAGCGGGGGUGAUGGAGUUGGCGAAGGAUAUGACCUUCACAGUGACAGAGGAAAUAGUUGGUUAUGGAGCAUUGCCUUGGGAAGGCAAGGAAUUCGCACAAGGAAAGAAGGGGUGAACCCCUAUAGGUUCAGUACAGUACUCGGUGAGUACCGGAAGGAUUGUCGGUUGAGUAAGUUGUGUUUCCAGGAUGUUCAGGGUCAGGGUGACCUGAGUCUAUUAUCCGCAAGGAAUGAUGUUAGUCAGAAUGACCGGGCGGAAGACCAGCGAAGGUAGGCAGCUGGUGUUGGAAUGAUUAGUUGGGUAUUGAAAGCAUAUCGCAGGCAGUGGCCCAUAGCAAACUUCGAGGAUGAAGUUUAGUUUAAGUGGGGGAGAGUUGUAACACCCAAAGUCAGAAAGGCCAAGAAAGGAAAGGAAACCCUAAGUCUAAGGGAUGACUCAGUAAGUCCAAGGAGGAACUCGGCGAGUCCGAGCGGGAUCCGGGUCGAGGAAUAAGUGAACGACUCGGCGAGUCGGCCAAGGAGACUCGGUGAGUCUGGUCUGUACGAGGAAAUCCCUAAAUUUGGGACUUGGAGCCUAUUUAAGCGCCUCAUUCUCUUCCCUAGGGUUCCUCUACUGCCUCUCUAACCCAGAACACCAAACCCUAGCCGCCAUAUCCGUUGUUGAGCCAAUUAUUGCUUUGAAGAGUGCAUUAAAGCUUGGAGAAGGAAGAAGGGCCUUGGAGGUGCAAGAAGGAGCUAUAGAUCUGGGCUUGGGAAGAUAUUUCUGAACAUUUAAAGGUAAUAAACUAGUUCUUGGAAUCCUUUGCACCAAGAUCUAUGUUGAGUUUUGGGGCUUUUGGCCAUGAUUGGUAUCCAUUUGAGUUAGAAGCCAGAUCUAAAGUUGGAACUUCGGAUCUAAGCAUAUUUUGGCCUUGUGAAGCAUAAAGUAUCAGCCCUUGAGUUGAUUAUGGAGCCUCUUUGCAUUAAACCCUAUUUUAUGGUGUGUUUAGCCUAGAUCUCCUUCUCUACACGUAAAGUUUGCAACUUUACGUGAGGAAUAGGCUUGGGAAGGGUAGAUCUACAGUUUGGGGUCCAUGCAUGACUCAAAAGUCCUCUACAUGUAUGUAGAUCUGAAUGGACUCGACGAUUCCUUUGAGUGGACUCGGCGAGUAGCAUGAAGAUUAGGAGGAAUUUGACGAGUGGGAUAAACAGCUCGUCGAGUCAGAUGAAGUUGGGCAGGAACUCGGCGAGUUGGAAGAACAACUCGGCGAGUCAGUUGAAGAUUGCCUUGGACUUGGCGAGUCUGUUCUUGGACUCGGCGAUUCAGGUCACGAAACCCCAAACCCUUCGAGUUGAGACUCGAAUCAGUGAGUCGAGUGGAGACUCGGUGAGUUGGACAGGUCAGGACUCGGAAAUCGGUAGACUCGGCGAGUCGAGUCGCGAUUGGAAGGACUUUGAGCAUAUGAACUCGGCGAGUCAAUAGGUAGACUCGGCGAGUAGGGUUGACCUAGAAGAUUGACUUUGACCAGGACUUUGACUUUGACCAGAGUUGACUUAGUUGACUGUUGGGGGUCAGUUAGUCUAAGUGUUUCAUUGAUAUUGGUAGCUCGGGGAGCUAGUGGAGCAGGAGUUCAGAGAGUUUCUGGGCAGCAUCCAGAAGGUUAUCAGCAUGUUCAGCAAGUGCAUGUGAGUUUCCCUUUGUGCCAAUGGGUCUACGGUCACAAUGUCGGCCCAUGUAGUUAUGAGUAGNGGAAGGUUGACUUUGACCAGGACUUUGACUUUGACCAGAGUUGACUUAGUUGACUGUUGGGGGUCAGUUAGUCUAAGUGUUUCAUUGAUAUUGGUAGCUCGGGGAGCUAGUGGAGCAGGAGUUCAGAGAGUUUCUGGGCAGCAUCCAGAAGGUUAUCAGCAUGUUCAGCAAGUGCAUGUGAGUUUCCCUUUGUGCCAAUGGGUCUACGGUCACAAUGUCGGCCCAUGUAGUUAUGAGUAGAAGACCCGGGGGUUAGCCCUAGGCACAGUAUGCUAGUAUGAUAUUCGGGACGAGGUCCAAUGAUAGAGGGCGGGUGCCCAAGGAAUGGUUUAUGUGAUAGUUUAUACUUGUUGUCUGUGUGAUACUUGUAUGUGCCUGGUAGGGAGGUGAGUGUGGGCGAGGUCCCGUAUCUCACCAAUAGCAGAGUGUGGAUGGUGUUCCACAUCUCAGUAGCAGCAGAUCAGGGGCGAGGCCCAAGUUAGGGAAGGAGUGAGGGUGGGCUGGGCCCGUACCUCACUAUCAGCAGGAGUAUGGACGGGGUUCCAUGACUCAUCAGUAGCAGGACAAGGGCGGGGCCCAGAGAUAGGCGAGGCCUUAGGACAAGAUCCGUUAGUAUGUGUUUAGCUUAGGUUAUGUGAUGUGAUAUGUUUAUGUGCUAUUAUAUGUUAGUGGGCGAGGCCCUGUGACAGGCGAGGCCUAAGUGAAACAGAUCUGUAUCCGAGCGGGGCUCGAAGCCAGGCGGGGCCUGGAACGGUGAGGCCGUUAUAGCGGGCGAGGCCCGAGGUAGGGGCGAGGCCCAGGUUAGCGGGCGUGGCCCAGUAUGUGCAGUAUAUGGUUAUGCAUGGUAUGUGGUAGGGUGGGGAACUCACUAAGCUUCGUGCUUACGGUUUUCAGUUUUGGUUUCAGGUACUUCCGGUAGCGGAGGGAAGAGCUCGGGGGUGAUCGCAUGACACACACCAUAGAUUAGACAACCUGGGAAUGUUUUACUCUGAUAAUGAACAUGUGUUUUGGAAAAUUAAUACUCUGAUUAUGUUUUGAAUUGGUGACCUUGCUUAAAGAAAUGUUUUAUUAAAAGAAAUUUUUAGUCAUGAAUUUUGGGACGUUACAAAGUACAUUAAUCCUUGGUACAAAUAUUACAUCAACAAAAGUUAUCUCUAAGCUUUCAUGAAAUUGAAGACCUUAUGCCUAACACAACCAUUGUAUCUAGAUAAGAUUUUCCUACUUAUUUACUUUGUUGUGUGCAAAUAUUAAUACACUUGACUUAAGCAUCACCAACAUUUGGACAUAAUUGUUGACGUUGAGGUGGUUGGUUAGAGCAUUAGUCAACUUUAAUAUUCAAGUGAAGACGUAUCAAAUACAAGUGAUUGUAGUUCACUCCUAUAGCAACAAGAGGAGCAGAGGCUUUAAGUAGUUUAUCCAUUUCAACAUGAAACUCUUUUCACACAUGAACGAUCUUAUGACACCUGUCAAAUGCCUCUUAAAAUAUACAAUCAACACUUGGUCAGUAGCUUUCUUCUCUGUGGCCAGAACCAUGACCUCUUCAUUUCCCUAUAUUAAUGAUGACAGGUUCAUAAACUAAAAGGACUGUAAAGUCAAAAUAGUUGACAUUAUGUUGACAUACCUAGUGGUGUGAAGAGAAGAAUAAAUAGAAUGUUUGUAAUAAACCCGCUUUCUUGGGUGAGGAAACCAUGACACUUGUUCAGAAAUGAAACAUCCCAACUAGCACCUAACGACUUUUGCUACAUUGAGAUAUACUAGCAAACAACAUAAGCAAAUCACAUGGAAAAUUAUUACAAUUAAUAAAACUCAUAAAUAAAGUGGUAAAAACAGCCUUGCACACACUCUUGAUUAAAAAAAUAGUUUAUAUUAGUGUAACAUCCCGAUUUCUCGAUAUCAGUUUAAAGUUCUAGAGUCAUGUUUCAAAGACAACUCGACGAGUUGAUAGGCCAACUCGUUGAGUAGUGACCAAAUCAGCCAUGUGGAUUUUAGACCCUACUCGUCGAGUUGGAGGACCCGACUCGACGAGUAGGUGCUGGAAAGUGAAAACCAUAAUUUUUAGGGUUUGCACCCUAUUUAAAGGUCCUUAACUUUCCUCCUCAGCCUCCCUUGUCACCUUCACGUCCAAAAAAACCAACUAGUCUCUAUUCUUGAGUGUGUGAGACCAAAAGAGAGUGUAUUGGAGCAUUCUUAAGGAGUUAAGAGCUUUGAACAAGGGAUAGCUUGUAGAUCCAACUUUUCCAGUGUUGUGACAACAAUAUUGAGUUAUAAAGCUACCACCUUUAUAUUUCAUUGCUUAGAUCUUCCUUUUUGGUAAAGUAAUUGUCAUGUCUAGGGCAUGAUGGGGUCACACUCGGAUUUAAGCUUGCCACAAGGGCAUAGUUUUAGAACUUGACUUCUUAAGGCCUUAUGAACAUAAAUCCUUAAGCUUUAUGAAGCCCUAGCCCUCCUUCAUGUCCAAAACCUUCUCCUAAUGCUAAUUAUGAGUGUUUUAGCUUCAUAGAACCAUGCAUGCAUGUAAAGUUAGCAACUUUAUGUGAUAACAACACCCUAGGAGCAUAGAUCUACUGUUUGGAGCUUUGGAGCAGCUUAAAAUAGUCUGAAUGAGUGAUGGACUGAAGGAGACUCGACGAGUUUCAUGGUUGAAUCGAAGAGUCGGUUGAAGAUUGCCCAUAAUGGUUUUGCAUGGACUCGGCAAGUCAGUAAGAAGACUCGACGAGUCAGUUAGGGUUCUUCCUGACAUUUAGACACGCGUAGACUCGCCGAGUUGGUGGGGAAACUCUGCGAGUUGGCCCAGGGAUUUCACGGUUUUCUGAGUUUUGGAGGAACUCGAUAGGUCAGUAGUUGGACUCGACGAGUUGGGUCAACAUGGACUGUUGACCUUGACUGUUGACUUGGAGUUUGACCAGGGUUAACCAUGUUUGACUUUGGAGGGUAUUUGGUAAAUGGGUAUUUAAGGAAAUGGAUCAUGGGUGGAUAUAGGUAAUGGAGUUUGGGGCAGUAUUUUGAGAGCGUGAUUUCGUGGUUUAGUUCGGCAUUGCAAGGUGAGUUAUCCUCACUAUAUCAACAGGGUCUAAGGCACCAAGGUCAGCCCUUUAUCUGAUUUGUAUUCGGGUAUUUGCUUGAUAUGUUUUUUGAUCUGCUAGAUCUGCAUCCUGGUAGUUAGGAUGGUAUUAUGUUUAGUGACCUGGUUUAGGUCAGUAUCCUGGUAUAUGGGAUGAUGUUAUGUUAGUGACCGGUUAGGUCGGUAUCCUGGUUAUAGGACGGUUGUUGUGUUAGUAAUCAGUUAGUUUGGUAUGAUUAUCUGUUGUAUACAUGCUCGCGUAUAAUAUUUAUGUGCACAUGAUUGUUUGAUUGUUAUGGGGGUUGGGUUGAGGCGGGUCCUGCUUCGUGUUGUAGGCCAACAUACCCAUGGCGGACCGGAAAGACUACAGGCCCAGGAAGGCACAUUGUCCAACCAAUGGCCCAACGAGCGGUCCGGAUAGGCUGAAGGCCCCGAGAGGGUGGUCCAAACGUGCCGAGGCUCGGAGAGUGGGCCAGGUGGACUGAAGGCCCGGUGCGGGCGGUCCAGUCAUACUGUAGACUCAAAGAGUGGACCAGGUGGACUGAAGACCCAGUGCGGGUGGACCAGUCACACAGUAGACUCGGGAUGCAUGGCUGUUCAGUGUUUGUUAUAUGAUAUGAUUAUGGAUUGUAUGAGGUUGGUAUUUUGGGGGUAACUCACUAAGCCUUCGAGCUUACGUUUAUCAAUUUAUGUUUCAGGUACAACGAAUUAACCCAGGAAGACGAAUGUGUGAUCGUACACUUCCCCAUAAUAUGUUUUGGAUUUUCUGGGAUACUCUGAUGUGAAACUAUUUUGGAAACCUUUUUGUAAUAACUAUUGGCAUUUGAAAUGUUUUUAAAAGUUUAAAUUUGGCUUGGAUUUUAUGGGUGUUACAAUUAUUUCAAUUAUCCAAGACGAUUUUAUGUCGAGAUUUUAAGUUAACAUUAAAUCUCAAUUAUUUGUUUGAAUGAUUUUUUUCUUUUAUCUUAGAGAUUUGUUUGAAAUUUAUUAAUUUUUUUUAUAAAUUUGAAUUAAUCAAAGACACAUAUAAAAAUAUCUCAUCAAAUCAAAUAAAUUUAAUAUAUAAAAAAGAUAGUAUCCGAUUAAGUCAAUCUAAAAAUACCAACAUAUAAAUAUAACUCACAAAUCUUGAUGGGAAUAAGAAUCAAACUCAAAAUCAAUCAAAUAAAAAAACCUUUGAUUUGUGUUAUAAGUAUAAAAUAAAUCAGGAUUCCAAAUAAAUAUUACAAUGAAAAAAAACCUAAAAUGUUUGAAACAAAAUAUGAAAUUCGCCAUCACUGUCAAUUUAAAAAAAAAACCUUUAUUAAUACUAAUGGGCUAUUUGGUAGCAUCCUGAUGAAUCAUAUCUGAAUGAUCUAGAUGCCUGGAUGAUCUAGAUGCUCUUUAGGAAUUUCUAUCGGAAUGAUAAAAUAAUGUUUGGUUAGGCAUCUAAAUAUCUGCCUCUUAAUGAGGAAAAUAACCAUUUUAGCCCUCUAAAUUAUUUUUUGAAUACAAAAUAAACAUUAUACAAUAUCCAACAAAUCGGUUAAAACAAAUUGGCUUUUGAUAUUCAGAUUCAUGUGUUUCUUCAUCAACAAUCUCUUUGAAGAGGACUCGUUUUGUUUCUGUUUUUAGAUCAUUAGGCUUUCUUGCUUCUGGAACAUUGAUGGGCCUAUUUUCUUGCUGAAUAUCUUCCAUCACUAGCAACUUCAUCUUGCUCCUAGAUCACAUAUCAACUAAACAAGUUGAAAAAUAACCAAACACAUAUUUUCAUAUAGAACAUUUCAAGCAAACACAAACACAUUUUCAAAAAAAAAAAAACAAAUCAAUUGUUAUUUUCAGAUUUCCAAAGGACAAAAACAACAUCAACUGAACACAUAUAUAGAGCAAGAAGAACAAAGCACAAAAAUCGAUUUCAUACAAAAUCGAGCAGCAAGAACACGAUUGACACCAAUUUCAUGCAAAAUUGCUCAACAAUAACACGAUUGAAGCAACAGAUUCGAGAAAAAAAACCAUACCUGAAAACUUACCGACGACGAGUAGGCGGAGAAGUAGGAGCGUUGUCGAAGGCAUGCAAGGGGAGGCGGCGACGGAGCCAAUAAUUGGAAGUUGUCAACGCUUAAUGAAGAUAAAGAAUGAGGGAUGAAAGGUCGAUCUCUAGAAAGAAGGAGAAGAAAAAAGAGUCGGCCGCAAUUUGUUGUUAGGGCAAUGGUAGAAGAUGAAAAUUUUUUUAUUCAGACUUCUCCUCAUAUCUUAACGAAUCAGAUUAGUUUUAGCUACAUCUGACCGAUUAAGAGCGUAAAAAUGUUUCAACCAAACACUCUGAAUCUUAAUGAUCCAAAUGCAACCUCUUAAUGAGACCAUUAAGAGGCAAAACAAACAGCCCCUAAAUAAAAAAAACAAUAUAGUUUCCAUAAAAAUCGAUUUAAAUAUUAAAGAAGAGAAGAAAUCAGCAUUUAUACGACGUAAUAGUUUUUUAAAAUUAAAAAAAAAAAAUUAUUCAUAUUAUAAGUAUAAAAUACAUUUUAUUCUUAACUCUCAUUUGUAAUUUGCCAUAUGUUUUCAUAAGAGUUUAUGGUAAUAACUUAAAUUUUUAUUUUUCCAUAUACCAUUUUUCAUUUACAAAAUUGUUUGUGCUUAUUUUUUUUUGUUAUAUUAAAAUUUAUUAUAUUUUAUUAUAUAAUAUAUAUCAUAAUUUUUUUCAUUAAUUUACAUAUAUCUUAUUUUUACGUGUUUAUUUGAAACAAUCGUUAUAAUGCAAAAUAAAUACCACUUCUCCAUAUUAAUUAUUAAUUUUUAUUAAAAUACUUUAUUAAUUAUUAUAAUUUUUAUCUAUUGAUAUUCGUUUAAUUUUGUAAGUUUUAUUUUCACAAAGUAUAACCUAAUUAAUUUCUCAUCAUCUAUAGUAAAUGAAAGUUUUUUUUUUCACAUGCAAUCACUAAUUAAUUUUGACACUUGUCAUUUUAUAAUAUUUUUUAAAUAAAUAAUAUCCACAUAUCAAUUUAUGAUUUUUNNNNNNNNNNNNNNNNNNNNNNNNNNNNNNNNNNNNNNNNNNNNNNNNNNNNNNNNNNNNNNNNNNNNNNNNNNNNNNNNNNNNNNNNNNNNNNNNNNNNNNNNNNNNNNNNNNNNNNNNNNNNNNNNNNNNNNNNNNNNNNNNNNNNNNNNNNNNNNNNNNNNNNNNNNNNNNNNNNAUCAAAUGUAAUAAAUAUUAUUUUAAAAUUUCAUUUUAAAAAAUAUUUAUUAUUACAUUUUAAUAUUUUAUAUUCUUUAAUCAACCGUGUAAUACAUUUUAAUACAUAGAUUUUCCAUCUAAUAAAUAAAUAAAAUGUAACCAUUUUAAUCACUAAAUAAUUAAUCAACCAAAGAUUAAAACCCACUGAUAAAAAGGAAACUAAAUCAACACCAAAUUGAAAAUUAAACCAUAUAUUACUAAAUUAAUUCACAGAGAGUUCGACAUCAAUCAAAUAUUAUCUCGCACUCAAAUUCACAAAACUCACUUUCCAGGUACAAAGUUUGUAGCAUAUGACCAUGCAUUGUUUGCAACAGGGUCAGCAAGGUGGUCAGCGAGGUUCUCCAAUGGUCCCUUUCCGGUAACAAUGGCUUGAACAAAGAAUCCAAACAUAGAGAACAUGGCUAGUCUACCGUUCUUGAGCUCCUUCACUUUCAGCUCAGCAAAUGCCUCUGGGUCAUCAGCCAGACCCAAUGGGUCGAAGCUACCACCAGGGUAAAGUGGGUCAACUACCUCACCAAGAGGUCCACCAGCAAUUCUGUAACCUUCAACUGCACCCAUCAAGAUCACUUGGGUAGCCCAGAUGGCUAAAAUGCUUUGUGCAUGGAUCAAACUUGGGUUCCCCAAGUAGUCAAGACCACCCUCACUAAAGAUCUGGGAUCCAGCCUUGAACCAUACAGCCUCACCAAACUUGACACCAUUACGCGCCAAGAGUUCGGGGAAGACGCACCCAAGAGCUCCGAGCAUGGCCCAUCUGCUGUGGAUGACCUCAAGCUCACGGUUCUUGGCGAAUGUUUCAGGAUCAGCAGAGAGCCCAGCAGUGUCCCAACCGUAGUCACCGGGGAACUCACCGGUCAGGUAAGAUGGGGCUUCGCCGGAGAAUGGGCCAAGGUACUUAACACGGUCGGGGCCGUACCAUGGACUUCCUGAUGGUGCGACUUUCUUGACUGCUGUCUUCCUCAUGGAAACCCUUCCAUUUCCGAUUAUUUCUGAACCAGAUGGUGCUGCUUUCACUGCCUGUCCGACGAAAGAAGAAGAUAGAGCCAUGGUGGAAGCUGCCAUUUUUGUGAGAUUUAUUUUGAAGAUGUUGUGAUGGUUAUACUUAUGAAGAUGGGUAGAACUGGAAGUAGAUUUAUAGGGUAGUUUUUGGAUCAGAUAGGUGAUCAAUGCUUAUCUUGAUACAAUCUUUAGCUUCAAUUUGAUUGGCUACAGAGAUUCUUGUGGGUCCGUAAUCUGUGGUGUGAGUUCUCUGGCCCCCCUGAGAUAUUUUGAAGGGGCAGGAUAUUCGUGGCUCUGGUUUAUUGAGCCAAUGACUGGCUUUCACUCACUACUCUUAGUGGUGGUUUUUUAUAAUAUGCUGUAAGCUUGUAACCAUCCAAUCGUCUAAGUUUAUAACUGACCUAUUAUUACAAAUAUAUACUAACCAGGCAAAACUUUUGGUUAUAAAAGUUAAUGUGACCGAGAGACUAACACAAAAAAUUAUAACAGGAGUAGUUAAUAAUCCGCGAUUUACCGCUAUGCCGAGAGCCGUAGGGAGGAUCCACCAUUUACCCCUAAGUGUGCAGAAUGCCUUUUUUUUUUUAGUAUUAAAAUAUCAAGAUCGGACACGCGUUGUAAAAUUCUUGUUCGAAUUGUUUGCAAACUCUUCGUCACAAUAAGGGGAGUUUAAAUAUGCGUUUUAAUAUAAUAACAUUGGCAUUGAUUAAAUGUUAAUAUUCAAUUAUCAUCCCACAUGAGAAUGAAAUAUAUUAAUGAUUUAUUAAUCUAAAAACAUUAUCAUCCCACAUGAGAAUGAAAUAUAUUAAUGAUUUAUUAAUCUAAAAACAAUUUUUUUAUGUCAUUAUUUUUUGGGGUUACAGUCGAGCUUGGAGGAUCUCGACUUUAGGUAUGCCCAUUUUAUUGAGAGGAAUUACUAAUAAAUUUCGGAAAGAGGAAAAAAAUAUGAUCGUGGACAUAUGGUUUAGGAAUAUUUUCAUGUUCGUUUGACACAAGUAAAGUUCUUGAAAUGGGUGCUUCAGUUUGUACGAGCGGCUAACUUGAUAAAGUUCAAAGACAUAAAGGCAAUUUUCAAAAACUCACAUGAUCAGUUAUCGAACAAGCAUGUCGUACUAGUGUGCCCACUACACAUGUUAGUUAGCGGUUUCAAUAGGAAAAGAGCAUCAUUAGCUGUCAAUGAUAAUAUUCUUUCUCUAGUACUCGAUCCUUACGACUUUUAUAUUUAUAUCAUGUAAUUUAGAAUUUAAUUUAAUUUCUAUUAAUCUUCGAUUACAGUUUAUGUGAUCUAAUUCAUGGAUGUUUUGGCACUACAUAUCUCAAUGGAGUAUGCCAGGGAAAUUUUGGUCAUAACAACAGCCUCCAUGGGUUUAUAUAUAUUUUUAAGGUACAUAUAACAUCCUAUUUUUAGGCUUAGAAAUUUUGGUCAUUUAUAGUGAAAAUAAUUUUUUUUAAUAAAAAAAUAAAAAAGGAAAAAUAAAAAUAAAAAGAAUGACUGAAUGAAUACAUGAGCUAAUAAAAGGUUUAGAUCAAAUGUUUAAAGAAAAUAGCGAAUUUAUACUUAAAAUAGGAAAUAAAUAAGGAAGGGUCAGUGGUGGCAACUUUGGAAAACUUGUUUAAUUUAGAUCUAACUAGACAAUUUAUUUGUAAAGAGUUAAAAAUGUAACGAAAUGAUACUUAUAAGCUUAAGAGGGAGUUUUUCAGUUGGAAAUGUUGUUAGAAACCCUUAUUGGAAAAAAUUAGGACAAAAGGACUAAAAUUGUCAAGUUGAUGAAACUUGUGUUAACCUUAAUGUAACGACCCUAAAAUCUUAAAUUAUGUGUUUAAUUACUUUGUAUCAUUUUGUUGAAAAAUGAACAUUAAUGAUGCAAUAAUCAAUUUGUUAGUAAAUUUCAUUGUAUAUCCUUACAUUUAUCAUGUUAUAAUCGAAAAUAUAGGACAUUUCAGCAAAAAAUAACCCUGUAGGAAAGUCGCAUUACACCUCGAUAUAUUCGUGUGGAUAUAAAUUCUAUGAAAAUCCAAAUUUGUAUGACGAAGUUAUAGUCAAUAUAAGUUGGAAGUACAAAUUUUAAUGUUUAAAUGUGUAUGUUNNNNNNNNNNNNNNNNNNNNNNNNNNNNNNNNNNNNNNNNNNNNNNNNNNNNNNNNNNNNNNNUAUAUAUAUAUAUAUAUAACAUCUCAAAACCAUAAUAACCAUAACAUAAAAUCAGAGUUUCAAAACAUAUUAUCUCUCUAAACCAUAACAAUCACUGGAUGAUGUGUAGAGUCACGUGUAACAUCUCGUUUAAAAUUAGAUAAAUAAAAUAAAAUAAGUAAAUAAAUUAGAUAAAAUAAGUAAAUAAAUAAUAAACCCUAAAACCUCAAGAUGAAUUUUAUAUUUUUAUGUUAGCCUUAAAUCCAUAAUAAUUAUCAGAGUAUUAGCGCAAUAAGUUAAAUGUUAUUAAUUCUGGAAAUAGGGGUUUAAAAUGUAAAUUUCGAACUAGUUAAGAAUAGAUUUGUGGAAGCUGGGGAUUGUUUGGUAAUUUGGACUUGAAUUGAAAGGAUUAUUGGAAACAGGUAUAGAGUAAAUUACAGAUUUAAUUUGUAAAGGAAUUGAGAUGGAGGGACUGAAAAUAUAAGAAAGGGACUAAUGUUUGAAGAGAUAGGCAUGACUUAAACCCAUUCCCCCUCCACCCUCUUGCUACUCGGUUGCACCCAUAUAAACCCUAACCCUAAUAUCUUCUCAGCCGCCACCUUAUCCCUCCAUAUCUCCAGUCGCUUCCAUCACCUGUGUCGCCGUCAUGAACCACUGAGCACCACUGCCGCUGCUCCCACUGCCGAUGAAAACGAAGAUCAACGUUUGGACACCGUGACAGUGGGGAAGUAGGAAGAAAGGAAGCUCGUGGUUGUUAUUGCUGUUAUUCUCGGUUAGGGGUCGCAAAACCUUUCUCUUCUCCGUUUCCUUUUGUUGCUACGUUGUCAUCGUCAUCGCUCCAUGUGAGGGUGGUUGUGUUUGUGUUUUGUGAGUGUAGGUGUGUGUUGCUGCUGUGGCAAGUUGGAGAGGUGUGUGUGUCUUUUGUUGGCCAGAAAAACGAAGAGAAUCACCAUGGCAACCAACCAUGGUGGUUUUCACCGUUCUGGAGCCACUAGCCACCACCCUAGGUGGCUGUGUGUGUUGGAUUGACAUUUCUUCUGUACCAGGAUGCUUUUGAUAGUGUUUGGCCUAAAAUUAUAACUACCACCAUUAAAAAGUGGUGGCUGUCGCCUCCUACCGCCAUGGACCGCCGCCGACCACCAAUGCCCGAGGUGGCAGUGGGUGGUGUCUGACUUACUAAACAUUAAAUAACCUAAACAUCUAACCUUAGACCGAGUGGUACGUGUUUGGGUUGGAAACUCUUACUAGGCUUUAGAAAAUCCUAAGGUCAAGAAAACCCUAGUUUUGGAGUUUUGUCGGGACCCGCGUUGAAGUGUUAAUUGAACUUUAAUUAUACUCGAUAAGGCCCUACGAUUAACUUAAUGCAGUAUUGAACUUAAUGAAUUAAGUCCUUAAGGGGUUAUGUGUGGAGCACUAACCCUAGUUAUCAUUUUAUGUGGAAACCCUAAAAAUCAAGAAGCCUUAUUUUCGGCAAUGAUCAGGGCACAUAUUUGGGAUAUUCCUUGGAUUAUUAUUAUACCCGAGAAUGAAUAUGUCAAACCUUAAUCACUCCUACUUUUAUUUGAUUAAGUCCUUAAUGGGUUAAGUGUCCUUACUUAACCCUAAUCGUCAUUUUAUGUGGAACCCUAAUCACUAUUUCAUGUGAGGUAGUCACUGCUGCAAUUGACGAUGACUUGUGAUCGAGUAUUGAAUCAAGUAUCUUCCUGUAGGUGAUUGGAAGUGAGUUGAAGCUGGUAGAGUUCUUCGUUACUACGGUGGUUACCUACUAGCAUAUCGAGCUGAGUUUCACCUCACUGUGUUAGAUCUAUAUGCACAAGAAUCAUUAUUCAGUGACAUUGCUAAUAACAUAUGAUCCUAUAAGGUCACACUUUAAUCAAGUUGGUACUUAUUGAAUAUUUAUUAAGUAUUUUAUAAUUAAUAAUAAAAGUUCAACUCAUGUAUUUAAUUAAAGAAAAUUUAUUGUUUUGUGAAAAUAAUAAUAAAUGAAAGACUAACUANAUAUAUAUAUAUAUAUAUAUAUAUAUAUAUAUAUAUAUAUAUAAGUCAUGUACAAAGUUUUGGACACUUUCACCAAAGAUUGACAAACUAGCUAGUUAAUUAAGUGACUAAACAAUAAACUAGAAAAUCCAAUGGACCAUUUUAGUCCUUAAAACCAUGGGUUAUCAAGGCGAGGAGGUUGAAAGUCAACCUCCAACAUUCUUGUCCCCCAUGUUUGUUCAUUACCUUGCAUGUAAUACACACCAUGAUCAUAUUAUAUAAGGCUAGUUGUUUUAUCACUAUAUGACUAGAAGAAAAAAAUCAUUUACACUUUCAUCCAUAGAAUUGUAGGUUCUCUUGGCUUCUCCCUAUCUCUCACUUGAAGUUAGUUCUUGGUUUUUUAGAGUUCGUCUUUUGUGUCUUCCUUUUACACUUAUUAUCUAUGUGCUUAAGGCUUAAAGAGAAAAAUAUUAUACAAGAAGAAAUCUAGCAAUUUUGGUACCUUAUUCUUGUUGGUGGAUUACUUGUAGAGAAGAUCAGACUUGUUGUUCUUGCCAUCUACUUCAACACCCCAAAUCUAAGAGGGUCCAAAGUCUACGAAGGUUGUAUUUUCUAAACUCCCUAUGGUUGUUAUAAUAUCAUUCUAAGCACUUUAAAAGGAUCCUUGAUGGUUUGUUUUGUUUUCAAAUUUAUAAGAAAUUUUUAAAGCUUCCGUUGCCAGUUUUUGUGAAAAACUAUUUAUUUUAUGCAACAAACCCCUUCAGUUGUAACACUAUAAAUUUUCAAACAAAAUUUCCAUUUUUAAAACACACAAAUCUUAAAAUCACAUUUCUCAAAAAUCACAAAUGUAUCAAUUGUAAGAAUAUCCCAGAACCCUCAAACAUAAUCUCGAACAGGUGUGUACAAUCAAGUCGGCGCCUUACCGUGAUUCUGAGAAGUACCUGAAACACAUAACACACAACAUAGUAAAAACGAAGCUUAGUGAGUUCCCCAAAAUACCACAUACACAAAUAAUAAGCCACUCAUAGCUAUAGCUCGGCAUGGACCUUCCAGUCAUGCGUCUCGGUGAGGACCCUCCGGUCUCACGGCUCGGUGUGGACCCUCCGGUCAUGUGUCUCAGUGAAGACCCUCAGGUUUCACAGCUCGAGUUGGACCCUCCAGUCCUGUAUCUUAGUGAAGACCCUCCAGUCUCACAACUCGGUUUGGACCCUCCGGUCCUAACUCAGUAAGGCACAAAAUAAUAUAGCAUAUAUGACAAAGACAAAAUGCAUAAUAUCACAUAACUCAGUAUAAGCACAUAGGACCAUCCGGUCGAUAACUCAAAUAAGACCCUCUGUUCACAUAGUAUUACCACUCAGGUAAGUAUAGUGAUAAGACUCGUCUCGGAAGUAAGCAAAUAGAUCUAGUACCCCACGAACAGUUUAGACUCCGCCUACAUAAUAUAAUUAUCUCUAAUAAGCAAUUUGUAAUAACCAUUCCGAGAUGUUAAGCUAGCUCCCCCACUAAAUCUCAAAAAUGGUGAAAAUACCAUUUUACCCCUCCAUGGUCUCUAAGGUCCACAGUUGACCAAACCCUAAAACUCAACGUAAGUCAACGCUCAAGUCAACAGUCCAUGUUGACUAAACUCGUCGAAUGCAUCCAUGCGACUCGUUGAGUACCGUCGUUUUCUCUGAAGUAUCGGGAAAAUCCAACUCAACUCGUCGAGUUGUCUCAUCAACUCGCUGAGUUGUAACGCAUUUAGACUAUCAGGGAAAACCCUAGCUGACUAGUCGAGUUGUCUCAUGCACUCGUCGAGUCCCUCUAUACAAAUUCUCAUUUAGACUAUUCUAAGCAGGAAUAAGGUCCCAAACUCUAGAUCUAGCCUCCCAAGGCUGAAAUACCAUGUAAAGCUGCAAGCUUUACGUCUAUGCAUGGAAUCUAGCGCUCAAAAUGCUAAAACAAGCUCUAUAUAGGGUUUAAUGCAUAAAAUCUUGCCACUAGCUUGAUAAAGCUUGGACCUUUGGGCUCAAGGGACCUCAUAUUGUCCAUAUCUGAAGUCUCAAAUUCAUGGCAGGCUCAAACAACUCAAGUACUCAAAGAAGGAUGGAAAAAGGCCCUAAAACUCCUUAGAAAAGAGAUCUAACCAAAUAAUGAUCAAGGUGGUAACUUUUUACCUUCAAACAGAAGCUAGAAAUGAAUAAGCACCAGAUCCAAGAGCUCCCUCUCGUCCCAAGCCUUUUGUUCCUCAAUCUUUCUCCAAAAAUGCACCAAAAUACACAAUAUUAUCCUCUCCUUCUCUCACACAUAGAUAUAGCUCGAUUAGGGUUUCUCUCAGAGUUUUAGGAUGAUAAGGGAGGAUGAAAUGAAGGCUUAAGGUCCUUUAAAUAGGACACAAACCCUGAAAAUUGGGGUUUUCUCACUCUGCUCCUACUCGUCGAGUUGGGGUCCUCCAACUCGUCGAGUAGACUCUAAAAAUCACGCAACCUUUAACUCCUCUACUCGGCGAGUUGGGGCAUCCAACUCGUCGAGUUGCUCUGACAUCAUAAAUGCAAAUUUAUUAAAUGUUAUAUAUGGGAGCAGGAUGGUACAUGUAACGACCCAAUUUUCAUGACCAAAAAUUUUGUUUUAAAAACAUUACUUUAGAAAAUAUUAAAAGCUAAAAACAUUGUCGGAUCAAAUCAUAACACAAGUGAACCAUGUCUAAAAGCCAAUUCAUACAUUCAAUCAAAAUAUCAGAGUACAAAUCCCAGUGAAGCUCGUAAAUGCGGAAACCGGAGAGUGUGUGUGUGACAUGCUGCUACCGCGCCGGCUCCUUUCCCCUAGCUGAGGAGGUACCUGAAACCAAAACUGAAGACUGUAAGCACAAAGCUUAGUGAGUCCCCCCGUCGUACCACAUACCAUACAAACACGUAACAUACAUACUGUCAGGCUAUUCUGGGGUGCCUGACUACCCGGUACGGCCGUUCUGGGGUGCCGUCCUACCCGUGUCAAGCCAUUCUGGGGUGCUGACUACCCGUGUCAAGCCAUUCUGGGGUGCUGACUACCCAUGUCAAGCCAUUCUGGGGUGCUGACUACCCAUCGGUCCUAACAACCGAUCCUCGGGGACUAGUCCCCUCUUACUACCUUUAUCUCAUAUAACAUAACAAGCCAGCAUGCAAUCAUAUCAUCACGUACUGUCAGACAUAUCUGGGGUGUCCGACCUACCCUUCGGUCCUAACAACCGAACUCUACAACUAUCACAUAUACAUAUCAUGCCAGCAUAUAACAUAUCAGGUAGUAGCAAACCUAGAUGAUAUCACAAAGACAAUCAUCUAACAUACAACUCCUACUGGUGGGCCGGCAUUGUGGCCGUAGACCCACCGCUACUGGAAGGUAACUCACCUCGAAGUAGCUGCUGAUCUGAUCGGGAACUGACUGCCUACUGCUGCUGCUGCUGCUCCGGAAAUCCUCCGGCUGCAAUUCCCACAACAUACUCAAUCAAACACUGCUCACUGACCUUUGGGUAAAAUGACCAUUUUACCCCUGAUCAUGCCCUAAGUCAAAGUCAGAGUCAACUUUCAGUUGACCCGACUCGCCGAGUUGGCUUUCCAACUCGCCGAGUCCCUACCCAAACGACUGCCCUGAAACCCGAUCCUACCCGUCGAGUUAGGCGACGACUCGACGGGUUCACCUUCUUAACCAAUAUUCAAGUCCUUCAUUCUACUCGCCGAGUUGUAUGAACAACUCGCCGAGUUCAUCUUCAUCCGAA